UUAUUUUGUUCGAGAGUACUUCCUGAACAUCACUUCAAAGGACCUCGUUCUUACUUUCAUUCCACGGUCAAAUUCGUAUGCUUUCAUAAACGCCANNNNNNNNNNNNNNNNNNNNNNNNNNNNNNNNNNNNNNNNNNNNNNNNNNNNNNNNNNNNNNNNNNNNNNNNNNNNNNNNNNNNNNNNNNNNNNNNNNNNNNNNNNNNNNNNNNNNNNNNNNNNNNNNNNNNNNNNNNNNNNNNNNNNNNNNNNNNNNNNNNNNNNNNNNNNNNNNNNNNNNNNNNNNNNNNNNNNNNNNNNNNNNNNNNNNNNNNNNNNNNNNNNNNNNNNNNNNNNNNNNNNNNNNNNNNNNNNNNNNNNNNNNNNNNNNNNNNNNNNNNNNNNNNNNNNNNNNNNNNNNNNNNNNNNNNNNNNNNNNNNNNNNNNNNNNNNNNNNNNNNNNNNNNNNNNNNNNNNNNNNNNNNNNNNNNNNNNNNNNNNNNNNNNNNNNNNNNNNNNNNNNNNNNNNNNNNNNNNNNNNNNNNNNNNNNNNNNNNNNNNNNNNNNNNNNNNNNNNNNNNNNNNNNNNNNNNNNNNNNNNNNNNNNNNNNNNNNNNNNNNNNNNNNNNNNNNNNNNNNNNNNNNNNNNNNNNNNNNNNNNNNNNNNNNNNNNNNNNNNNNNNNNNNNNNNNNNNNNNNNNNNNNNNNNNNNNNNNNNNNNNNNNNNNNNNNNNNNNNNNNNNNNNNNNNNNNNNNNNNNNNNNNNNNNNNNNNNNNNNNNNNNNNNNNNNNNNNNNNNNNNNNNNNNNNNNNNNNNNNNNNNNNNNNNNNNNNNNNNNNNNNNNNNNNNNNNNNNNNNNNNNNNNNNNNNNNNNNNNNNNNNNNNNNNNNNNNNNNNNNNNNNNNNNNNNNNNNNNNNNNNNNNNNNNNNNNNNNNNNNNNNNNNNNNNNNNNNNNNNNNNNNNNNNNNNNNNNNNNNNNNNNNNNNNNNNNNNNNNNNNNNNNNNNNNNNNNNNNNNNNNNNNNNNNNNNNNNNNNNNNNNNNNNNNNNNNNNNNNNNNNNNNNNNNNNNNNNNNNNNNNNNNNNNNNNNNNNNNNNNNNNNNNNNNNNNNNNNNNNNNNNNNNNNNNNNNNNNNNNNNNNNNNNNNNNNNNNNNNNNNNNNNNNNNNNNNNNNNNNNNNNNNNNNNNNNNNNNNNNNNNNNNNNNNNNNNNNNNNNNNNNNNNNNNNNNNNNNNNNNNNNNNNNNNNNNNNNNNNNNNNNNNNNNNNNNNNNNNNNNNNNNNNNNNNNNNNNNNNNNNNNNNNNNNNNNNNNNNNNNNNNNNNNNNNNNNNNNNNNNNNNNNNNNNNNNNNNNNNNNNNNNNNNNNNNNNNNNNNNNNNNNNNNNNNNNNNNNNNNNNNNNNNNNNNNNNNNNNNNNNNNNNNNNNNNNNNNNNNNNNNNNNNNNNNNNNNNNNNNNNNNNNNNNNNNNNNNNNNNNNNNNNNNNNNNNNNNNNNNNNNNNNNNNNNNNNNNNNNNNNNNNNNNNNNNNNNNNNNNNNNNNNNNNNNNNNNNNNNNNNNNNNNNNNNNNNNNNNNNNNNNNNNNNNNNNNNNNNNNNNNNNNNNNNNNNNNNNNNNNNNNNNNNNNNNNNNNNNNNNNNNNNNNNNNNNNNNNNNNNNNNNNNNNNNNNNNNNNNNNNNNNNNNNNNNNNNNNNNNNNNNNNNNNNNNNNNNNNNNNNNNNNNNNNNNNNNNNNNNNNNNNNNNNNNNNNNNNNNNNNNNNNNNNNNNNNNNNNNNNNNNNNNNNNNNNNNNNNNNNNNNNNNNNNNNNNNNNNNNNNNNNNNNNNNNNNNNNNNNNNNNNNNNNNNNNNNNNNNNNNNNNNNNNNNNNNNNNNNNNNNNNNNNNNNNNNNNNNNNNNNNNNNNNNNNNNNNNNNNNNNNNNNNNNNNNNNNNNNNNNNNNNNNNNNNNNNNNNNNNNNNNNNNNNNNNNNNNNNNNNNNNNNNNNNNNNNNNNNNNNNNNNNNNNNNNNNNNNNNNNNNNNNNNNNNNNNNNNNNNNNNNNNNNNNNNNNNNNNNNNNNNNNNNNNNNNNNNNNNNNNNNNNNNNNNNNNNNNNNNNNNNNNNNNNNNNNNNNNNNNNNNNNNNNNNNNNNNNNNNNNNNNNNNNNNNNNNNNNNNNNNNNNNNNNNNNNNNNNNNNNNNNNNNNNNNNNNNNNNNNNNNNNNNNNNNNNNNNNNNNNNNNNNNNNNNNNNNNNNNNNNNNNNNNUCUACGAUUUGCAUCAUUAUGGUGCAGUUGCCAGAAGUUUGUACAGUUGGAGACAUGAGCCAUUAACUCUGACGGGUGCGCUUUUCUUUUGGUCUGAGAAAGAUAUAUUGCUCCUGCUACCGUUUAUGCGAGCGGGCAAGCGUUGGAAGAUAAUGAUGUGGCGAACGCAAAUGCUGCACUCAACUGGAAUUUCACAGUCGACAACAACUUCACUUACUUGGUGCGUUUGCACUUCUGCGAGCUUCAGUACCAGCGGCUCUAUGAGCGGGUUUUCAUUAUUGAGAUAAACCGUGUAGCCAUUUACCAAUUUUUCGACAUCAUAGAAGAAGCCGGAGCUGCCUACACUCCCUUGUACAGAGACUUCAUGGUGCCCAUGAUCAAUACCUAUCCGAAAAUAAAUGUUAGGAUCGCCCCUGACCGUAGUAAUCCAAAUGCCAAGAAUGUUCUGUUGAAUGGUCUGGAGAUUUUCAAGGUUAACAACGCGAACUCCAGUCUUGCAGGUCCCAACCGUAUUAUAGAGCCAAACACUACCUCUGGUGGUACACAAACUACAAAUUCAAGCUCGAGCUCCAACUUAGGUGCCAUCAUCGGUGCGUCCAUCGGAGGCGUAGCCGCCGUUCUUGCGGCGGCUGCGUUGGUCAUCUUUUGUUGCUACAAGAAGAAGACCAAGUCUGACAAGCCUGGCGCACCAAGUCAUUGGCUCCCGCUGCCUCUGCACGGCAGCAGUACUGACCACAGCAAAGUGUCGACUAGUUCGGCGAAGAGUGGGAAGAGUGGUGCAGGAAGUUAUGUUUCUUCAGUUCCAUCCAACCUGGGCAGGUACUUCAGCUUCGCGGAGCUCCAAGAAGCCACGAACAACUUCGACGAGUCUUUGGUUUUGGGAGUGGGUGGAUUCGGCAAGGUGUACAAGGGUGAGACUGAUGAUGGGUCGAAAGUGGCGGUGAAGCGGGGAAACCCCAGGUCAGAGCAGGGUCUAAACGAGUUCCAAACCGAGAUAGAGCUUCUGUCGAAACUCCGACAUCGGCACCUGGUGUCACUGAUAGGGUACUGCGAGGAACACGGUGAGAUGAUUCUUGUAUAUGAUUACAUGGCCAACGGUCCGCUCAGGGGUCACCUGUAUGGAACAGACGAGGCUCCUCUGUCGUGGAAGCAGAGGCUGGAGAUUUGUAUCGGUGCAGCACGAGGAUUGCAUUACCUACACACCGGCGCGGCGCAAGGGAUCAUUCACAGGGAUGUGAAAACCACGAACAUCCUUCUGGACGAGAACUUCGUUGCCAAGGUGGCUGACUUCGGGUUGUCGAAAAUCGGGCCCGCGAAUGAAGUCACGCACGUGAGCACAGCCGUGAAGGGCAGCUUCGGGUACCUGGAUCCCGAGUAUUUCCGCAGACAGCAGCUGACGGAGAAGUCAGACGUGUACUCCUUCGGUGUCGUUCUCAUGGAGGUGCUGAGUGCACGACCGGCAAUCAAUCCGGCCCUUCCUCGAGAGGAGGUGAACUUGGCAGACUGGGCAAUCAAGUACUACAAAGCUGGCAUGCUGGAUCAGAUCGUGGAUGAGAAGCUGCGGGAUACAAUCAACCCCGACUCGUUGAAAACAUUCGGCGACACCGUCGAGAAAUGUCUGCAGGAGCAAGGUAUCGAUCGACCUUCCAUGGGUGACGUCCUGUGGAAUUUGGAGUACGCCUUGCAACUACAUGAAGCAUCUGUGAAGGGCGCCAUGUCCAGCCUUGAUCAAGAAAACUUCAGCACCGACUCUGAUAACAGCCACAUGAUCUCCGUGCCGCUGGUUGUGCCCAACCUUUUCGAUGACUCGUUGACGAUGCACAUAGAACGAAGAAUGCUGGAGGAGACCUCCUCUGAAGACCAAUCGGCGAGCGCCACAUUCUCUCAGUUAAUCGACCCUCAAGGUAGGUAAAGCACAGACGAUAGGUAGUUGAUAAACCACAAGAUGAAGGAGGCGGCGAGUAUCCAGGAAGGGAUCGUCUCACUGCUAUAGAUCGAACAAAUGUAGUUGUAGUUGAUGUGGUUUUUCACAUAAAAAAAUAAUAUUUAUGUUUCGCUUCAUUUGGCUAACUUCGAGUUUGAUUGGCAUUGCGCGAGGUCAUCUGGAGUUUGGGUAGUUCUGGGUUUAUCAACAAAAGUCUGUUGGCUUUGUUUGUGUUGUGGACACGUUGUAAUCCGCUUCGUUUGUAAUAUGUGUGUGAGGUGUACAUUACGAAGUUUGUCACGAAAGUUAAGGUGGUUUCACUGAUUCGAUUCAACGUAGGCGAAGUAGUCAAGAAUCUGUUGGCACAGCAGGGUCCAAUGACUGAGCGCUGGACGGUUGUCAAUCUCGUGCACCAUCUUGUGAAGUAAAAUACAGGUUCGAAUAAAGUCACUGCUGGGGCUGUUCGUUCCUGUGUUCUUGUCGUUCCAAUGAGAUAUUAAUAUGCGAGUGCCUGUUGUGGCUCGAUCAUAAGCAUCUUUCAGCAAUGUACCUCACUCAUUGUGGUUUACAUAUUACAGAUCUUCCAACUUUUUUAUCCACAUUUUAAUCUUCUCUUUUUAACACCACCCUCCGCCGAUUUGAGCCUCACAAACUGUUUGGUGCCUAUGCAUCACGUGUGCUUCAUGUAGGUGUGUGAUAUUUUCCGGAUUGCGCGGGGGCUUGGAAAUGACUGUAGCAGGUUGUGUUUAUUGUUGGCUUUGGGAGCUGCUCGUCGGCCGAAGACAGAAUACGGGGCAUUUUGAUCGCUCCAAAAGGAAGCAUCGAAGGGAAGGGCAUUGCUGCAACGACGUAAGUCUCUGGAUUAUCAGAUUCCACAAACACACCUGAUGAAGUCACAGACGACGCUGGCAUUCUUGUUGGACAUGGAUUCUGUAUCCUGUUUCAGUCGCUCCUUCCUUUACAGGAGUACAAUAUACACACUCAUUAUUACUCAAUUAAUAACAAGUAUCAAACAAUUCUCUAAUUCACCUAGUUCUAAUAUGGUAUCAGAGUGAAGCUCUGAAAUUUUUUUAUGGUACAAAACUCAGAAACACAAUAAAUAGUGAAAGAAAUAAAGGAGGCUUUGUAGAAGACGUUCUGCAUAGAAAGUUGGGGCACUAGCAAAUCCUCCUUUUUGUCUUAAAAGAAACAUGGCAACAAGCAGACUUGCCACAGAAAAAUGGCCCAAAUUGGAUGGCUCAUGGUACUCCAUCUAGAAGAAAAUGAUCCAGAUGAAGUUUGAAAUGGAAAAUAUGUGGGAUGUAGUUUCAAGUAAAGAAAAAGAACCAACACAAGUUCAAGACAUGAAUGCAACAGAAACAUCACCACCAACCAAUAGAACUGAAAUCUUUACUGGGAAAAAGAAGGAUCAGGUUGCUCUAAGAACAAUUUGGGAUUGUGUAGAAAAUUUGAUUUUUUUUCAUGUCAAAUCAUGCUAGAUAGCCAAUGAAGCAUGACUAGUCCUUGAAAAUACAUACUCCACAAGUCACUCAAACCCAUCUACAAGAAAAAUUCAUCACACAAAAGAUAAAAGUUAGAAAAUCAGUAACCCAACAUAUACAUAACUUCAAGAAUUUUCUUCAACAAUGCCAAUCUGUAGGAGUUAUCAUAUCCUCUCAAAUGAAAAUUCUCACUCUUAUGAGGUCCAUGCCAUCACAAUAUGGCACCAUGAUCCAAAUGCUAUACAAUGAAGACUUCAACACUUCCAAAAUUGAUUGUAAUCCUCCAACAAGAAGAAACAACUAUGAAAGGCUCUUCUUCUGACUGACAUGUCUUCUUUGUAGGACUCAAAAGAAAGACCAAAUAGCAACCUUACAAAUCAAUCCAAAAGACCAUAAGCUUUCAAAACCUUGUAAUAAACCUAUAAUACCUUGCUUUCUUUGGAAGAAAAUGAAACUUUUGGGUUCCAAGUGUUUUAAAAAUAAAAUCAAAGUUGCUAUAAAUUUAGCAACGACAAAUCAUGAAAAUAGGAAAAAUACACCUACGUGGAAGCAAGAACAAGUAGCAGAAUCAUCUCUCGCUUCUUAUACCUUUGUAUAUCAUACAUAAGCUUUUUGCUUGAAAAAAUUGCCUACACUAAUAACCACAAAAGAUACAUAGUAGUUCAUUGAUACUGGAGCCACACACCACUUAACAUAUGAUAAAAAUCAAUUUAUUAACUUCAAACCAUUUUUAUAUAGUGACAAUAAGGUCCAUCUUGGCAAUAAUACAACAUUAUCUAUCUAUGGCUAAGGAAAAGUGGAAAUUUCAAUGGUCAAUGGCUAAAUACUUUAUCAUUAAGCAUUGUUUAUUAUCUUGUGGCAAAAUACUUUGAUAAUGACUAUUUUUUAUUACCUUGUGGUAUUUUUGGCUCAGUCACCUUAAGAGUGUUUGCCUAUAGUAGCUUGUUUUCACCUCCACCUUCAUUGGAUUAUAUCUCAAGACCAUCUCUCAUGUUGUUUACUCAAUAUGCCUUCAUAGCAAACAUAUAAUCAGAAAUAUAAUCAGAAAAAUAAGCUAGUACAAGAGCCAUUCAACCUCUUAAAUAAUUAAUUUUGACUUGAGCGGCUACAUAGCUACACCAACAUUUUUUGGCUAUGAAUACUAUAUUAUGUUUAUAAAUAAUUUUUCUAGAUAUAAAGUGCUUUGAUUCCUUAGUCAAACAAGUGAAUACUUUUAUAUGUUCAAAAUCUUUCACACAUGGAUUGAAAAUCAAACUAGCUAUAAGCUUUGCACCUUCUAUUUUAAUUAAAGAGAAGAACACCUCCUCUUUCAAAUUCAAUCAAUACUCAAAAACAUGCAAAAUUUAGUGCCAAUUUAUCACAACUUAUAUACUAUGCCAAAAUAGUGUUAUUGCAUGCAAGAAUUGCACACUUUUUCAACUCUAUCCAGUGCAUGCUUCACUAGGCUCAUCUAUCCAAGCCAUAUUGGAAUGAAGCAGUCACUUGUACGGCUUAUCUUCAAAACCAACUUCUAAGAAAAACUAUUCCUCUUUAUACCACUCGAUUUGAAUUAUGGCACAAAAAAAAACCUAAUAUAGUUCACAUUUGUGUAUUUGAAAGUAGAUGUUUUGCAAAGAUCCUUGAUCUACUUUCUGUCAAGCUUGAUGAAAAGACUCAAGCAUGCAUUUUUCUUGGAUAUAGUUUGGUUAGCAAGGGCUACAAAGUCCAACAAGUUCACCUUGGUGCCAUCCUUGUUCCACAGGAUGUUAUAUUUUGAGAAGAGAAUUCUCUUCACUACAUUCAUAUUCCACUCAACCCCUUACCUGAUGUUGUCCUCCACGCCAACUCUAGCUUUUAUCACAUCAACGGAUUAUUUCUAUUUGCUUCUUCCACCCUGCCGCCAAUUCCAACUACUGGAGCCCCUUUGUCAUUGUUUUCACCCUUGGCAAUGGCACCCUUUCCCACUUUAUAGGCCCCUAAUCUGCCUACUCAUAUUGCUACACAAUCAAUGCCUAUUAGUGUUCCUCCUUUGACGUUGCAUUUUCACUUGCCAAAUCCACUUGAGGCUAUUUGUUCUUCUUUGGCUAAAAUCAAACCAAUCCCUAGCUCGGCCACUUUGGAAGUUGUGCUCUCUAUGGAUUUUAGGACAUUAUUAGUGCCUUCAUACCCUGUGCCACUGACUCUUCCACAUAACCCACUCUUCAUGGUCCCAUCCAACGUAAGCUCUCUAUCACUACCUUGACCUUCUCUGUGCCGCAUUGUAAUGUCUCUAACCAACCUGGCUCUCAUGCUGUACUUGGGAUAUCAUAUUCAUGAUCAUCUUUUUGAUGCUCCAUUUUAUUAAAUUCAUUGCAAUCCUUCUUAGUAUGAUAAGAAUCAUUAUAUCAAAUAUAUCUUUAUAUAUAGUCUUAUUUAAAAAUAGUCUUCAAAUUAUUUUUAGAAGUCUUUUCUUCUAAUCUUGUCAAUUUAAUUUGAAGAUCCUAGUGAGUUCCAUCAAUUCAUUUUAAUUAGUAGAUUGAUUUAAAAUAUAGUUUUAAAUUAUUUUAUUAUAUAAAUAUUAAAAUUAGAGAGUUUUUUGACUAUUCAAUUAUUUAUUAGAAUUUAGAAGUAUUUAUAAGUACAAAAUUCUUAUUAGAAGAAAAGUCAUAAAAGUAGAAUUUUAGUAAGUCUUGGAGGCAAUUAUCUUAGUUAAUUUUGUAUUUUUAUUUAUUGUUAAGUAUUAAAGAUUAGUUAUUAAAAUCAAUAUCUUUAUUUUUCUCCUAUCUAUAAUUAUUACUUAUAAAAAUCCUAUCAAUGAUUAGUUAGUAGUUAGAAGAAGCAUGAAGAAAAUAUCAUGUCUUUUUAGUUAAUUAUAUAGAAAAUACGAGUAUUUUAGUAGAUGUAAAUUGAUUUUAUUAUCAUAAAAAAUCACUACGAUAGAAAAAUAUAGUCUUAAAUAGAUUUUAUUAUUAUAAAAAUAUUACAUGAUUUUUUAGAAUUUAUUUAGAAUUUAUUUAGAAUUUAUUCAGAAUUUUUUAGGAAUUUUUAUAGAAGAUUAAAGACCUUUGUAAAAUUGAGUUUUUCCACUUUGGAAGCCAUUAUGAAGAAAUGAAGUAAGAUUCCCAGGCUGUACAAGGUUCUUAAGUGAAUUGGGUAUUUUCAAACAUCAUAGUGAAGUAAAAAAUGCAAAAAAAAGAGUUUUACUAGUAGAAAAAUAAGAGGACCAACAGCUAAUUUAAUCCUUAUAGAAAAAGAAGUGCAUAAGUCCCAUAUGGAUUGUAGUACCUUAGAUAUUGGUAGGAAGAUAAGAUUGAGGCCUUGUAGCCUCUCUUAACAAUCCAUAUAUACUACUUCUGAGCCUUAGUGAGGCUCGAAUUCUUAAUCUCUUAAAGUAAGUUAUUCUUGAGAUAAAAAUUAUUGACUUUAUUUUUCUAUUGUUUAUCUUUUAUCUUAAAUCUAUCAUAACUUAUUCAUAGUAACUUUGAUUUAUAUUUUUUUAUAUCAUUGAAAAGAUAAAAGAAUUAUCUAUCUAAAAAUAUAUAUUUUUUACUUUUUAUUUUUACUUUUUAUUAAAUAAAAAUCCAAUAAAUAAACCAUGACUAGUUUUAUAGUAUAUAAUUGCUUGAUUACAUUUGUUUACUUGUUUUGUAUUGUUCUUCUUUUUUUCUUGUUCUUUCUACUUCUACUUUAUAUCAUCAAUUACAAUCAACUCUUAAUAAAGGCCAUCUUGAAAUUUGGAUGGAAAAAAAAAUUCACCCUCACAAUCUUACAUCUCACGUAUAAUCUCUUCAACUCUCAUAUCUUCUUUUAUUGAUAUAGAUGCUGGAGAUUGAACAAUUAGCAUUUUUAAUUGUAUUAUAUAUACUUGAGUUUUAGAUGCAUAUAUUAUGCUUAAAAUAUUAACCUUAUCUAUCUUUCUUUCUUAUUUUACAAGUAAAUCUACGACAUCUAUAUCAUUUUUUCAUUUUGUUGUCAAUUCUUCAUCUUCUUUAUCUUCAAGAAGAAAUUCCAAUAUUUCUUAUAACUCUUCAUUGGAAGCUUUAAGAAAUAAUUCAAUCUUAUUUGGCUCUAUUAUUAAUUUUUCCAUCUUUGAUAAUAAAAAAUAUAGCCUCUUAAAUUCCCUCAAAAGCUCUAUAGCUUACUAAUUCUUAUUAAGCCACUCAAUCCAUUCCAAAAAUUUUUUCUUGGUAAUUUAAUUGAUAUCCUUUAAAAAAUAUUUGUUCUUUAAUACAUGUGGAAAUUUCUCCCAUAAAUAUCCAAAAUGAUCCCUAAUUGAUUUAAUAUAUUUUCUUAUUUCUAAUAUUAUAAUAAGUCCAAAUAUCUCAAUUAUCUUCUUUUCAAAAAUCCAAUUCAAUUCUAUUUUCCAUGCAUAAUAUUUCAAAAACUUUGAAAUAUUCCUUCUAUCAAAUUGGUCAAUUUUGUUAACCAUUUUUUAUAAUAUUUUAUGUAAUUAUUACCCUAUUAUUAUUAUAUAAAUAAUAUAAAUACUUAAAAAAUAUUUGUAGUAUUUGAAUUAUAGUACAUACCUUUUUUACUAGUAGAAAAUCCACUUGAAGCUCCACUUGAAGUUCUACUUGAAUCUCCAUCCAAAACUUCAUCAAAAACUCCAAAAUCAACUUUCUUACCUUCUUGUGCUACUAAUUCAAAAUAACCGCAAAUAUAAUUCAAAAUCUUCCACUUCAAACUUUCAUAUUGGAUUUAUGAUUUAUAUCAUAUUAUAUAUUAUCUUAUUUUAGAAUGUACUAGUGUUGUAUUAUAUAAACUCUUAUUUAAAAAUGUACUAGGUACCUAAUUAUGGGAGGUAAAUAGAAAUGUAAAAAAAAUACUACUAAGUAAAAUAGAGACUUAAAUAACAUUAAGUAAACCUCAAUAAUCUUCAUUGAACUUUGACUAAUUCAAAAUUAACUUAAAAGAAUUUAGAAAAUAGACACAAAAAAGUCCAGAAUUUAUUUCAAAGAAAAAUAAUAAGAAAUCUUUUAAAAAUAUAAAAAUAAUAUUUUUAAAAAAUAAAAAUAAUCUUAAAGAAAUAAUAAAAAUAAAAAUCUUAAUACAAACUUAAUUGAAUCUUAUUCAAAUCCUAGAUCAAAUCCUAAAUAAAAUCCUAAGUUAAUCUUAAUCAAAUCUUAGGUCAAAUCUUUGUAAAAUCUUGAUAAAAACUUAAAUCCUAAAUAAAUCCUAAAUAAAUCCUAGUUAAAUUUUAAUCAAAUUUUAAACCAAAUUUUAAGCAAAUCCUUCUCCUAAUCAAAUUCUAAACCUAAUUUUAAGCCCUAAUCAAACCACAAACAAAUCCUAAAUCAAAUCCAAUAGCUAAUUCGAACCUCAACAACUAAUAAUUGAGUCAUUGAUAUCAACUCAAAAAUUGCAAACUUCUUAAUAACUUAAUUAAAAAUAAGUGAAAAAAAGAUGAAAUCAAUUAUACUUACGAAUUGAAAGAAAUACAAGAUAAUCCUAUUGGAUGUUAGGUAGCUUCCUACUCCAAUCUAAAUAUUGAACUUCUAAUGCCAAUAUCUUUUGCUUGAAUUAUUAAAUUUCUCUCAAAAUAUACUUAAAAUGUUGGAAAUUGAGUCUAGUAUCUAUAUAAAAAAAAUUCACUUCAAUCCAAUUGAAAAAUCACUAAAGAUCUUAAAAAUACUUACUAAUCCUCAAACUCCAAUUUCUAAGACUUCAACCCACAAAAACCUUCAUACAUUUUGAUCUUAUUGUUUGAUUGAUUUCAAAAUUUGCAUACAUAUUUACAACUAGCACACCAAUACACUAUUCAAAAUCAACUAAUAUGAAUACUAGUAAACUUAAUAAACUCUCAAAUUUGUAUAAAUGCUUUUAUUUCUUAAAAACUAAAAUAAUCAAGAACAUUAUUAACUUUGAAAAUUCUUCGAAAACUCAAUAUUGAUUCAAUUGAUAUAAAACUAAUACCUAAAAAUCUCUCUUUAAGAUUGCUAUCAAAUCCUAGUCUUUGAUCUACCAAAGACCUCUAGAAUCACUAUAGAUGUGUGGUUUUAUGCCUCAAGGUCUGAUUUCGACCUAGGUUGACAAUCAAUCCUCUCUAAGUAUCAAUUUUUAGCUUCUUGAAGUAAAUUUUGCUAAAAUCUAAUCUUAAUUGCCUCCUAUGUAUGCCUACCUUAUUUAAUUUCCUAAUCUAUUUUUUUUCUCUAUUUAUGGCCUUGAAAAAUAAAUAGAAGCCUAUUUUUUAAAAAGGCAAUAUUAGCAUUCUUUAAUUUUACUAUCUUGUUGACUAUUAUCUAUAUUUUAAAGAUAAAUUGCUAUAAUAUUUUAAAAUAAUAUAUUUUAUAAUAUAUAUAUAUAUAUAUAUAUAUUUAUUUAUUAACUGUAUUAUAUCAUAAUAAUGCCAUGCAUAUUUUGAUGGUGAAAAGAUUUUAAAAAAUAUUCUUAAUUAUUAUCAAGAUUUUUAAGGCAUUUUUGAAAAAUAAAAUAAAAAUAUUCUUUUGAAGCAUUGAUCAUAUGCUUGUUCAAUUUAUCUUCAAGAAAAAGCUCAACUACCAUUUGGACCAACCUAUUGCUAAUUGCAAAAUGAAAUGGCUAUACUCAAGGACUACAUUGAUAAGAGCUUGACUAAAAACUUCAUAUACUAUUCAAAAUUUUCACUAGGAGCUCUUAUCAUGUUUUAAAAAAGAAAUGAUAGACCUUUGUGGAUGUGUGUAGAUUAUCAAGGAUUUAAUUAAAUUACCAUAAAAAUUAUUUAUUCUUUUAUUAAAGACAUGAAUCUUCAAUAAUAAAAUCUUCAAUACACUCUUAUAUUACUUGAAAAGACUAAGAAAUCACUCAACAAUGGCAAUAUAUUUUAUCAUAUAUUUUAUCAUAUGGUUGAUAGCUAUUUUAUCAUAUGGUUGUUAUCAUCUUAGUAUAUGGUAAAAUAGGUGUGUAUUUGAAGAUCAUAUAUUGCCAUUGAUAGCUAUUUUAUCAUAUGGUUGAUAUCAUCUUAGUAUCAACCAUAAGGAGAAAUCAUUCCGUGAACAUUUGCAUAUAAAAUAGCUAUAAUUUGAUAAGGAGAAAUCAUUCUCUGAACAUUUGCAUCAACUUUUAAGUUGGCAGCAAAGUAACAUCAAUAUGGUUUUUGGGCAUUUUUUUACAAUCUAUAAGUUUGAUUGAAGUAAAUUCUUACUAAAAACAUAAAAGACUUGUAGUAGCAUUUGUGUACAAAUUUUUACUCUAAGUGAAUGAUUAAAUCAUGAGCUACAAUUUGUUAAAGCUUGCUAAUUAGGAUUAAGGUUUGUAAAGAAAGUUCAAAAUUGCCUAAUUAUUGAAGUAAAAAGGCAAUUGGAAUUUAUGUAUGAUUGAAACUACUAAGAAGAGUAUUUUUGAGUGCUUUGUAUUGGAUUUAAGAACUUUUUAAUUAAAAUUCAAAUUAUAUUCUUUUUAUAAGGGCAAAAUAUAUUUAGAUUUGUGGAUAUUUAUAAAACUUAAUUACACCUUCUACAACCAGAUACUCGGUGCAUUUCCAAAUUGGAUGAUUUAUAAUAUGACAUAAGUAGUGAACCUGACAUGAAAGUUUGGGAUGUAAGGUAUUGGAUUAUAUUUGUGGUUAUUUGAAAUUGAUGGCGCAAGAAGUCAAGAAGCUUGAAUUUGGUGUCUUUGAUGGAAUUUUGGAUGGAACUGCAAGAGGAUCUUCAAAUGGAGCUUCUAGUGAAUUUUCUACUAAUGAAAAAGAUAUGUACUUUGAUCCAAAUAGUACAAAAAUAUUUCAAGUAUUUACAUUAUUUAUGCAACAACAAGAAGGCAAUGAUUGCAAAAAGGCUUUGGCAAUCAAAGCAUUACAAGCGAUGGUUAAUAAGAUUGAUCAAUUUGAUGGGAGAAUUAUUUUCAAAUAUUUGAGAUAUUAUGUGCAGGAAAUAAAAUUGAAUCACAUUUUUGAGAAGGAGAUGAUUCAAUUAUUUGAGCUUGCUAUGGUGUUGUUAUCAGAGUAGAGAGAGUUUGCUAUAAGAAAGCAUUAGGCUCUUGGUUGCCACUGAUUGCUCAAUCAAGACUUGAGAUAAGAAAGACCAAAUUUUUAUAUAUAUAUAUAUAUAUAAUACUUUUAGGUACUAUUACACCAAAUAUAUAAGUCUUAAGUUCCCAAAUCAUCCAAACUAUGAUAAAACCUCUAAAUCCUUUAAUAUCCUCAUGGGAUAUUAUUCUUGAACUUUAAAAAUUCAUAUCUUCCAAUUGAACCAUUCAAACACAUUCAAAUUUUACAUGAAGUAUUGAUGUACUUUUAAAAACUACCACAACAAAUUUCAAUUGCAAAUUCAUUGCAGAUCUUAAGUUAUCACCAAAAUCCUAACAAUAGCUUCAAACCCUAGUUUUUAUACAUUUAUGUGCAAUUUUCUUCAUAUCUCACAAAAUAAACACUCAAAUGACACAAAAUUUAUAUUUAUAGUUUCUUCACAUAAUAAUCUAUCUUUUUAAAAAGGUUUAAGAAAAAAAUUCGUCCAAAAACUCAAGAUAUGGCUCCAUUUAAUACUAUGAACAAAAUCACUUAUUCAUUGCCUUUGAUUUGGAUGCACUGACUUUAACUCUCUAUAACUUCUUUAUCCGAACUCUAAAUUUAUCAAAUAAUAUAUGAAAAGUUUAGUAAAAAAAGUGUUCUCUCCAAAAUUAGUUGCCGAUCCUUUGUUGUUCUCCGUAAACAUAUGUUAUGCUCCAAAGAGUGACAAUAGGUAUGAAAUUGACACCUUAACUUUGAGCGCCAAGAACUCCUUCAUAAGAACUCCAAAUCACACAAAAUUCGCAUCCAAUCCAUAAUCAAAAACCUGAAUUUUUUGAUCCUAGCCUUUAAAGCUCGAAUGACCUCAAAAAAGAAAUCUUAAUUCCUAAUAAGACCUUAGGUAGCCUCUUUGAAGCCUAUUAGGCAUGGCCUUUGACCAAUAGGAAUGAAGAUCUUCAUUUCUUGUCUUCAUCCAACCAUGUCUUGCUUUCAUCCCUCCCAAUAAGCCUCCUACUAGUUUAGAUUUUCUUCUUUAGGCUCUAAUCUCCUCUCAAGGCUUCAUACAAAACAUUUAGGUCCUAUAAUUUUUAUAAAUACUAUAAUCAAAAUAGAUAAAAUUUAAAAUAAUUUUUUUUAUAUCCACUCUCUUUUAAUUAAUCUAUUAAUCAUUUUAACAUAUACCAAGACUUAUGAACAUAUUAUAUAUUCUAACUAAUUUUUACAUAUUAUAAGCAAUUACAGUACAAUAUCGUAUUUCAAAGUGUUUGGCUUGAGAAAGCACCGAACAUCUGGACAUAGAAGAUAAAAGGAAAAUUUCAAAAAUAAGUCCUAAAAACUCUAAUAAAUUCUUAAAUAAAUUAUAAUUAAAGAUUAGCAAAUAUAAUCAAACAUCAAUCAAAUUCAAUUAAAAUUUCAAAGAAAUUAUAUAAAAAAUACAUAGAAUUUCUAGAGAUCUUUUAAAUAAAUUAUAAAAAAAUUACAUAGAAAAUUUUAAAAAAAUUACUAAAAUAUAAAUCUUAAUAAAAAAUUAAAAUAAAAAUCUUAAUUAAAUUUCAGUCAAAAUCUAGUCAAAUCUUAAUUAAACCUUAGUCAAACUUUGAUCAAAUCCUUAUCAAAUUCUAAUCAACUCCUAAAUAAGUCCUAAUCAAUUCUAAAAAAUCCUAAUAAAAUUCUAGUCAAAUCCUAAUCAAAUCCUAAAUAAAUUAUAAACAAAUCCUAAUCAAAUCCUAGACAAAUCAUAAAUAAGUUCUAACUAAAUCCUAAAUAAAUUCUAGUCCAAUUUUAAACAAAUUUAAACCAAAUCCUAACCAUAAUCAAAUCUAAAAUCCUAAUCCUAAUCCUAAUCAAAUCCUAGCCUUAACCAAAUCUUAAAUCAAUUCAAAAUCCUAAUAUUAAUCUUAAAUAAAAUCCUAAUCAAUUCCAAAUAAUUCCUAUAGCAAAUUUAAACUUCAAUAACUAAUGAAUGAAUCAUUGAUUUUAACUCAAAUUUUAUUUUUUUCUUAAAAAUUAAAUUAAUAAUAAGUAAAAUAAAAUUAAAAAUGAUCCAAAUUACUAAAUAGAUGAUAACCUCAAAAAUGUUCUUAGAUGUCAGUCGGCCUCCUUCUCUAAUCUUGAUGCCAAUCUAUUAAAGCCAAUUAUUCUUGAUUAAAUUUUUAAUUUGCUUCCAAAAUUUACUCACUUAUUAGAAAUUAAGCUGACUUCCUCUAUUAAAAAAAAAAAAAAAAAAAAAAAAAAUACCUCAAUUUAAUCGGUAGAUUGAUAGAUAUUUAAGAAAACCUCAAUAGUAUUCAAAAUCCUAAAUUCUAAGACUAUAACCCACAAAAACCUUCAUGCCUUUCAAUCUAACCAUUUGAUCAAAUCAAAAUUCACAGCACACAUCAAGCAUAAUUACACCUACAAAUCCAAAAAAUUUCACUUAUAGAUCUAUUUUCAAACUUACAAAAUUCUCCAAAAAGUAUCACUUGUUUUAUUUCAUAAAUCCAAAGUCAUCCAAAACAAAUCCCAACUUUGCAAAGCUCUUACAAAGUCAAUAUAUACUCAACUCAAUCCAAAUCAAUGUUCAAAGAAAUCUUAUUAAGUCAGCUCCUAGAUCUUAUUCUUUGAUCUCCAAAAGAACUCCAAAAUCAUUGUCAAGACUUAGUUUUGUGCAUUGGGGUCUGAUUUCGACCCUAGUUGAUAACUCGUCAUCUCUGAGUAUCAACUCUUGGAUUUUUAAGGUAAUUUUUACUACAAACUAUUCUUAAAUUCUUUCCAAAGGUGUCUAUAUUUUUUAUUUUUCUAAUAUACCUUAUUUUGCUCUAUUUGUGGUCCUACAAAAAGAAUAGAAGCCUAUUUUACAAAAAGGUAGUAUUAAUACUUUUAAUUUUUCUAUUCUUUGACUAUUAUCUAUUUUACUAAGAUAAUUUGUUACAAUAUAUUUGAAAUAAGAUCUUCAAAAAUAUUAUAUUUUCUUCACAUUUUUACCUAUUAGCCAUUUUAUAUCACAAAAAAAAUAUUAGAGAUAAGGGAGCAUAUAAGGUCUAUUAUAGAGCAAUUUAAAAGUUCAUGGGAGGUAAUUUCACAUGCGUUGAAGGAUGAGUAUUUUUUCAAAGAUACUGACUGAGUUAUCAAGAAAUCAUUCUUGGGAUGGAUUAAACGACCUAACAAGAAUAUAUAAGCUACAAAAUUAUUAAAAAAAAUUUAAAGAUAAUUUUUUUGAUUAUUAAAAAUAGAAAAGUUAAUAUUGGGAUCAAAUAAGGUUGAAUUGUUUCUUGAAGCUAGUGAUGGAAAAUUACAAGAAAAGUUAGAGGUUCUUUUUGAAGACAAGGAAGAAAAUGAUGGAUUGAAAAUAAACUAGAGGGCUAUUGAAGAUGCUAUUGGAUUGCUUGCCAAAAGAAAAAAAAAAAAAAAAGAAUAGGAUUGAUGCUCGAAUAGUGGUAUAAGUAUCAAAGACCUCAAUGCUUACUAUACAAUUGAUUGUACCUAUUGUCCAACCUCCACUAGCUAUACCAAAGAAAGAAGAUAUGGAACUUCAAGAGAUUGUACGUGGGAUAGAGGAUCUUCAAAUCAAAUUUACAAGGCUUGUAGAGAAGACUUCUACAACUAGUUCAAAAGCUACUUUUAAAUAAGGAUAUGUGCAAAGAUGUAUCUCAUAUCAUGAUGAUUUUUAUUUUCAAAAAGAUUGUGGUGAAUUUGAUGAGGUAAUAUAACAAGGCAUUGUUUAUUGAAAAGAUGAAAAAAUUGAAUUGAAAGAUAUUGGUGAUCUUCUCCAAACCAACUUUGAUAAAGAAGGUAUAAAAGCAUUAAUUUAAGAUUUUUUUGGCAAUACAUAGGAUUGCAGCAAUGGAAGCUACAAGUUAUGGAAUUAAGGUGGAUAAUGAUUGCAGACAAAUUUUUUUUGGAAAUAUUCAACCAAUUGGAUUUUGAUCUUCUACUAUUUCUAUAAUGCAAAAAGAGAAGAUGCCAUAGGAAGCUUUAUUGAAAAAAAUUGUAAUAAUUUAUAGUACUACGAGUUGAGAGGAUCUUAUAGAAGCUUUGUCAGUACAUACAUAUAUUGUUAAAAGCCAAUAUGAAGUUUUAAUGGAAGAUAAGAAGAGAAGAAAUUUUGAUGAUAGAAGAUAAAGAAAUUUUUCUAAGAGGGAAACUUAAGGAGAUAAGGCUCGUGCAAUAGCUUCACAAGAAUUGCUCACAAAAUAUACUUCAAUAAUAUUGAAAGAAAAAAUAAAAGAGAUGAAAGAUAAAGGUAAAUUGACAACUUACAAACUACUCUCUGAUAUUGAAGCUGCAACAGAUUUAAAGGGAGUGCUUGAAGAACAUGUGCUCAAUGCUAAGAUUGAAUUUAUAUUAAAAGAGAUUUUAGGAAUUAUCAAGAAAGACUUUGAUGAUGUCAUUAUCAACAAUAUUAAAUGAAAGAGGUAAUUAAUGGGAGAAGCUAGAUUGAAUCAUGCUAUUGAUGCAUAUAUAUAUGAGAGUGAAGAAGUUAUAUUUCACAAUUAUUACAAACAAUCAACAAGUAAAGAGAGGAGUCAUAAUCAAAGAUUAUGUUUUGAUAAUCAAAGUAAUAAAGAUAGAAAGAUUUUAAGUCAUUAUAUUUGGAAGUAUUGGACUAGAACAACUACAGAGACAUUAGUGAAGGUUGAAGAUAUGGAUGAGCUAGUUGUUACUUUGAUUGACCAUGGUUCGGAGAUAAAUCUUAUGUCUAAGGAUCUUUACAUAAAACAAAGGUGGCCAAUUGAUAUGGAGCAUGGAUGGGCAAUACGAGCAUCUAAUAAUAUAGAAGGUGAGUUAUAUGGUACUUGCCUAGAUGUGAAAAUUUGAAUUGGUGAUGUUGUAAUGGAGCAAAAUUUCUUUGUUCAAGAUAUGUCUUAUCCUCUUAUUUUGGAGCAACCAUAUAUUAUUGCAACUCAAAUAGAAAUAAAGAUACUUAAUGAUGGUUUAACUUAUAUACAAAUUUGUAGUGAGGAUAGGAGGAAGGUAGUACAAUUUUUUAUUAUGCAUCUAAAUCAUGAGCGGAAUUGAGACAAAUUGAGAGAAAAUCCAUUGCUAAGGAUUGUUGAAGAAUUUAAGGAUUUUUUAGAGAUACUGCUAUAAAGUAAGAUUAUAGAAGUCCAGAAGGAGAGGUACUCUCAUGAGAUGUAGGUACCUUUGAUGGAGGAUUUAUUGAUAUUUUUGAGAAUGAAAGUAUUAUAUAUAAGAGGAUUAAAGACUUAAAAAGAAAAAAGAGAAAAUAAUUAUGAGGUAUUAAAAAAGAAUUAUAUGAAUUAAGUAUAUUAGAAGAUAAUAAAAAGAUUACUGGUAUUUAUGAAGAAAAUAGAUUGGAGGAUCUUUUGGAAUAAAUUACUUCUAUUGAAUUAGGUAACAAUGAUAAAAUUAUACCAAUUCUGUGAGUCCCACCCUUGAAUCAUAAUUGGUGGAUUGAUUAAAAAUAUAAUAUUGAGUCAUUUAAUGAGAUAAAUAUUAAGGUUAGAGAGUCUUUUUGACUAUUUACAUAUUUAUUAGAAUUUAGAAGUAUUUAUAAGUAUAAAAGUCUUAUUAAAAGAAAAUUUACAAAAAUAGAAUCUUGAUAAGUCUUGGAGGUAAUUAUUUUAGUUGGUAUAGUAUUUUCACUCAUUAUUAAAUAUUAAUAAUUAGUAAUUGAGACCAAUGUCUAUAUUAGCUUCAUACCUACAUGUAUAAAUUACAAAAAUCCUAUCAAUGAUUAGUUAAUAGUUAAAAAAAGCAUAAAAAAGAACUUCAUGUCUUUUAAAUUAUGUAUAUAGAAAAUAGGAUUUUUAGUAGAUUUAAAUUGAUUUAAUUAUUAUAAAAAAUAAAUAAGAUAGAAAAAUAUAGACUUAUAUGAAUAUUAAUAUUAUAGAAAUAUUAAAGGAUUUUUUUAGCAUUUAUUUAGAAUUUAUUUAUGAUUUUUUAUGAAUUUUUAGAGAAAAAUUUUAAGACCUUGGUAAAAUUGAGUUUUACCACCUUGAGAGCCAUUAUGAAGAAAUGAAGCAAGAUUUGAAGACUAUAUAGAGUAUCUAGGCUAGUUGGAUAUUUUUAAAUACCAUGGUGAAGUCAAAAAUACAAAAAAAGUAGUUUUAUUAGUAGAAAAUAGGAAGACCAGCAGCCAGUAUAGUCCUUGUAGGAAGAGAGGUGCACAAUUCCCAUAUGGAUUGUAGCACUUUGAAUAUAGGUAGGAAGAUAAGACUAAGGCCUCAAGGCCUCUUUAGACAACCAAUAUAUACUACUUGUGAGCCUUGGUGAGGCUCGAACGUUGUCGUAUUACGUGUUUUCUUGCUCGAGAAUGCACCGGGCGUUUGGGUGUAGAAGGUAGUAUGGAGAUUCGCUAAUAUUCAAGCAGUCUAUUGGUUUUGACUGUUGGAAUAUAAACAACUAUAAGAAUAUACCAUAAAUCUAUAUGGAUGUCCUUCGACUGCUCGUCGAAACCCUUUUUGUCCCAGCUGGUAGGUCUCUAGACGUUACAAAAAACCCCGAACAACCCAAUCUGCUAAUCUCUGAUACCGCUUUAUACUCACGACCUUGUAUCCACUGACUGUCUUAUUAGAUUAAUCCAAAAAUUUUCAUUCACUCCGCAUACUCAAUCCUAUAGAGACUUUUUUAAUUCUUCAAUCACAGAUGUAACUUUGAUUUCACAAAACUGUCAAGAGUAAUCACACCUACUUCAUUAAAAAUCUCGAUUCACCAUUACAACACUGACUUCAGCAACAAUUGCCUCGGUCUUUCUAAAACCCUAUGAAGAAAAAAAAACCCCAAUCCUCUGUCUUUUUUUCCUGCCCGAAGCAUGAAGCUAGCUUUCCAACCCUUCUUCAAAAACCUUAUUCUCUCCUCUCCAUUUCUUAACCUAUCCUCCCCUUUAACCCUAAUUCUCCCCUCUUUCAAACCCUAGCCUCUGAAUUUCUUCAAUCUUCUGUCUUGGAUUUGGAAUUGGCUCCCGCCGUCAGAGCUUUCUCCUCCAUUUUUACCUUUAAGAGAUCCUUUUACUGAAAGGACAUUCCUGAAAUGGCACAAAGGAUGGAACAACCUGAAAUGGAAUCGGAACCUCCGUAAUCGGGACCACAUUGAGUCACCCGACCAAUUCAGAUCUCAUAUUGGCUAAGAGGCUCGUAGUAAGAUCUGGAUGUUCCCGUAAUUGGACCGCAUUGGGUUGCCCGACCAAGUCAGGUCUCAUAUUGGGUAAGAGGCCCAUAAUAGGACUUGGAUUAGAUGUCUUGAAAUUGGAUCCAAUUGGCUCUUUGAACCAGGCUCACCCGUCGUUGAAUUGGUCCUUUUCUUUUCUGCUGACUUUUGUUAUUGGAAUCGAACGGAGCAUUUCAGUAUGCCUCGGUUGACUGUAACAGGGUGACUGACCCUGGCCUCUCAAUAUUUGUACUAGAAUUGGUCGUUGCCCUCAAUAUUUGAGGUAACUAAAUAUUAAUAAAAGUCCCCUUUCUUUAUAUUUUCACGGUAUACUCGUGUUACAACACGACAUCCAACCCCUCUAAACCUAUACAUUCUCCGGUAUACACCAAUUUAUCCAAUUGUUGUUUGAUUUAGAAUAUAUCCUCUACGUCUUUGUCUAGUUCGUCUUUGUCACCUUCAUUAUCUAAAUCACUUUCAUCUUCUUGUUGUGGAAUCUCUAUACCUUCAUUAAGGUCUUCCAUAUUCAUCUCCGUGUGUCUUCGUUUAAAUAUUUUUACUCGCUUCCCUACAAUUGGUAUUUUUAAUUUUGUACCAUCUAACUCCCGUAAUGAGUAAGUCGCAUUAUCAUGAACAGUUGUUACUACAUAUGGUCUAAACCAACGUUUUGAAAAUUUCCGCAAAGUACUAUGUUGAUUAUCCAGACUAUUGUCAUAAACAAGUACCCAGUCACCUUCCUCGAUUGCUUUAGGUCUCAAUCGAUGUUGCUUAUCGAAUCGCGCCUUGUUUUGUAACCUUGCGCUUUUUAACCUUUCCAAUGCUAUUUGCACAUCUUCCGAUCUUUGCUCCAAUUGUCGAAUCCUAAUAGCCAAAAGUUCUUCUCUUGCCAAUCCAUCUUUCCAUGGUAGCAUACUCCAAGUAAGUACCUUUUCUUCAAUCGGCAUAAUUGAUUUUCGACCUGUUAUAAGUUCUACUGGCAUAUAUCAUAUCACUGAACUAUGUGUUGUUCGAUCAGCCCAUAAUACAAAUGACAAAAGCCGUGGCAACUCUUUAACUUUCCCAUUACAAACUUUAACUAAUGCUUUCAUAAUCGGUCGGUGACCGCAUUAGCUUUUUGCAUUCCUUUCCGGAUUAAAAGUAGUAGUCAGUGAUAGUUUAACUCCACAUCUUUCAAAGAACUUACGAGCUUUUUGUGCAUUUAAUUCUCCACGAUCUGCAAUGAUUUUUUCUAUGCAUCAGUAGCGGCAAAUGACAUCUUCAAGCAAAAAUCUACAAAUCCCCUUUGUAGAUUUUGUCCUCAAUGCACUUUCUUCUUCUUGAUUUGAUAAAUCUUCACGAGCUAAAACCAAAUAUCUCAUCUGCCAUAACCCAACUGGCAUAAUAACCAAAUCAACAACCCAUUUAAAAUGAAUAGCCAAAGGAUACGUAGGAUGAAGACCAUCUCGAUGUCGGAUAUUAGAAUACCAUUAACAGAUUUCACAUGAUUCUACAAAUGAGAGCACAUCUCGAUACAUAUUUUUCCACCAAUAUCAUUCCUUGAGUUUAGCAAAAGUAGCCCAGAUUCCUCUAUGUCCUGCCCAUAAACUAUCAUGGAACUCCUUUAAUAAUUUUAGUUUUUCUUCUUUUUUGCCUAUCACUCGUUGUGGCAUCUCAAUUCCUUUCUUUGGUCUCUUCCAUAAAAAUCCAUCUUGAAGCAAAAAUCCAUAUGCUUUUUUUCUUAUUUGUUUGAAUUUUUCUGUAGACCAAUUCCCUUGCUUAAUCAAGGUAUUCAAGUAAUGACCAAUAUCCAAUAAUUCUCCUUCAUAAGAUUCUUCAAGAAAUAGCUUGUCUUCUCUGUUGAGAUUUGAUAUUGAAUAGAAUUUCAAUCCGACGUCAUCAAUGUCUUCAAUCAUUUCGUCCUCCCUCUCGUAUCUUGCUCGAGAUAUCAUGUCUGCUACUAAAUUAUCCUUCCCAAUAACAUGCUUAAAUUCUGGAUUUAGUGACUUAAUAUAAGAAAUCCAUCUCAACAUUGCAAUAUCUGGCAUUGAACAGUUAGUAAUCAUUCCAAGCAAUGGCAAGCAAUCUGUUUCAAUUACUACUACUGUCCCAAUCAAAUAGUCCUUUUCAGCUUUCAUAGCCAAAACAACUCCCCAAAGUUUACUUUUGACUUGCGAGUAUGCACACUAACGAAUACUUAAAAAUUUAGCUCCAAAUCGAACUGCAAAUCUAUUCCCACUUGAAUCAUCUUGGCCCAUAGCCCAUCCAAUGGCAAUUGGACUAGCGUCCACAGUAAGAAUCACUGGUCUAUUGUACUUAUAAUGAACCUUCUUCAAUAUUGGAGGUGACAUCAAUAAUUUCUUCAAUCUUUGCAUUGCCUAAAUAUGCCUUUCUUCCCAUUUAAAUUGGUAGCACUUGUGUAACAGUUCAUAUAAUGGAUCCGCUAUGUGAGCAAAAUGAGGGAUCCAGAUUCGAUAAAAUACACAUAUACCUAAAAACCUAUGAACCUCUGUUAAAGAAUUACAAUCCUCUUUCAUCCUUCCAAUUGCAUCAAUUUUAGUCAGAUCUAUUUUUUUUCCGUAAGAUCCACAUAAAUGUCCAACAAUCACAACCUCUCGUACUUCAAAUACGGACUUCAUACCCGAUAAUGUAAGAUGAACUUCUCCAAGCCGAGUUAAAAUCUUUUCACAAUCUUGUAUAUGAUCAACAAUAUAUUUGCGACACCCCCUCGAAUCUAAAGUUUCAUCCUUGUCUCCUUCUCUGCACUCUUUUAUAGGAACAUCAUCCAAAAAAGGCAUAGUCUUUUCCAGAAUAAAAUCUCUCAAUAUCUUAUUCAUCCCAUUCAUCAUAUGCGCAACUGAGUUGGUCGCGCCUUGAGGAAUAGUACACAUUCUAACCAAUCCAAGUGGUGUCCUCAUCGUCGUCAUAUCUCUACUUUCUUCGGCAAGUUGAAAUUGAUCAUAACCUAAAUACAAGUCACCCAUUGAAUAGAUCGCCCUUCCUGCAAACGCCUCAGCAAAUUCAUCCACAAUAGGUCCAAUUCAUGCAUUCCUGAUAGUUACUGCAUUCAUCGGUUGCAUAUCUUGAAUAAACCGUAGUGACCCAUUCUUCUUAGGUACCAUAAACCAUCGACUAGAAUAUGGUACAAAUGAGGGUUUCAAUAUUUUCAUCUUUAUCUUUUCUUUUAAUAGUUCCACCAAUUUAGGUAAAUGUACCCACGGUACUGGAAUCGGUCUUAGAUUCCAAGGUACAUACGAUACAGUGAAGAUAACCAUAGGUGUUAUAAUAUUUGGAUCUACACACCCAAUUUCAUGAGAUUCAAAGGCAAACGAUCUACCUUGUUUAGCCAACAUCUUUUUGAAGCAAGUAAUUUCCUCUCGCAAUAAAGAACCAUCAGAACCAAUCUUCAAUUCUUCAAAAGUCUCUUUAGUAAACUGAUGUCCAAUACUCAUUGGAUCUCUUAAACUUGCUUCUUUUGAUGCUUCUUCAGUUUGUUCUUUAGAAUCUUCUAAUAAUGGUCCGGCAACAGGCUUUAUCUUCUUAUCUGCCGUUUUAUAUCUUGUCUCUAUAGUGACUUCUGGUGCUUGAAAAGAUUCAAGUAUGGUAUAAAUCUCUCUUGAAUGAAUCUCAACAAUCUUAUCAUUAUCCCCUAACUCAAUAGAUGUAAUCAAUUCCAAUGAAUCUUCUAGUCUAUUUUCUUCAUAAAUACCUAAAAUCCUCUCAUCAUCUUGCAAUGUACCUAACUUGCAUAAUUCUCCUUCAAUAUUAUAUAAUCUUUUUCUUUCUUUUUUUUUAAAAUCAUUAACUUUCUUAGACAUGAUAUUUCCAUUCUCCAAAAUACCAAUAAAACUCGCAUCAAAGGCACCUUCAUCUGGCGAGAGUACCUCCUCUUUUAUACCUCCAUAAUCUCGCUUUAUAGUGGUACCUCUCCAAAAUCCUUAAAUCCUUCAACAAUCUUUGGCAAUGGUUUCUCCCUCAACCUAUCUCAAUUCCGUUCAUGGUUAGGAAGUACUGUUAGAAAUUGUACAGCUUUCCUCUCAUCUUCGCUACGUACCCUUGCAUAAGUAGAACCAUCGUCAAGUAAUUUUGUUUCCAUCUGUGUUGCCAUAAUAUAAGGUUGUCCUAAAAUCAACGAAUAAGACCUUGUAUCUUGAACAAAGAAAUGUUGCUCCGUCGCAACAUCCCCAAUCCAAAUUUUGACAUCUGGACAAGCUCCAUAUAAUUCGCCCCGUGUGUUAUUACCUGCUCGUAUUGCCCAUCCAUGUUCUAUGUCAAUUGGCCAUUUUUGCUUCUUAUAAAGAUCUUUAGACAUGAGAUUUAUUUCAGAACCAUGGUCGACUAAAGCAACAAUUGGUUCUUCUAUAUCUCUUACUUUCACCAAUACCUCUAUAGUUGCCCGUGUCCAAUGCUUUCGAGUAUAAUGGCUCAAAGUUUCCAUUUUCUUAUCACUAUUAUCUUCGAAAUGUACUCGUUGAUUAUACCCAUUCUUUUCAUUUUUUAGUUGCUUAUAACCAAUAUCAACCUCUUCUUCAUUUUUAUAUAUUCUUGCAUCAAUAGCAUUACUCAUUCCAGUUUUAUCCAUUAAUUGCCUCUUUCGCUUAAUGUUGUCAAUGAUAACAUCAUGAAACUCCUUCUUUGCAAUUUCCAAAACUUCUUUCAAUGUGAAUUCCACCUUAGCAUUUAAUAUACGUUCUUCCAACACCCCUUUCAAAUUUGUUGCCUCUUAAAUGUCAGAAAGUAGUUUAUAAGCAAUUGAUUUGCCCUUAUCUUUUGUCUCCCUUAUUUUUUCUUCCAAUGAUGUUGAGGUAUCUUUUACAGGCAAUUCUUGUGAAGCUGCCUCCCGAGCCUUGUCUCCUCGAGUUUGCCUCUUAGAAGAAUUUCCUUCUCUUGUAUCAUCAAAAUUUUCUCAUCUCUUUUCUUCCAUCAAAGCUUCAUGUUGGCUCUUAGCAAUAUAUGCAUGAACUGAAAGAGACUCAACACCAUCCUUUCAACCUGUUGCACCUCGUAUUGUAGCUGCAGUCCUCAGUAAUGCUUCUCGAGGUAAUUUCCCUUCUUACAUUGUAGAAAUGGCAGAAGCCCAAAACUCGCUAGUUUCCGUUCUUCUACCAAGGUCAUCAUCUACUCUAGCACCAUAACUUGCACUUUCUCGUGCUGCUGUUUUAUGCUCCUUUAAAUAAUCUUGAACCAAUGCUCUCAUUCCUCCCUUGCCAAAAUUGGUUUGAAGAAGAUCCUCCCUAUCUUUUAAUGCUAUCUUCCCAUCUUUCCAGCAAAUAAUUCCUUGCCGUAUCAUAUUAUUAAAUUCAUUGCAAUCUUUCCUAGUGUGUGAAGCAUCAUCACACCAAAUGCAUCUUUGUACAUAUCCUUGUUUUGAAACAUUCUUCAAAUUGUUUGUAGAAGUAUUCUCUUCAAGUCUUGCCAAUUUGAUUUGAAGAUCUCGCAUUCCUCAUAUAAUUUCUUCCAUUUCCAUAUCUGCUUUCUUUGAUAAGAAUGUCGAAGGUUGAACUGUAGGCAUUGUUGGUGGUGUUGUACGUAUUGGAGCUUUGGAUGCUUGUACUGGUUUCGGAAUAUUGCUCCUAUCCUUCUUCCUUUCUCUUUUUGUAAGCAAUCCCAUCGCAUCUUCAACGUUCUUUCACUUUGUUGUCAAUCCUUCAUCUUCUUCUUUGUCUUCAAGAAGGAGUUCUAAUUUCUCUUGCAAUUCUCCAUCAGCAGCUUGAAGAAAUAGAUCAACUUUGUUCGGCUCCAAUGUCAAUUUUUCUACCUUCGAUAAUUGAGAGUACUUCCUCUCAAAUUCCCUUAGUAGCUCUGUUGCUUGAAAAUUCUUAUUAAGCCAUUCAAUCCAUUCCAGAAACAGCUUCUUAGUAACGCAAUCAGCAUCUUCGAAGAAAUAUUUGUCUUUCAAUGCAUGUGAAAAAAUCUCCCAAAAAUUUCCAUAACGAUCCGUAAUCGAUGUAAUAUGGUCUCUUAUCUCCGGUAUUAUGGCAAGUCCAAAUAAUUCAACCAUUUUCUUCUCAGAAAUCUGAUUUAAUUCCAUUUCAUGAACAUAACAUCUUAAAUACCUUGAAAUAUUCCUUCCAUCAAAUUGAUUAAUUUUAUUGACCACUGCUUGCAAUGCUUUGGUUGCCAAAGCUUCUUUUCGAUCAUUGCUUUGCUGUUGCUGCAUCGAUAAUGAGAAGGCUUGAAACAUACUAGCAAUAAACGAAUCCAUGUGCAUACCUUGUCCUUUAGAAGAAUCCCCUCUAGAACCUCCUCCCAAAGAUCCUUCAAAAUUUUCAUUUUUCGUUCUCCAUAAAAAUAAAAAUAAAAUCAACUGAAAUCCAAUACCUUCUACCUCAAGCUUUUAUGUCGGAUUCACCACUUUAUGUCAUAUUACGUACUUUUCUGCUCGAGAAUACGCUGGGUGUCUGGUUGUAGAAGGUAGUAUGGAGAUUCGCUAAUAUUCAAGCAGUCUCUCGAUUUUUGACUGUUGAAAUAUAAACAACUAUAAGAAUAUAUCGUAAAUCUAUACAGAUGUCCUUCGACUACUCGCCGAAAUCCUUUUUGCCCCAGCCGGUAGGUCUCUAGACGUUACAAAAAACCCCGAACAACCCAAUCUGCUAAUCUCUGAUACCGCUUUAUACUCACGACCUUAUAUCCACUGACUGUCUUGUUAGAUUAACCCAAAAAUUUUCAUUCACUCCGCAUACUCAAUCCUAUAGACACCCUUUUAAUUCUUCAAUCACAGACGUAACUUUGAUUUCACAAAACUGUCAAGAGUAAUCACACCUACUUCAUUAAAAAUCCCAAUUCACCAUUACAACACUGACUUCAACAACGAUUGCCUCGGUCUUUCCAAAACCCUAUGAAGAAAAAAAAAUCCCAAUUCCCUGUCUUUUUUCCCCGCCCGAAGCAUGAAGCUAGCUCUCCGACCCUUCUUCAAAAACCUUAUUCUCUCCUCUCCAUUUCUUAACCUAUCCUCCCCUUUAACCCUAAUUCUCCCCUCUUUCAAACCCUAGCCUCUGAAUUUCUUCAAUCUUCUGUCUUGGAUUUGGAAUUGGCUCCCGCCGUCAGAGCUUUCUCCUCCAUUUUUACCUUUAAGAGAUUCUUUUACUGAAAGGACGUUCCUGAAAUGGCACAAAGGAUGGAACAACCUGAAAUGGAAUCGGAACCCCCGUAAUCGGGACCACAUUGAGUCGCCCGACCAAUUCAGAUCUCAUAUUGGCUAAGAGGCUCGUAGUAAGACCUGGAUGUUCCCGUAAUUGGACCGCAUUGGGUUGCCCGACCAAGUCAGGUCUCAUAUUGGGUAAGAGGCCUGUAAUAGGACUUAGAUUGGAUGUCUUGAAAUUUGAUCCAAUUGGCUCUUUGAACCAGGCUCAUCCGUCGUUGAAUUGGUCCUUUUCUUUUCUGCUGACUUCUGUUAUUGGAAUCGAACGGAGCAUUUCAGUAUGCCCCAGCUGACUGUAACGGGGUACUGACCCUGGCCUCUCAAUAUUUGCACUAGAAUUGGUCGUUGCUCCUAACAUUCAAGGUAACUGAACAUUAAUAAAAGUCCCCUUUCUUUAUAUUUUCACGGUAUACUCGUAUUACAACACAACAACGUUUGAUUUCUUAAACAAGUUAUCCUUGAGGUAAAACUUAUUUACUUAAUUUUUCUAUUAUUUAUAUUCUAUCUUUAAUCUAUCAUAACUUAUUCAUAGUAACUUUGAAUUACAUGAUUUUUAUGUCAUUGAAAGUAUAAAAAAAUUAUCUAUCUAAAAAUAUAUAUUUUUUAUUUUUUAUUUUUAUUUUUUUAAAUAAAAAUCUAAUGAAAAAACUAUGAGUUAUUUUUGGAUAUUGUGAUUACUUUAUUUCAUUUCUUUCACUUGUACUAUGGUUGUUCCUCUUGAUUUUUGCCAAUUCUUUCACUUUACACCACCACUUACAAAUAAAUCUUAAUUAAAGCCAUCUUGUAAUUGGAAUUGAGGAGUGAAAUUUACACUCAAAAAUUCAUUUAAGAGAAAUAUAUGAUAUGAUUGAAUCUUUUCAAACACUAGAGGUUAUAGUUGAGAUAAAAUAUAAGAUUAUAAAUAAGAAGGUAAAAUCCAUUGUUGAAUCUUUGCCAUGAGAUUUUAAAGAAUAAAUGGAAGAAGCAUCGAGGAAAAGGAGCUUGAGGGAUCCAAAGAAUAUUAGAUACAAAUUCACUAAAGAGACUUUUGAAGAAUUGAAGAUUAAUUUUGAUGGUUCUUUAUUGCUAGAGGAAAUUAUUUACUUCAAAGAAAUGUUGGCAAAACAAGGUAGAACAUUUACCUUUGAAUCUUAUGAAAUUAGAUGUGUAAAUCCAAAUAUUGUAAUUUCUAUGGUUAUUUUCUUUGUACCACAUGUACCUUGGAAUUUAAGGCCAAUUCUUGUACCAAGGAUACAUUUACCAAGUUUAGUGGAAUUAUUAAAAGAAAAAAUGAAGAUGAAGAUUUUGGAGCCUUCUUUUGCAUCAUAUUCUAGUCAAUAGUUUAUAGUACCUAUGAAAAAUGGAUCAUUAUGAUUUAUUCAAGAUAUGCAACUAGUGAAUGCAAUAAUUAUUAAGAAUACAAGAAUUGGGCCUAUAGUAGAUGAAUUUAUUAAGGCAUUUGCAGGAUGGAUAAUUUAUUCAAUUAAUAAUUUGUAUUUGGGCUAUGACUAAUUUCAACUUGUAGAAGGGAGUUAAGAUAUGACAAUGAUAAGAACACCACUUGGGUUAGUUAGAAUGUAUACUCUUUCUCAAAGUGCAAUUAACUCAAUUGCACAUAUGAUAAACAUGAUGAAAAGGUGUUGAGAGAUUUUAUUCCUAAGAAGACUAUACCUUUUUUAGAUGAUGUUUCUAUAAAGAGAUGCAAAGAAGAAGACAAGGAUGAAACUUUAGAUAAGAAGGGGUGUCGCAAAUAUAUUCCAGAUCAUAUACAAGAUUAUAAAAAAAUACUAAUUUGGCUUGGAAAAGUUUAUCUUAUAUUAUUGGAUAUAAAAUCUAUAUUUAUAGUAUAAGAGGUCGUGAUUAUUAGACAUUUAUGUAGAUUUUAUAGAAAAAAAUUUGAUCCAACUAAAGUUGAUAUAAUUGGAAGAAUGAAAGAGGAUUAUAGUUCUUUAAUAGAGGUUUGUAGAUUUUUAAGUGUAUGUGUAUUUUAUCAUAUUUGGAUUCUUCAUCGUGCUCACAUAGCAGAUAUAUUGUAUGAAUUUUUAUAUAAGGAAUAUCAAUUUAAAUGGGAAAAAAAAGCAUAUUAAAGUAAUAUAAAUAUUGAAGAAAUUAUUGACAUCCCCACCAGUGUUGAGAAAAAUUGAAUAAAUCCAAUAGACCAAUGAUUCUUACAAUGGAUACUUGUUCAAUUGCCAUUGGAUAGGCUAUAGGUCAAGAUGAUUUAAAUGGAUACAGAUUUGUAGUACGAUUUAGAGCUAAGAUUUUAAGUACUCGACAAUGUGCAUAUUCAUAGGUAAAAAGAGAACUAUAGAGAGUUGUUUCAGUUAUGAAAGCUGAAAAAGAUUAUUUGUUUGGGGCAAUGGUGAUAAUUGAAAUGGAUUAUUUGCCUUUACUUGGAAUGAUUACCAAUUCUACAAUACAAGAUAUUACAAUGUUGAGAUGGAUUGCUUAUAUCAAGUCAUUAAUUCCAAAAUUUAGACAUGUUGUGAGGAAAGACAAUUUGAUAGCAAAUAUUUUAACUUAAGUAAUAUAUGAUAGAAAAGAUGAAAUGAUUGAGGAUGUUGAUGAUGUAGAUACAAAAUUUCAUUCGGUUGUACAAUUGAACAAAGAAGAUAAGCCAUUUCUUGAAGAAAAUUAUGAGAAAGAAUUAUAGGAUAUUAAACAUUAUUUGAAUACAUUAAUCAAGCGUACUAAUUGGUGAAUUGAAAAAUUUAAAUAGAUUAAGAAAAAAACAUAUAAAUUCAUAUGAUAAGGAAGAUUUCUAUUGAAGAGGCCAAAAUCAAAUAUUGGAAUGCCACGAUGAAUAGUAGGUACCAAGAAAGAUUAACAAAGACUACUUAAGUAGUUUCAUGAUAGUCUAUAGAGGAAAUAUAGAGGAUUUUGGGCUACUUUUACUAAAUUGAAGGAACGAUAUUGGUAGAAGAAUAUGUACCAAGAUGUAGCUUUAUUUGUAGAAUCUUGUGUAUUUUUUUAGAUGUAUUCAAAUAUAUGAUUUUAAGAUGAGUUACAUUUGAUAUAUCCCUUGGCUAUUCAUUUUAAAUAGAUUGUGGAUUUGGUUAUUAUGCCAAUAGAACUAUGGCAAAUGAGAUAUUUUGUUUUGGCUUGUGAAGAUUUAUCAAACCAAAUAGAAGGAAAGACACUAAGGAUAAAGUCCACAAAAGAAAUUUUUAGGUUUUUACUUGAGGAUGUUAUUUGUCGCUAUAGAUAUGUAGAAAAGAUCACUGCAAAUUAUAGAGAAUUGGAUGCACAUGAAGCUCGUGAAUUUUUUAAGAGAUGUUAGAUUAAAUUAUUAUUGAAUAUUGCUUAUAAUCUAGAGGAGAAUGCUAAGAGUAAAUAUAGAUAUCUAUUAAUUGUAAAAACAUUAGUUAAAACUUGUAAUGGAAGAGUGAGAGAAUGGCCUUGACUUCUAUCUUAUGCAUUAUAGGCUGAUCAAACAAUACAUAGUUCAAUGAUAGGAUAUGUGCCAAUGGAACUUAUGACAGGUCAAAAACUAAUUAUGCCAAUUAAAGAACAUGUGCCAACUUAGAAUAUGCUACUAUGGGAAGAUAGAUUGACGAUAGAGGAAUUAUUAGCUACUAGAAUUCGACAACUUGAACAAAGAUUAGAAGAUAUGGGACUAGCAUUAGAAAGGUUACAAAAGGCAAGGUUAGGAAAUAAGACUUGAUUUAAUAAGCAAUAUUGAUUGAGACCUAGAGUAAUUAAAGAUGGUGAUUGGGUACUUAUUUAUGACAAUAAUCUAGAUAACCAACAUAGUACUUUGCAAAAGCUUUCAAAAUAUUGAUUUGGAUCAUAUAUAAUAAUAAUGAUUUAUAAUAAUACCACAUAUUCAUUAAAGGAGUUAGAUGGUACAAGGUUGAAGAUACUUAUUGCUUAGAAGCAAGUGAAGAUUUUCAAAAGACGAGAUAAAAAAAACAAUAUGGAGGAUUAUACUGAUGAUAUCAAUAUUUUUGAAGAAGACAAUAGAAAUGAAGGGUUUGAUAAAAAUAAUAAAGAGAUGGUAUGAUGUCAAUAAUGACAGAUGGUUCAUUGACACAUGUUGAAGGAUGCGCAAGUUAAGAAGAUGUGGAUGUCAUAAUGUAAUAUGAUUAUAUAAUGAAAUUAUAAUCAUAUUAAAUUAUUAAAUAAUAUCUAAUUAUCUUAAUUUAAUAAUAAUUCAAGGUAUCUAAACAUGGCUUUUAUGAAAGCUUCUUAGAUUAUUUUCUUCUCUUAAUAGUUAGUAGAUUCAAGGUUGAUUAGUACUUUUACCUUCUAGGUUGUAGAGACUCUUUUAUUACCUUAAAAAGACCAUAUAUUAAUAAAAUCAAGUUAGAAGAGGUAAAUAAUUAAUAUAGUUGAUACUAAGAUUAAGUUGAGGAUAGGAUUGGGCUAAAAAAUCCUUAAAAUAAAUUAGAUUGAUAUCCAAAGGUCGACCGUUUAUAAGAUAGGAUUGAACUCAGACCUCUAGCCAUUGAAACUACCACUUAGGACAAAAUAGGUGUGUAUUUGAAGAUCAAAGAAUAGAAUUUAAGAGUUAGGUUAGAGCUUGUUUUAAAGACAUAAGGUUGAUUUUGGUAGGAUUUGUUUAGACUUAAAAAUUAUUGUUGAAAGUGAGAGUUUGUAUUGGCAAUAUGGAAUUUAUGUAAUGAAGUUAGAGCUAACACUGUCGGCUAGUUUGUAAAAUUAGUGUCACAUCUAUAAUUCAAAUUUUGAAAGUGCUUGGUUAAUUAGGUGUGCUAAGUGUAUGUAAAAUUUUGUAAUAAUCCAACUGUGCUAUUGAGAGAUAUCUGGGUUUUGAUACAAGAAUAUAUUAGAAGUUGGCAGUUUUAGGUUGAAUAGGGUUUCUAUGAUAUCUAAAGAUCUAUUAGUCAGAUCAAGGUGAACUUGGCAUUGCAUUGGAAGACUUAAAGAUCAAGCUGUAGACCAAUUUUGAAUUAAAUUUAAUAAUUCGAUAAGGAGAAAUCAUUCCGUGAAUAUUUGCAUCAACUUUUAAGUUGGCAGCAAAGUAACAUCAAUAUGGUUUUUGGGCAUUUUUUCACAAUUUGUAAGUGGAAUUGAAGUAAAUUCUUACUAAAAACAUAAAAGACUUGUAGUGGCAUUUGUGUGCAAAUUUUUACUCUAAAUGAAUGAUUAAAUCACGAGCUACAGUUUGUUAAAGCUUGCUAAUUAAUAUUAAGGUUUUUAAAGAAAGUUCAAAAUUACCUAAUUAUUGAAGUAAAAAGACAAUUGGAAUUUAUGUAUGGUUGAAACUACUAAGAAGAGUGUUUUUGAGUGCUUUGUAUUGGAUUCAAGCACUUUUGAAUUAAAAUUCAAAUUGUAUUCUUCUUAUAAGGACAAAAUAAAUUUGGAUUUAUAGAUAUUUAUAAAACAAAAUUCUACCUUCUCCAAUCAAAUGCUUGAUGCAUUCUCAAAUAGGACAACAUGUAAUAGAACAAUGUUGUAGCAUCAAUAUCCAAGUGCAUUAUGGUCUAGGGAAGUUGCUUCAAGAAUUGAUCUAUAAAGAUAGUAAUUGUGAUAUGAUUAUGAUGCAUCUAUGACAAACACAUAUUAAGAUCUAUAGUCAUUUAUUCCCAACAUGCCGUAAGUAGUAGAAUUGGCUACAAUAGUCUAAGAAAUACUACAUUGUAUACUUUGGUACAUUGAUAUGACUCGCAAGAACAUACAAAGAUUCAAAAAUCACUAUCCAAACCUACCUAAAAUCAUAUCUUUGAGAUCCAUUGUAGAAUCUUUUUUAUAACUUCUAUCUUAUCUCUUGUUUCAUCCUUGAAGUUUGGUCUCUAUAAUAAGUUGUUUGGCAUAGUAUGUUGUCGCCCUUGCUUGUAUUUAAGCUGUAUAUCAAAAAGUUAUAACUUUUUUUUUCAAUAAUAAUGCCACAAUUUCAUAUUUUUUAGAUGCAAAUCAUGUAGUAAAGGCUGAUGGUCAAUCCAAACGAUUGUCACAAAUUUAGAAUACUAAUUAAAAAUCUAAAUAAGAAGCUCAAGAAGAAUCGAGAAGAACCAGAUUAAUCAGAUGAGUACAAGAACAACACUAGGGACGUGAGCUAGAGCUCCAAGAGGUGUGUUGUCAAGACUAAGGAUCCCUUCAAUCUCGGCUCCUAUAUAUACUACAAGCUAGGAAGCUUCUCAAGUAGCUUCCACAAACUAAGAAGCUUCUCAAGCAGCUUCUAUAAGCUUGAAAACUUUUCAAGUAGCUUCUACAAACUACAAAGCUUCUCUAGAACCUUGUAGAAUCUUCUACAACUUCUUAGUGUAUGUUCUUGACAUCAUCCCUCCUUUUAGCUUUGAGGUCUCUGAGAAACACUCCUAUUGCAAGUCAAUACCAACAUAAGAAGUUGAAAAUUUGUUGCAUAGUGUCUACAAUAUACUCUAAUUUUUGUUCACAUGACAAGUAGUUCAUUGGUCCUUGUAACCAGCGAUAGUGUCCUAUGUCUUCAAUUUUUGACUAAGCAUGAACUUCCGUGUCUUCAUUGUAAAAAUGCCCUAUAAAUACUCCUUCGAAAAGAUCACCAUAGGUAGGUUCUACCUCAAACACAAUCACUAGCGACCUGUUACUAGGUAUCCUUUGUUGUCUUUGUAGUACAUACGGUUCUUCAUCUUAGGAUCAUCUUUGUGAGAUACUCGAAUGACAAGAUAUGACUGGUAUGGUAUCUAUCUCUUAGCUAUCCAUAUCAGACCAAAAAAAUAAGUACUAAACAUGGAAGAAUGAGCUCAGAUUACAAAUUUAGAGUCUCUAAUUAUAUCUUUUAGAAGUUCCUUCUUCUUUUUCUUUGUAAGGCAGAGGAUUAAGAGGCUUCAAGGAGGAGAGACUUCACUGAAAAACUUUCAUCUAAAGAACUUAGGUUUUUGAGGAUAGCAUCAAUGAAACUCUUGUAUCUUUUGCGAUGCAUUGAUAAGAUUUUUUGCUGGUUCCCAUGUGCGCUUAUUGAUAUCAUAGCUGCUUCAAUGCACUAGGUACUCUAAUUUUCGCUCCUUACAUUGUAAAUCUAGUAUCUUUUCUACCUCGUAUUCCUUGUGGUUUUCAAUUUCAAUACUAGGUGGCAAACAUUGCACUCUUCUAGGAAAAGACAACUCUCAAUAAGGCUCUAAGAAAGAAACAUGAAAAAUUGGGUGUACUUUCAUAGCAAUCGGUAAUCCCAGACGGUAUGCCAUUGGAUUGAUUUGCUUCUGGAUGACAAAUGGUCCUAAUCUCUGGUAGUCCAACUUAUCACAUGGCCACUUGGUUUUGAUAUUUUGUUGAAGCAGCCAUACUUCAUCUCCAAUUUUGAAAGUAGAUGCCUGAUUUCAAAAAAAAUUUGCAAACACCUUGUAAGUUUUUUGGGAAAUUUGCAAUUGAAGCUUCAACGUAGUUUGAAGCUCCAAUAGUUGUUUCAUAAAUCCUUCAGCUAUUGAGUUGUUAUUAGUUAAUGGACUCAAUAAAUCAAGCUUCCAAUGAUACCCAUAGUUAGAAAAGAAUGGUGUUUAUUGACUCGACGCAUGAAGGGUGUUGUUAUAUGUAAACUCGACUAACGAUAGAUAUGCAAUUCAAUCAAUUUGGUGAUAGUUGAUGCUGCAUCGUAAAUACUGCUCUAAAAUUUGAUUUAUCCAUUCCGUUUGGCCGUUAGUUUGAGGAUAGAAAGCCAAAGAAAGCUUGAUAUCCACCUUCAAUAUCUCAAAGAGAGAUCUCUAGAACUUUGAUACAAAUUGGGUUCCUCGAUUUGACACAAUAUCAUCUCGUAAAUCAUGAUAUCGAUAUAUACCAUCAAAGAAGAGCCUUGCUGUGUCUUUGCUUGAUGAUGUUUUCUUGCAAGGGACAAAGUGUGCCAUCUUUGUAAGCCGAUCUACCACAAAAAAGAUGUUGUCAAAUGAAUUUGAUGGUGGUAAGUCCUUAAUGAAGUCCAUGGAAAUUGAAGACCAUAGUCGACAUGGAAUAGGCAAUGGCUGAAGAAGACCAUAAAGAUGAUGUUGAGGGUUCUUAGAUCUUGAACAAAUGUCACAUGAGAAGACAAAAUCCUUAACAUCCUUCCACAUUUGGGACCACCAAAAAUCUCUAAAAAUAAGUUCCAAGGUCUUAUUGAAUCCAAAAUGUCCCGUAGUUGGAAAGUUGUAUCGGGAUUGGAGAACUCAUAGUUGUGCUGGUCCCUUUGGAAUAUACAAUCGCUCCUCAAAGUAUAAAAGAUCUCCUUCUACCUUAAACUUGUCAUUAUUGACACAUUGCAUGAUAUCGAGGGCUAUAGUAUCUCCAAUAGUCACUGUAUGUAUCUAGUUGAGGAAGUCAACAUCAAUUGGCACUAUAGUAGAGCAAAGCCUAAACUAUUUCGACUUCAACAAUGUUGUACACUAUUGAUCAAACUGCGCUUCUCUAUGCUUUGGUGCUAGAUAUGAUUUCCUUGAUAAUGCAUUGAAUAGUCCUUGUUGCUUUCGAAGCUGAUAAGUAAUAACAAAGUCAAACCUCGAUAGUAACAUAUUCCAUCGAGCUUGACAACAAUUCAAAACUCGAGCCGACAUGAAGUACUCUAAAUUCUUGUGAUCCGUGUAUAUGGUGUCGGGAUAGAGAGAGUUUGUCUCAAGAAAGCAUUGGGCUUCUAGCUGCUACUAAAUACUCAAUCAAGUCUAAGAUAUAAAAUACCAAGUUUAUACAUAUAAUAUUUUCUAUUUUAGGACAAUUAUAUCAAAACACAAAUCCAAGUACCAAGAAAACACCCAAAUGUAUGAUAAAGAUCUUAAAACCUUAUAUAUCCUUAUGAGAGAAGUUUCUAGAACUUCAACAACUCAUAUCUCACGAUCGGACUAUUUAAACAACCUUGAAAUUUACAUGAAAUACUGAUAUACUUUCAAAAACUUCCACAAAAAAAUUCAACGGUAAAAUCAUCACGGAUCUUGAGAUAUUGCCAAAACCCUAAUAGUAGCUUUAAACCCUAGCUUACAUACACCCGUGUGCUAAUUUCUUCAUAUCUCACAAAACAAGUACUCAAAUACCAUGAAAUUUUGAUAUAUAGCCUCUUAACUCAAUAAUUUUGAGCCAAAAAUUCGUCCAAGAACUCAACAUAUGACUCCAACCAUUACUAUCAACAAAAUGACUCACUUACUACCUUUGAAUUAUAUGUGCUGUCUUUAAAUGUCUAUAACUCCUUCAUCUAGACUUGAAAUUCAUCAAACAAUAUAUGUAAAGUGUAGCCAAGAAAGUGUCUUCUUCAAAUCCAGUUGCCGAUCUUUCAUUUCUUACUAUAUGCAUAUGUUAUGCUUCAAAGAGUGACAGUAGGUACAAAUUCGACAUCUUACUUUUGAACACCUAUAUCACCUUCACAAAAACUCGAAAUCAUACAAACUUUUCACCCAAAUUAUAUCCAAAACCCUGAAAACUCUGACUCUAGCCUCCAAAGCUCGAAUGUCUCCAAAAGAGAAAUCCUAAUCCCUAAUAUGGCCUCGGGCAGCCUCCUUGAAGCCCAUUGGACAUGGCCUUCGACCAAUAGGAAUGAAGAUCUCCAUUCCUUACCUUCAUCCAACCAUGCCUUGCUUUCAUCCCUUCCAAUAAGCCUCCUAUUAGUUAAAAUUUUCUUCUUUAGGCUCUAAUCUCCUCUCAAGGCUUUAUACUAAAUAUUUAGGUCUUAUGAUUGUUUUAAAUGCUAUAAUCAAAAAAGAUAAAAUUUAAAAUAAAGUUUCUUAAAUCCAAUCUCUUUAAAUUAAUCUAUUUAACCAUUCUAACAUACACCAAGACUAAUGAAUAUAUUAUAUAUUCUAACUAAUUUUUACAUACUAUAAGCUUUUACAAUAUAACAAUGUAGCAAGAGCAUUCAUAAUGGCAUCCAACUUGGACUCCAAACUUUCAGUCAUACUAAUAUCUUAACCUCCGACCAUUCUAAGAGAAGGAAAGAAAUGUCUCUAUAAGAAUGUAGUAUUGGUUUAGAUGAGGGUACUCCACAACCUCUAAAAUGCCUUAAAACUUUUAAGAAGAGGGGUAAUCCACUCUCUCCAAGAAAGAUAAAAUUCUAAUAUUAUAAUAGAAGAAAUAUCAGUUUAGAGGAGGAUAAUCCAUAACCUCUAAAAUGCUAGCACCUUCAAGCAAAGGGAUAAUUUACACUCUAACAAGAAGGAACUAGCUCUGAUAUGAAAGAUGAGUGUAGUCUCGAUAAAUUGUUACGAAUUUAGAAUACUGAUUGGAAAUCUAAAUAAGAAGCUCAAAAAGAAUCGGCAAGAACUAGAUUAAUUAGAUGAAUAUAAGAAUAAUACUAAAGAAGUGAGCUAGAGCUCCAAGAGGUGUAUUGUCGAGACUAAGGAUCCCCUCAAUUUUGGCUCCUAUAUAUACUAUAAGCUAAGAAGCUUCUCAAGUAGCUUCUACAAACUAGAAAGCUUCUCAAACAGCUUCUACAAGAGGAAGCUUCUCAAGCAGCUUCUACAAGCUAGGAAGCUUCUCAAGUAGCUUCUAUGAGCUUGAAAACUUCUCAAGUAGCUUCUAAAAACUACAAAGCUUCUCUAGAAACUUCUAGAAUCUUCUACAGCUUCUUAGUGUAUGUCCUUCAUAAGAACUACUAGCUUUUUCAAUAGAUAGUAUCGCCAUACUUUUGUAGCAUGUAUAAUCGAUAUUGUUCUCGAUCAUGUGUAGAGUAAUUGUACUCUAUCCUUCAGAGCUUGCAUGAUUCAUAUGCCAUAAGUUGAAGGUCCCUACCAAAAUCUUCUUAAAGGAUUAUUCCAAUAGCAAAGUCAAAAGCAUGAAUAUCAAUUGUACAAGGAAGAUUAGAAUGAUACAAAUGUAAUAUUAUAAUAGUAAUGAGUGCCUCUUUUAACUUAUUAAAGGCAUUUUACUACUCUAGUUUUUAUUCAAAUGAGGCACCUUUUUCUUAUAGGUUUGUCAAUGAGGUAGUAAUGUGAACAAAUUGCUAAACAAAACGACGAUAAUAUCUAAGAAGGCUUAAAAGUGAGCAAACUUUAGAAGCAUCUUUGGAGGUUGGCUAAUCUUCCACUACUUUCAUCUUAUCUUGCUCCAUACGCAUGCCUUUAGAGGACACUUCAUGUUCCAAAAAUGUGACUUUUGACUUCCUAAGUUCACAUUUUGAUUGCUUGUAAUAGAAGUAAUUAUCUUAUACUUGGUGCAACACUUCUCAUAGGUGUUGUUCAUGCUCUUCAAAAUUUUUACUAUAUAUAGAGAUAUCAUCAAUGAAGAUGAUUAUAUACUUGUCUAAAAGGUCUUGAAAUAAUAUAUUCAUUUGAUCCAUGAAAGAGGCUAGAGCAUUGGUGUGGCUAAAAGGUAAAACUAGCCAUGCAAAAUGUCCAUAGUAUGUACAAAAUACCAUCUUUUUUACAUCUUAUCUUGCAAUAGAUGUGUGCCAAUAGCUGCUCCAAAAAUCCAAUUUAUUAAAGAUGGUUAUACCUCAAAGUUGAUAAAAAAAAAUCAUCCAUGCAUAAAAAUAAAUAUGUAUUUUUAAUAGUUUACUUAUUGAAGUUUUAAUAGUCAAUGCAAAGGCAAAAUCCACUAUCUUUAUUAGAUGUAAAGAAUACAAGUCUUUUCUAUGGCGAUGUACUUUCUUAAGUGAGGCCUUUCUCUAAGAGUUCAUCCAAUGUCUUCUAUAGCUCUUCAAAUUCUUUUGGUGCUAUGUGUGAUUGUUAUUUUACUUACUCUAGACUAAUCUAAUCGAAAUAAACUUAUAUAGAAGGAUUCAAAAAUAAAGAAAGACUAUCUACAUGAGUUUUCACGUUAGGGUCACAUAAUUAAUUGUCUCCUGAUUGACUAAAAUAACCAAGAAUGCUAUAUGUCUUCCGUAUUAUAUCAAAAAAAAUAUUACAUUUGAUAAUUCUAUCUUAUCGAUUCACUGUCUCUUUUUUUUUCUAAACUUAUGAUAAUAAUAGAUAAUACUAUACUAUCUUAAAAGAUUGCAUAAAAUAUUCUAUAAUUAAAAUCACUGGAAUUCUCCAAAACUAACUAUUAUUUUCACUAAUCUUGUAAGGUAAGUUAUCUACAUAUGCACGACAUCGUUAGCUUGUUCUACAAGCUACUAUACAGAAUUAACUUGUUCCAUAAGUUACCAACAAGUGGUUAACUUGUUGGUCAAGUUUUCAACCUACAAACUCAUCUAAAGUCAAACCACAUCUGUGAAACUUUUAAAAAGCUUCACUAAAAGACUUUAUAAAAAAAUCUAUAUUUAUCUACCUCUAUCUAAUCAUAUAAGUAAUUAUUGAGGUAAAUAUAUAUGCUUGUAAUAUUACUCCCCUUUCUAGAGACAAGUUCUACAAAAAGUAGUCUUCAUAUGUUGAAAAAGUCCAUGAUGCAAUAAAUUGUAUUUGCUACAUACUCUGAUCUUGACUCACUUCAAAGAUGGUUGAUAGGCUCUCUGAGCCAUUGAUAGUUCCUCAUAUUGAGGCAGAAGACCACCUUGUUAUUUGAUUGUCCUUGAGGCCUUUUUAACUUUCUUCAAAUAAAAUAAUUAAGACAUCGUUAGGAGUUGUUCCUAUCUCUAAUAAAAUCACUAAACAACAAGAGUCUCUUCCAAGGUCGUGAUACCAAACAUAUUGUCGUAUGGCAUGAUUUGCUAUCUGAGAAUACACUAGAUAUCUAACUGUAGAGAGUUUAGCUUAAACCUUUGUAUCAAUCUUGUCUUAGCUUCUAAAACUCCUUUGAUUUGCAUAAAACUCAAAAUAUAACAAAAUCCCUUCAAAAUAAAUUUUUUCCGCAAAGGGUUUUUUUUUUUCAAACUUGAAAAAUUCAUAAUUCUUGAUCUAGCCGUUCAAUUUGUUUCAAAUUUAUAUAAUAGGUAGAAAUCACCUUUAACUUUUAUUAAAAAAAAAAUCAACUACAAAUUCACUUCCGAUCUUUUGGCAUCUAAGAAAUCCUAGCAGAUGCUCUAAACCCUAAUUUACAAGCACCUGAACACUAUUUUCUUAAUAUCUCAAGAACCCAAUACUCAAAUAUCAUCAAACUUAUGUACAAAGUUUAUUAACAUGAAAUUACACAUUUCUUGAAAUUUUGAGCCAAAAUAUUGUCAAAUUGCUCAAGAUAUAGCUCAAGACACAACCACUAGUAAAUUAGAUCACUUACUAUCCUUAGAUUGAAUGUGUUGACUUCAAAAAUCCAAUAACUCCUUCACUUCAACUUGAGAUCCAGCAAGCAAUACAUAAAAAAUAUAGCCGCAAAAGUUUUCUCUCUAGUCGCAGUUGCCGAUCCUCAAUUGGCAUCUGUACGCAUGCGUUAUGUCAAAAAGAGUGACAGUAGCUCCCAAAUUAAUACCUUAACUUUGAGCACUUAUAUCUCCUUCAAAUAAAUUCCAAAUCAUACAAGAUUUGUACCAAAACUAUAGCCAAAAAUCUAAAAUUAUUGACCUUAGCCUUCAAAACUCAAAUGGCUUUGAAAAAUUAACCCUAAUCCCUAAUACGGCCUUGGGUAGCCUCCUCAAAGCCUAUUAGUCAUGAUUUUUGACCAAUAGGAAUGGAGAUUUUCAUCAUUCAUCUCCAUUCAUCUAUAUUGGUGCCCUAAUUAUUCCCUUUACUACCAAAAUCCUUCUUCAAUCUUUUUUCUUAUAAGAUUUGUAUAAUUUAUGCUCUAAACAUCAAAUAAAAGAAUCAAAAUAAGUUUUCAAAGGUCACUAAUGUCUAACAAAAGUGACUCUAAAUAUUUAGAAGUUACUAUCAACCAAAACCAAUCUUAAAAGAUACUAUCAAAAGAAAAUUAAAGUUAUACAAAUUCUAUAGUUAUCUUUUUAAACAACCUCUUUUCAGGGCAAUAAUCAAAUUAUAUUCUACAACCAACUAAAAUCUACUAACAUAGCUCUCACCAUGUUAUUUAAUAAAUUAAAUAUUAAGUACAUAAUUAUAUUAUUUUUAUAUAGUAGCCAAAGCACAACAUGACAACGUUCUAUCUUAUCAUCUAUUUGAGGAAGGAUAUAUCGUUCUUGAAGAUCUUUGAAGUUUUUGAUUUCAAAAUCUUGAAGGUUGUGACAAUUGCAAUGUCUCAUUUAGUAAGUCCGCAAAUAAAAGCUCUUAAGUUGAAUUUGCUGAUUGUUGGUUCUCCAUCUCUUGAAUAUCACAAUUAUACAAAAGUUAUAAAGAAACAUAGAAAGUAGAAUGUUAUCUUUGUUUGAUCUUUUUUCUUUUAUAGCAAAGAUUUGUUAUUCUUCAUCUUAAUUUUGAUGGAUUUUAUUGAUGAAAAGCUUCAACUUUCUUUAUUUUAUUUACAAGGUUCUUUGAUGGCUCCUAUGCAUAUUCACUAAUAUCAUAUCCAUGCCAAUGAAUAAGAUAUUUUAACUUAUUUUGGUGCUACUUUUAGUCUAAAACUUCUUCUACCUUGAACUCUUGAUUAUAAUUCAAUUCUAUAGGAAGAGAUGGCAUUUGUCUUCUUCUCAAGUAUUCGCUAUCUUAUAUGGUUCCAAAAAAGAUAUGUAAAUAUAAGGUAGAGCUUCAUAGACUUUAGUAGAUGUAAUCGAUAAGCAACAAGAUUGAUUUAUUCACAAAUAGAAAAUUUCCUAGCCUACGAUAGUCUAACUUAUUACAAAGACAAGUAGUCUUGAUAUUAUGAUGAAGUAACCAUACCUUAUUACAUAUGUUGAAUUAUGGUUGCUCUUUGUAAUAGGCAUCUGCAUUAGUAUUUUACCAUCUAAGAGCUUCUUUUAAUUAUAUCUUUAUUCUUGCAUAUAGCUAUGACAAAUGAUUUGCUAAAUCUGUUGCCAUAAGAUUAUUAACUUUUGAAAUAUCAAAAGUAUCAAGUCAUGAAUGAUAAUCAUAACUAGCAAAGAAAGAUAUUUGUUGAAUAGAAGAAUGUAUCAAAUUAUUAUAUGCAAACUCUGCCAAUGGCAAAAGAGUUGUCCAAUCAUCUUGAUGAUAAUUAAUAAUACACCUCAAAUAUUGUUCCAUAAUUUGAUUCAUUCAUUUCGUUUAUCUAUUAGUUUGACGAUAAAAAGUCAAAAAAAGCUUUAUAUCCAUGUUUAAAAUAUUCAAUAGGAUUGUCCUAAAUCUUGAUAUAAAUUGAGUCCCCUUAUUUGAUAUAAUAUCUUUUAAAAAUCCAUAACAUCAAUAGAUAUUGUUGAUAAAAAGCUUAGCUAUUUUUUCACUUGAAAUAGAUUUUGUACAUGGUACAAAAUGUGUCAUUUUGGUGAAGUGAUCUAUGAUUAUGAAUAUAGAAUCAUAUGAACCUGAGAUUGGAAGAUCUAUGAUAAAAUUCAUAGAAACAAAAGACGAUGGUUGUUUUGAAAUAGGUAAUGAUUGAAGAAGUCUAUAAAGUUGAUAGCAAGGAAUUUUGGAUCUUGAAGAAGUAUCCCAUGAUUGUACAAAAUCUUUGAGUGUCUUCCUCAUUUGAGGCCAUGAAAAAUCUAUUGACAUUAGUUCCAAAGUCUUAUUGUAUCCAAAAUAUUCAACGGCUGAAAAAUCAUGACGAGCUUGAAGGACACAUAAUCAUGCCUUACCUUGUGGAAUAUAUGGGCGAUCUUCAAAAUAUAGUAGGUUGUUCUUAAAUUCAAACUUUUUAGUGUCAAAGGACUUAGAGGAAGUAUUCUUGAUAUCAUGAAUAAGAAGAUUAGAAGACAUACUUGAUUGAAUUUACUUGAUAAAGAUAGAAUCAAUAGUCAAUGUUGAUUUUAUUGUUUGAAGAUGAAAAUACUCAAGCUUCAAGAGAAUCAUUCUUUGUUGAUCAAAAGAUGCAUCUCUUUCUUUUGGUACAAGAUAAAAAUGUCUUGAAAGGGCAUCUAAUAAACCUUGUUAUUUAUUGGAUUGAUAAAUAAACUUAAAAUUAAAUCUAUAUAAAGACAUGCUCUAACGGCCAUGAUGACGAUUCAAAAUACGUAUUGACAUGAAGUAUUCAAGAUUCUUAUGAUUCGUAUAUAUGGUGAUUGGAUUUGAGACACUUUUUAGAUAAUGAUUCCAUUCAUGAAAUGAAUCCACGAUUUCAAGGAGCUCUUUUUCAUGGAUCUCAUAAUUAAUCUUUGUUGCUGAAAGUUUCUUGGAAUGGAAAGCUACUAGAUAGAUUUUGUCAUUUUCUUUAUUCGCGACAACAUGGAACCUAUAACAAAAUCUCAUGUAUCUAUUUUUAAAAAAAAUGCCUUAAAGAAGACAAUGCUGUCGUGACGUAACAUGGCUAACAAGUGAAAGGAUGAAAAAAAUAUCAUGUUUUGAGGAUCUCACUUCAAAAAUAUUGUAGCAAAUUAUCUUGGAAAAAUAGAUAUUAGUCAAAGGGUAGAAAAAUUAAAAGUACUAAUGCUGCCUUUUUACAAAUUAACCUUCUAUUUACUUUGUAAGGCCAUAAAUAAGACAAAACAAGGUAGAUUAGAAAAAUAAAGGAUGUAGGCAUAUGUAGAGAGGACUUAGGAGUGCAAAUUAGUAAAAAUUACCUCAAGAAGAUGAAAGUUGAUACUUGAAGAGGACCAGUUAUGAACCGGGGUUGAAAUCAGACCCCGAGGCACAAAACCGUGCUCUGAUGGCGACUCAAGGGUUCUUUGGGAGAUCGAAGAGCCGAAUUAUGGGAGAGACUUGUGGAAGGAUUUUUGAGAGGUAAUUUUGUGUCAUUUGGAUCAGUAUUGGAUUUUUGAAGGAUUUUCAAAGCGAGUGAUGUUCUCUAUGAAUUCAGAUCUUUGAGAAAUAAAACUGGUUUACAAAUUUUUGGAUUUCGUGUCAUUUGUAGCAUUUUUAUAGGUAAAAAUUUAGAAACUUAUUGGUAUGCUUGUUGUGAAUGUGUGUAAGAGAUUUGAGAUCAAGCGAAUAGCUAGAUCAAUACAUAUGAAGGUUUUUGUGGACUAAGGUCUCAAGAUUUAGGCUUUUGAAGACCAAUAAGGUUUUCUUAGAUAUCUAGCAAUCUGCUAAUUGGAUUAGAGAGAUUUUAGGUUUUAUCAGUAGAAGACUUGAUUUUCUAUAUAUAAGUAAAAUUUGAAAGCAAUCAAAUAGUAGAAAAGGAAGAUAUCAGUGCUAGAAGUUGGCAUCAAGAUUGGAGAAGGAGAGACCAGCCGACAUCCAAGCGGAAUUUUGAGGUCAUCGACUAAUUGGUAAGUGCGAUUUUCUUCAAAAUUUAUGUGCUGGUUUCUAACUUAAACUCUAAAAAGUGUGCAAAUUUUGAAUUAGAAUAAACAAUUCAAUCUUUAGUUAUUUAAUUUUCAAAUCUAUGAUUAGGAUUUGAUUUAGGUUAGGAUUUGAUUAGGGUUUAGGAUUAGGGUUUAGUUAGGAUUUGGUUUAAGAUUUAGGAUUUGUUAGGAUUAGGAUAUAGUUUAAGAUUUGAUUUAGGAUUUAAGAUUUGAAUUAGGAUUUGGAUUAGGAUUUAGAUUAGGAUUUAGAGUUGGAUUUAGGAUUUGGUUAGGAGUUGAUUUAAGGUUUAGGAUUUGAUUAAGAUUUGAUUAGGGUUUAGUUUAGGAUUUAGGAUUUAUCUAGGAUUUGAUUAAGGUUGGAUUAGGAUUAGAAAUUGGUUAGAAUAUAAGGUUUUAUUAGAUUUUUGUUAAGGUUUGACUAAGUUCUCUUUAAUAUUCUUUUAUAUUUCUUUAGGAUUUCCUUAUGUUUCUUUUAUAACUUCAAUAAAAUUUAAUUGAGCUUGCUUAAUAUUUGAUUAUGAUUGUUAACAUUAUCGGGGUAGAGAGAGUUUGCAUCAAGAAAAUACUGUCGUUAAUUAUUCAAUCAAGCUUCAAAAAAAGAGAAGCCCUAAUUUUAUAUAUAAUUUUUUCCCUUUUUGAGUAAUUACACCAAAUACACAAUCCUCAAGUAACCCACAACUUCUAAAAUAUGAUAAAAUCUUCUAAAACCUUGUUUAUUCUUAUUGUCACGAACAUACUCAUAUAAGCUAGUAAUUAUAUAUACAAGUAGGUAAAAGUAAGUUAAUUCUAUAGUAUUUAAUAUGGAAGCUUCCUAAAAGAUUCAUAGACGCUGCUUUGACUUCAUAGGUGUCUUUAAUUGACUUUUUGGAUUAGAAACGUGGUCAACAAGUUGGCCAUGUACCACACAUGUUGUUAGCUUGAAGAUCAAGCUAACUAUGUGGUCCACACGUAGAAAAACUUGCCUUGUAAGUCAAGGCAUGUGUCCUACAAAGUCAACACAUAUUGGAGGUCCUAUAGAACGUCGCCACGUAGCGCCUAGUUAGAUAGUAUAUAUAAAGACAAGAGUGAAGCCUUCUUCACUUUUGUCAACUCUUUUCUUGCUUCUAGUCUAGUUUCAAGGGUCUUUAGUUUUCUUGUCUUUUGGCAAUAGCCAUUCUAGUUUCUCUUUCAAUAUACAUACUUAUUUAUUUAUAUUUAGUUACCUUUCUUUGAGUGAAGGCUCACUUGUCUGGAUUAUUUUUUCAUCGAGUUCUUGUCCUUGAUAGAUUGACAAGAGUAGACCUAGAAUAUCAGAGCUUUGUCUAAUCUUGAUUAAGAGUAGAGUACCCCUUUUUCUUGAUAAGAUAUAAGCAUAUUAGAAGUUGCGGAUUACCCUCUUCUAAACUGAUAUUGUUCUUAGUAUUUUCUUUGUUCUUAAGUCCUCUCUUCUAUUUAUCUUGAGCGAUAUUAGACAUCUUCUCUUUUCUAAGUGUUAUCAUGGCAAAACUUGUUGAAAUGAAGAAUGCAAUGGCACAAAUGCAAGAGCAAUUGAGGGAAUUAAUACUUGCGAUGUAUCAACUCAAUUUAUCACCAUAAGGAACAACAAGAUUGGCAGGAAGUGAAGAUAUAGAAAUGGUUGGAGCUGCUUCAACAUCUGCACCAAACCAUAUCCUUUCUCCUAUAAUGGAACAUCUUUCUAAUGUUAGAGAACUAAGAAUUGCCCUAUCUAAGAGGUUUGAUGGCACUAGAUCCAAGUUUCGAGGAUUUAUCAAUCAAGUGCAACUUAUGAUUGAACUUCAACUCCAAAGCUAUCCAACUCCAAGAUCGCAAGUUAGAUUCAUUGGUACGCUUCUUUCAGGUUCAACACUAUCAUGGUUUUCAUCUUUUCUUGAACGACGAGAUCCAAUAUUAGAUAAUCUGGAGGCUUUUUUGGCAGAGUUUUGAUUCAUGUAUGGAGAAUAUGAUGCAAUUCAUGUUGCAACCAAUAAAAUCUAUACUUUACGACAAGGAAAUGGAUCAGUAACGUUGUAUGCUUCACAAUUUUGAUAACUUGCAACUGAUAUCAAGUGGGAUGAUACUACAAUUAUUAGCCAAUUUCUCUACAUAUUAUAAUAUGAGGUAAGAAAAUUAAUGCUCAACUUACUUGAUCUUCAAACAUUGAGUCAAGCAAUUGAAUUUGCUAUGAAGUGCGACAAUCAUCUUUUUGAAUUUCGAUCUGAGAACCAUACAAGUGAACCUCAACGUUACUAUAAUUCAAUGGCAACACCAACACCUCUUCAAUACAUACAUUCGGAAGUAGAGGAUAUGUAAAUCGAUGCAGUACAUUUCAAACCUCUUACUGAGCAAGAAAAGACUCAUCGUCGUCAAGAAGGAUUAUGUUUAUAUUAUAGAGAACCAAAGCACACUACUCAACAUUGUCCAAAGAAACAACGCAAUCACAAAAUGAGGAGUAUGGCUGUGAAAAAAGACAAUAUAUCAGAAAACGAGUUUGUCCAGCUACAAUAGGGACUGUGCGGCUGGAACCUUGCACAAUAUCUAGUAAAGGUCCUAUUCUCUCCUUAGAGCCCUCUCCUUGUUUUACACUAAAUAUUAUUUUAGGACCUAAACAUUACAAAGCCUCUGCCUUAUUAGAUUCGGGAGCCUCAGCAUGUUUUUUAGAUGAAGAAUUUACUAAAAGACAUAGCAUAUGUUUACUAAAGAAAACUAAACCUGUUCAUGUAGAAAUCAUAGAUGGUCGUCCAUUGUCUUCUGGAGAUAUUACUCACGAAACCCUUCCUAUAGAAGUAAUAAUCAAUGGUCAUAAUAGUUUUAUAGUAUUUAAUAUCAUUAGAUCUCCUUCUAAUCCAGUCAAUUUAGGUUUAUCGUGGUUAGAAAAAUACAACCUUGAAAUAGAUUAGAUUUCUUGAACUCUUACUUUUUCUAAAAGUAUAAUUAACAGUGUAGUUAAUCAAAUAGAGAGUCAUAAGUCCAGUUCAAUUAAAUCCAUAUUUAUAGGUACAAAAACUUUCUUGCAUUCUGCUAUGAAAGAAUCACCAUAUAUUAUUUAUGCCACACUUGUUCUUACUGGUGGAAAGACUUCAAGUGGCAUUCCAAGCCAAUAUCAAGAAUUUCAAGAUGUAUUCGAAAAAAAGAAUGUAAAUACACUCCCGACACAUCGUCCCUAUGAUUGCUCAAUUGACCUUCAAGAAGGAGCACAACCGCCAUUCGGACCAAUCUACAGUUUAUCACAAAAUGAGUUGACUGAACUCAAGGAGUAUAUUGAAGAAAAUCUAGCCAAGAAUUUCAUAUGCCAUUCUAAAUCUCUGGUAGGAGCUCUUAUUCUAUUUGUGAAGAAAAAAGAUGGAUCAUUGCGGAUGUGUGUUGAUUAUCAAGGAUUCAACAAGAUUACCAUCAAGAACAAGUAUCCACUACCUUUAAUAUCUGGACUUCUUGAUUAGCUGAAUCAAGCUAAGAUCUAUACAAAAAUAGAUCUUCGGAGAGCAUACAAUCUAAUACGCAUCAAAGAAGGAGAUGAAUGAAAGACUAUGUUUCGAACUAGGUAUGAACAUUUUGAAUACAUCAUGCCUUUUGGACUUAUAAAUGCUCCAGCAACUUUUCAACAUCUAAUGAAUGAUAUUUUUUGAGAGUUUUUGGACAAUUUUGAGGUCUGUUAUCUAGACAACAUCUUAAUCUAUUCUAAGAAUCCAGAAGAAUAUGAACUUCGUGUUCGUCGUGUGUUAUAAAAAUUAAGAGAUGUAGGAUUCUAUGCCAAGAUAGAAAAGUGUGUAUUCCACACUACUUAAGUUGAUUUCUUAGAUUACAUCAUUUCAAAUGAUGGACUUAUGAUGGAUCCUAAGAAAGUCUAAACUAUUAUAGAUUGAAAGAUCCCAAAAACGAUAAGAGAUGUCCAAUGUUUUUUGGAAUUUGCCAACUACUAUCGGAUCUUCAUCAAAGACUUCUCUCAAGUUGCAGCUCUACUUACACGUUUGACUUGUAAAGACAAACUCUAAUGGAAUCAAGAAGCAGGAGUUGCUUUUGAAUCUUUCAAGACAGUGUUUGUUUCUGCACCAAUCUAGUAUCAUGUUGAUUUUUUCAAAGAAUUCUUUAUGGAAACAGAUGCAUCAAACUUUGCUCUGGGUGCGGUUUUAUAACAAAUGGGAACAGAUGACAAACUUCAUCCAGUAGCCUUUCAUUCAAGAAAAUUCUCAGCAGCAAAAAUCAAUUAUGAGAUCCACAACAAAGAACUUCUUGCAAUUGUGGAUUCUUUUAGAGAAUGGCGUCAUUAUCUAGAAGGCGCUUCUAGUCUAGUCACUAUAUAUAUGGCUCAAAGGAAUCUCAAAUAUUUUAUGUCAAUGUGCAUAUUAAAUUGUUGUCAAGCUCGUUGGAGCAUGUUUUUAUCAAGAUUCAAGUUCAUUAUCACUUAUCGGCCAGGAAAACAACAAGGUUUGUCCAAUACCUUGUCUAAACGUUCUUAUCUUGCACCAAAAGAAGGAGAUGUAGCUUUUGAGCAACAAAGAAUGGUUCUCUUGAAGCCGGAGCAAUUUCAUCUUUGAGCAAUAAAAUCAACAUUGACAGUUGAUUUAACUUUUCUUAAGCAAGUCCAGUUAAGUAUGUCUUCAGACCUUCUUAUUCAUGAUAUCAAGAAUAAUUCUUCUAAAUCUUAUGAUCCCUCUCAAUUUGAAUUCAAGAACAACCUACUCUAUUUCAAAGGACGCCUAUAUGUUCCAAAAAGAAAAGCACGUUGUCGUGUUGUAACACGAGUAUACAGUGAAAAUAAAAAGAAAGGGGAAUUUUAUUAAUAUUCAGUUACCUCGAAUAUUGGGAGCAUCGACCAACUCCAGUGCAAAUACUGAGUGGUCAGGUUCAGUCACUCCGUUACAGUCAGCCGGGGCAUACUAAAAUGCUCCGUUCGAUUCCAAUAACGGAAGUCAGCAGGAAGAGAAGGACCAAUUCACACAACGGGUUCGAAGAGCCAAUUGGAUCCAAUUUCGAGAAUCCAAUCCGGGUCCUCUUAUCCAAUAUGAGACCUGAAUUGGCCGGUCAACUCAAUUACGGGAAAUCCAGGUCUUACUACGGAUCUUAGCCAAUCUGACGCGAGGACCAAUUUGACCCAAUUACGGGAACAUCCAAAUUACUACUGGACUCUUAUCCAAUAUGAGACCUGAAUUGGUCGGGCGACUCAAUGUGGUCCCGAUUACUGGGUUCGAUUCUGUUUCAGGCUGUCCUGUUCUCUGUGCCGUUUUAGGGAACGUUGUUUUUGGUAAAUGGAUUUUUUAAAGGUAAAAACGGAGGAGAAAGCUCUAACGACGAGAGCCAAUUUCGGAUCCAAGCUUGACGGUGGGAGCCAAUUCCGGAUCUAAGACGGAAGAUUGAAGAAAUUCAGAGGAUAAGGUUAGAGGGGAUAUAGUUUUGAAGGGGGGGUUUUUUUUUCUCUAGGAAUCGGGAGGAGCUAGUUUUCAAGCUUUUACAAGGUUACUAGUUCGGUUUUCAUUGGAGGUUUUUGGAGAUCAAGGGAAUUAGAGAGAGGAGCUUCAUGCUUUGGGUCGGGGAAGGAAAGAUAGAGAAUUUGGAUUUUUCUUCUUCGUAGAGUUUUGGGAAGGCUGAGGCAAUCGCUACUGAAGUCAGUAUUGUAAUGGUGAAUUGGGAUUUUUAAUGAAGUGGGUUUGAAUACUCUUGACUAUUUUGUGAAAUCGAGUUACGUCUGUGAUUGAAGGAUUAAAAGGGCAUCUAUAGCAUUGAGUAUGCGGAGUGAAUGAAAUUUAUUGGAUUAAUCUAACAAGACAGUCAGUGGAUACAAGUUCGUAAGUACAAAGCGGUAUUGAAGAUUAACAGUUUGGAUUGUUCGAGGUUCUCUGUAACGUCUAGAGACCUACCGGCUGGGAUAAAAACUACUUCGACAAACAGUCGAAGAGCAUCCGUAUAGAUUUACGGUACAUUGUUGCAGUCGUUUAUAUUCCAGCAGUCAAAAUUGAUAGACUGCUUGACUAUCGACGAAUCUCCAUACUACCUUCUACAGCCAGACGCCCGGCACGUUCUCAAGCAGGAAAGCACGUAAUACGACAACAUUUACGUGUUCUUUAAGCUUGUCACGACUUCCCAGCAGCAGAAAAUUUUGGAUAUAAUAAGACUUUGAAGCUGAUAUCUAUGGAUUUUUGGUGGCCUCAAAUAUAGAAGGUAGUCAAAGAUUUUGUACAAUCAUGUGAUGUUUGCUCAAGAUCAAAAAUUCCUCAUCAUCAACCUUUUGGACUUUUUCAGCCAUUACCCAUUCCAAAACAACCAUGGUCUUCUGUUUCUAUGGACUUUAUUACGGAUCUUCGAAUCUCAGGUUCUUAUGAUUCUAUAUUCGUGAUAGUAGAUCAUUUUACCAAGAUGGCACAUUUUCUACCAUGUACAAAAUCUAUUAUAGGUGAAGAAACAGCUAAGCUCUUUCUUGACAAUAUCUAUUUCUAUCAUGGAUUAUCCAAGGAUAUUAUAUCAGAUAGGGAAACUCAAUUUGUAUCAAGAUUUUGGCGGACACUUUUUAAGAUUCUAAAAGUGAAUAUAAAACUAUCUUCGACAUUCCAUCCUCAAAUUGAUGGACAAACGGAGCGUGUUAAUCAAGUUUUGGAGUAAUAUUUAAGAUGUACUAUUAAUUACCAACAAGAUGAUUGGACAACUCUUUUGCCAUUGGUAGAGUUUGCUUACAAUAACACGGUACAUUCUUCUACAAAACAAAUACCUUUCUUUGCUAAUUAUGGUUAUCAUCCAUGAUUUGAUACUUUUGAUUUUUUAAAAGUUAAUAAUCUUAUUACGAAAGAUUUAACGAUUCAUUUAUCAAAGCUACAUGCAACGAUGAAGGCGCAGUUAAAAGAGGUUCAAGAACAACAAAAGAUCAAUGCGGAUGUCUAUCAAAAGGAACAACCACCAUUCUUCUUGGGUGAUAAGGUAUGGCUACUUCAUGGCAAUAUCAAGACCACUCGUCCUUGUGACAAGUUGGACUAUUGAAGGCUGGGACCAUUUUCUAUUUCUGCACAAAUCAAUCCAAUUGCAUAUCGUUUAUAUCUAUCGGAGUCAAUGAAAAUCCAUCCAGUAUUCCAUGUGUCUCUUCUUGAACCAUACAAGAUAGUGGACAUACCAAGAAGACGACAAGCUCCACCUCCUCCUAUAGAAGUGGACAAUAAUGAAGAGUUUGAAGUAGAAGAAGUCUUAGAUUCAAGGCGAUGCCGAAAUAAAUUGGAAUAUCUUGUCCAUUGGAGUGGAUAUGGUAUUAGUGAAUGCACAUGGGAGCCAAUAAAGAAUCUUACAAAUGUAGCAAACGCGAUGGAGGCUUUUCAUCGACGACAUCCAUCAAAAUCAAGAUGAAAACCUUUUUUAUAAAAGAAACAGUAUCUAGGUAAGAUAACAUUCUACUUUCAAUCCUUGUUCGUAGCUUCUUUGUAGUUGUGACAUUCAAGAGAUGGAGAACCAACAACCAGUGGAUUCGACUCAAGAGCUUUUAUUUGUUGAUCUGUCGGAUGAGACAUUACGAUUAUCACAACCUUCAAGAUGACGCAAUCAACAUAAAGAUCUUCAAGAACGACAUGUUCUUCUUUGAAUAGAUGGCAAGAUACAACGCGUUUGGUAUCACGAUUUGGAAAGGGACUCCCGAUGUUUGGUGAUUUUGUUAGAGGUAGGAACAACUGCUGAUGGUAUUCCAAAUGUUCUAUUCGAAGGAAGUUAUGAAGGCCUCAAAAAUGAUCAAAUAACUGGGUGGUCUUCUCGCCCUGGUAUAGGAUACUAUCAAUGGUUGAAAGGCCCUAUCAAUCAUCUUCGAAGAGAACAAAGAUCAGAGUAUGUGGUGAAUAUAAUUCAUCGCAUCAUAGAUUUCCUCAACAUAUGAUGACCGCUCUUCGUGGAACUCGUCCUUAGAAGGGAGGAUAAUGUCACGGACAUAUUCAUAUAAGCUAGUAAUUACAUAUACAAGUAGGUAAAAGUAAAUUAAUUUUAUAGUAUUUAAUAUAGAAGCUUCCUAGAAGCUUUAUAGAUGUUGCUUUGACUUCAUAGGUGUCUUUAAUUGACUUUUUGGAUUAGAAACGUGGUCAACAAGUUGGCCAUGUGCCACACAUGUUGUUAGCUUGAAGAUCAAGCUAACUAUAUGGCCUACACGUAGAAAAACUUAUCUUGUAAGUCAAGGCAUGUGUCCUACAAAGUCAACACAUAUUGGAGGUCCUAUAGAAUGUUGCCACGUAGCGCCUAGUUAGAUAGUAUAUAUAAAGACAAGAGUGAAGCCUUCUUCACUUUUGUCAACUCUUUUCUUGCUUCUAGUCUAGUUUCAAGGGUCUCUAGUUUUCUUGUCUUUUGGCAAUAGCCAUUCUAGUUUCUCUUUCAAUAUACAUACUUAUUUAUUUAUAUUUAGUUACCUUUCUUUGAGUGAAGGCUCACUUGUCUGGAUUAUUUUUUCAUCGAGUUCUUGUCCUUGAUACUUAUGUGGAGAUUUCUUCGAACUUCAACACCUCAUAUCUCCUAAUCCGACCGUCCAAACAAACUCAAAAUUUACAUCAGGUACUGAUGUAUUCUUAUUAACUUCUACAACAAUUUUCAACUGCAAAUUCGUUGCAGAUCUUGAGAUAUCUUGAAAAUCCUAACAGUCACUUCAAACCCUUGUCUUUAUACAUCUGCGUGCAAUUUUCUUCAUAUCUCACAAAAUAUAAGCUUAAAUACCACGAAAUUUGUAUGUAUAGCUUUUUAAUACAAAAUUUUACAUUUUCCAAAAAAUUUGAGCCAAAAUAAUUGUCCGAAAACUCAAGUUAUGGCUCCAACCAUUACUACAAAUAAAUCCGCUUACUUACUGCUUUUGAUUUAGAAGCGCCGCCUUCAACUCCUUACAACUCCUUCAUAUGAACUCCAAAAGCAAUAAUUCCUUUAUAAAAGAUGUACAUUUUGAAAUCACCGUUCCAGUUGCAUCUUCCGAUCUUCAAAAGCUACUGUAAAACUCCUUGUACCUUCAAAAGAGUAACAGUAUGUCUUAAAUAUAUACCUUAACUUCAAACGGCUAUAACUUCUUCACCUUAGCUUCAAAUCCUCUAAUAUUUGUAUAAAAAUUGUACUCCAAAUCCUAAACUUUACAACCCUAGCUUGUAAUCUCCGAAUGCUCUCUUUGAAGUCACCGAAACUCUUGUUAAGGUUGUAGGCAGCCUCCUCAAAGCCCAUUGGACAUGGUAUUCGACCAAUAGUGAUGAAGUUCUCCAUUCCUUGCCUUCAUCUGACCAUGCCUUGCUUUCAUCCCUCCCAAUUAGCCUCCUACUAGUUUAGAUUUUCAUCCUUAGGCUUCCACCUUCUUCCAAGGUUUCAUACUAAACAUUUAGGUCUUAUAUUUUUUUUUUUAAUGUCAAAAUCAAAACAAGUAAAGAAACAAAGUAAAGUUUCUUAUACCAACACCUUUUAAUUUAAUCUACUAGCCACUCUAACACAAAUCUACAUUUAUUAACAUAUAAAUAUUUUAACUAAUUUUUAUAUACUGUAAGUAUUUAUAGUACGAUAAUGUUUAAUUGUAAAUUCUCUAAAAUCCUAUUGGAUUCUUAGGACCUUUUAUUGCAAUUUUCUUUUACCUUCGACAAUCAAGUGUUUGAUGUAUUCUCAAGCAAGACUUCACCUAAUAUGACAUAUUUGGUGAACCCGACGUGAAAAACUUGAGGUGGAAGGUAUUUGGAGUUACUUUGAUCUAUUUGGGUUAUGGAGAAGGAAGGCAAGAGAAUGGAAGGAGGAGCUUUUGCUGGUGCUUCAAGUGGAGUUGGAAGUGGAGCUUCAAUUGAAAGACAAGGUAUGUAUUUUGAUCCCAACUCUGCAAGCAUGUUUGAAGCAUUGGCGUUAUUCAUACAAUAACAGGUUAAGGAUCGCAAAGAAGGCAUGGCAGACAAAGCAUUAUAAGUUGUUAUAGACAAGAUUGAUCAAUUUGAAGGGAAGGAUAUUACAAAAUAUUUAAGGUAUUACGUAAAGAAAAUGGAAUUGAAGUGUAUUGUAGAAAAGGAGAUGGUUCAGCUAUUUGAAUUCGCUACUGUACUAGAAAUAAAAAAUCAUGUGAAGUCCAUUAUAGGACAUUCUGGAGGUUCAUGGAAAAAAUUAUCUUAAGCAUUAAAGGAUGAAUAUUUUUUAGAAGAUAGGGAUUGAAUUAUAAAGAAGUCAUUUUUUGAAUGAAUUGAAAGGCCUAAGAAGGAUCUACUAGCAAUGAAGUUACUAAGAGAGUUUGAAAAGUAAUAUUCUUAUUUAUUAAAGAAGGAGAGGCAAAUAUUAGAUCUAAGUAAAGUGGAGCUUUUUCUUCAAGUGGCUAAUGGAGAGUUGCAAGAGAAGUUAGAAAUUUUGCUAAAAGAUAAAGAAGAAGUUGAAGGAUUGACAACAAAUUGGGAGAAAGUAGAAGAGGCAAUUGGGAUGCUUGCAAAAAGAGAAAGGAGAAAAAGAUAGGAUGGAAAUUCAAAGACCAUUGCAAGCAUCUAAAGAAAAAAUGUUUGCUAUCUAUCCUACAUCUACGAUUCAGCGUUCAAUGGCUACAUCAAAGAGAAAAGAAAUGAGUAUUGAUGAAAUCAUACGAGAGAUGAGAGAUUUAUAAAUAAAAUUUACAAAACUUGAAGAGAUGGGUCAAUCAUCAAGAAUAUCAACAAGACAAAAUUUAAGACCAAUAGAAGGUAUGGUGCAUAGGUGCAUGUGGUGUGAUAGUAUAGAUCAUUUAAGAAGGGAGUGUGAAGAUUUUUCAGAGGCGCUACGCAAAGGAGUUGUUUUUUUUAAAGAUGUGUAGAAUAGAUAUUAAUUCGUUUUUAAAAGAUAUUGGUAAAAUAUAUUAAUAGUCCAUAUAAUAGAAAAUUCAGGAGGACGGAUGAGUGAUUUAGUUAUUAAAAGUGAUUAAUUACAGAAUUAUGAUUAGAAUCUAGAGAAUCAGGGGAAAGUAUAUAGAAUUUGUAGAAGUUAAUUAGGAUGCCGGAUUGUGAGAGUCGUGAACCGGGGGCUAUCGCUGUGAUAGUGUGAGCCGGGAUAAGCUUGGUGCUACUUCUUUUCUUUUGUUUGUUAUUUUCUUUGAAUAAGAGGAUUGAGAGUUUCUGAAUAUUGUGAAGUAAAUUAUGGAAUGGAAAUGUGAUUGGUACUAUUUGAGAAGAAGAAAGAUUGAAUGCUGAAAUGUGAUUGUAAUUCAGCAGAGAGAAUGAGUCUGUAUUUGUGUGAAACACUGUAAUGAAAAUAUCAGUUCUGUGUGAAGAAUUCCAGUGAUUGGAAUGAUGAUAAUUGUGUGUUGAAAGCUGUGAGGGCAUAGUAUUACAGUUGGAGAUUAUGAGGGUGAAUAUAUUAGUAGAAAUAGUAACUAUUGAUAUGACUGAAUUGCUGUAAAGAAGAGAUCGAUAAGGUGAAGGAGGAGAUUAUAGUUUCUUUGUGUGUUCAGGUAUUGGAAAUAGAGACGAUACAUUCAGGAGGUAAUUGAUUGUGUGACCCUAACAUAAACGCUUAAGCAACUAGUCAUUCUCCGUGUUUGAAUUCUCCUAUACGAGUUUAUUCUGGGAGGUUUCUUCUGGAAUAAGUAAAACGAGUAAUCACAUUUUGGCGCCGCUGUCGGGGAGUGAUAAUAGCUUUGAGUGUUAGGAAUUAAUUACCAAACAUGUGAGAAAAUUGGCAAUGGAAGACAAUUUCAGUAGUGUUUGAAACAUGAUUAUGGUUAAUAAGAACGAGAGCAUUGCAUCGAGAAAAAUAAAUCAGUUGAGAGAAAGACAGGGAAGAACGCAAGGAAGGAACUUGCUUAGAGAGGAGCAAGAAUGUAAUCUUAAAAAGAAGCAUCGACAGAAUUGGAUUAAACCAUGGUUGCAAGUUUGUCGGUGCAUUCGAACAUAUCAAAAAUCGGACAGACUGUUAAUUUUGCAGUCGUAUGUACCAUUAGAAAAACUGCCAAGAACACUCGGGGGAAAUUUUGUUAACAUUCCAGUGGAAAUCUUGUGGCCAUUAACUGAAAGAGAAGGAAGCAUAGAAGAAUUUGGUACUCCAUUGGAUAUUUUUUAAAUAGGAGGUACCGCUGAAACGAGCAAUAGUGGCUCUUUAGAUUGGCACAAAUUGGUCGCCAAUAAAGAUAACUAUAUUGUAUUUCAAAAGCCAAUAUUUUCACCUGUAAUUCAACCAAUAAAAAUAUUUAUAGAAAAUAACAGUAAAUUGAGGAGCAUUGAGAGCUUGGAAAUUAGAAUAAGGGGAAGCAGAGAUUAUUUUAAAAUGGAGUUUAGCGGAACAAGAAAUUUAAUGGCAUCAAGAGGACUAGCCAUUUUGAUUGUAAUGUAAAUGGGUGCAGUAGGCGAUCGUACGACUAGUGUCACGCUACUACCUACUUUUCAGGGAUUUCCAGGUGUGGAUCCAGAUCAAUAUUUGUCUCAAUUCUUGACAGCGUGUGUAGCUAAUAAUGGAAGAAUAGAAGACAUUUGGUUAAGAUGGCUGCCAGCGAUAUUGAUAGACACAUUGUUUGAUUAGUAUAACCGCCAACCUGUGGGAUAAUUUAUCAAUUGGGAGGCAUUAAAAAAUAUAUUUUUAGCCCAUUUUUGAUCAAUUGGUUUUGAAGAACAUCUUAGAGAAAAAUUAAUGACCAGCAGAAUGGUACCAUGGAAAGCGAUACAGUCAUAUUAUGGUCGUGUAGCAGAUAUGCUUCGAAAAUGGCCAAAUAACCAAAUACCGGAAUCGUUUGUGUUGUCCAUAUUGGUUAAUGGACUACACCUACCAGAAUUGAAGAUGUUUGUAAAGAAGGCCCAAUUAGCCACCAUUGCAUCAUCUCUUGAGGGAAGCAAAAGUAUGGGAGGAAUGUCACUAUGACCAGAACUUAAAAGUUGGAGCCACGAUGAUUCCAUCUCAAAGAGGUUAUUAAAUUACAAAUUAAAAUGACGCAUUGGAAAGUUAUCUGGGAAGGAAUGAUUAUGGUACAAUUCCACAAGGAAUAGUACUAUCAUUGCAUUGCAUUGCAAGUUGUACCACCAUCAUCAUCACACCCGUAUGUGCCUUAUUCCGCGUACCAAAAAUCAAUACCUACAAAGGAAUUGCCAAAUGCAUUGAUAUCAAGGGAUCCCAAUGAGUCAUUGCUGUUAACAUUGACAAAAAAAAUGGAUGAAUUGGCUGUGAAUCUCGCCAAGGAUAUAGAAUAAAAGCAUAAAUCAACCAAUAUGCGUCCCAAUGUAUGGGGCAGCAAUUGUAAGGGGCAAGGUCAUUUAGUAACAGAAUGGCCUUUACCACCCCAAAUCACUAUAUAAUGUAGCUUUUGUGGAGGCAAGCAUAUUACCACCAACUGUUGGAAUUUACGGAAAUAUCAACAAUAAUUUAGUAAUCAGACCAUGAUCCCACCAACCCAGUGGGACAUCAAUUAAGUACAAAUGAAUAAUAGGUUUGACUGAAAUAAAAAUCAAGCGAAUAAACAAAAUAGGAAUUAUUUCAAUUUCCUAAACUCUGAAUUUUACCAAAAAAAGUGUAUCCAAUACUCACGGAUUGGUGAUGAAUCAACUAAGAUACCAUCAAUAUCAACCCAUGAUGAAGCCAAUGCCAGACUCUACAAUAACAAUGGGUCAACCAGAAUCCUUUACUCAUCCGACAUAGAACAGACUUAGCCAUUAUAUACGAGUAGAGACACCCAAUAUCCCUGAAGGAGUUGGCAGGAGACCACUUUGUUGCUAUCGUUGCAAACAAAUCGCACAUUAUGUGAGUGAAUGUCCUAAUCCAAGGGCCAGUGGUGACUAUACUCCAAUAUGUGGAAAUUGUAAGCAGUCUGGUCACACUUAUCAGCAAUGUAAUGCACCCUUUAAUUAUAAUAACCAGAACUAGCAAAUGCAAACAAGCCAACCGGUAGAGGACAAAGGCCCUCUUCAAUGAGAUUCACCAGUACAUCGUGUCGAGGUGGUGAACGUAGUGCUUACCAGAGGCCAACAAAAAGACAAGAAUCCAAUUCAAGACUUGGAUGAACCAAUCGCAAGAGAGCAAGUAGCACCGUCCAUGGGACUAAACGAACCAAUAUCAGUAUUGGGACGUAUCCCAAUAUUGAAACUUCAAUAGACUGAGGAACCCAAUUCAAUUCUAUGUACCAAUUUGUCAGGACCAUCCAAUCCAGGUCCUAUUACGGGCUCUGUACUUAGUAUGAGAUCUGAAUUGGUGGCAAAACCCAAUGAGGUCCCAAUUACAGAGGCUUCGGUUCCGCUCCAAGUAGUUUUGAUCUCUACGCAGUUCCGAGAAAUGUCCUAUCCAUUGAAAGAUCCUCUCGAGGGUGAGAAUUCCAAGGAAGCCUCGGUUGCUGUUCCAAUUCCGAGUUUAGGACGGAAGAAUAUCUUACCUCACAGAGUAAAAUCGAAACCAAUGAAAUGUAAAAGAGCAUUGGGAAUUACUCUCAAUAUGGAAUCCUACAACAUUCUGAAGGAUUUGGAUGUUAUUCAGCCUUCAAUUACAAUGAAAUAACUUUUGGUCGUUGUCGUAGUGUAAAUGCUUAUAGUAUGUAAAAAUUAGUUAGAACACAUUAAAUUUUAAUAAAUCUAAAUAUAUGUUAGAGUGGAUAAUAGAUUAAAUUAAAAAGAGUUGGUAUAAAAAAACUUUAUUUUGUUUUCUUUGGAGGCUGCCCACGACCUUGAUAAGGGUUUCGGCGACUUCAAAGAGGCCAUUAGGAAAUCAAAGGCAAGGGUUGUAAAUUUUAGGGUUUUGGCUACAAUUUUUGUGCAAAUUUUAUAGGGUUUGGAGUUAGCGUAAAUAAGUUAUAGCCGUUUGAAGUUAAGGUGUCAAUUUGAGACCUACUGUUACUCUUUUGAGUUUAAGAGGAGUCUUACGGAAGCUUUUGGAGAUCGGAAGGUUCAGCUAAAAGGGCAACUUCAAGACAUACAUUUUUUGCGAAGGAAAUUCUGCAUUUGGAGUUUAUGUGAAGGAGGUAUAGGGAGUUAAAGACAGCGCAUUCAAAUCAAAGGCAGUAAGUGAGCGGUUUUGUUCAAAGUAGUGUUAGGAGCCAUAACUUGAGUUUUCGAACGAAAUUUUGGCUCAAAUUUUGAGAGAAUGUAAAAAUUUGUGUUAAGAAGCUAUCUAUACAAGUUUUGCGGCAUUUGGACUUAUGAUUUGUGAGAUAUGAAGAAAAUUGUGCGCGGGUAUAUAAAGAUUAGGGUUUGAAGCGAUUGUUAGGGUUUUGAAGAUAUCUCAAGAUCUGAAACGAAUUUGUAGUUGAAAUUUGUUGUAAAAAUGAAUAACAACAUAUCAGUACUUCAUGUAAAUUUUGAUCUUGUUUGGACGGUUGGAUCAAGUGUUAUGAGGUAUUGAAGUUUGGGAGAAUUUCCACACAAGGAUAUACAAGGUUUUAGAGUACUUCUACCAUAUUUUGGGUAUUGUUGGUUAUUUAAGACUUAAGUAUUUGGUGUAAUUGUCCCAAAAGGAGAACUUAUAUAUAUAUAAAAUUAGGUUUUCCUUAUUUUAAGCUUGAUUGAGCAAUUAGUGACAGCUAGAAGCCCAGCGCUUUCUUGAGGCAAAACCUCUCUACCCCGACAGCACAGUAUUACAGUUGGAGAUUAUGAAGGUGAAUAUAUUAGUAGAAAUAGCAGUUAUUGGUAUAACUAAAUUGCUGUAAGGAAGAAACCGAUAAAGUUAAGGAGGAGAUUAUAGUUUCCUUGUGUGUUCAAAUAUUAGAAAUAGAGAUGAUACAUUCAGGAGGUAAUUGAUUGUGUGACCCUAAUGUGAACUCUUAAGCAACUAGUCAUUUUUCAUGUUUGAAUUCCCCUAUACGGGUUUAUUCUAGGAGGUUUCUUUUGGAAUAAGUAAAACGAGCAAUCACAAGAUGCUAUGAUAUACUUAAAAGAGAGUGGAGAAAAAUUAGAGACAAAUUUUGGUAAAAGGAGAAUGAGGGUGUUUGUAGGAGAUGCUUUCAAGGUGCAUACAACUUCAAGUAAUGAAGCAUCAACUUUUUGGAUGGGAGCAAAUCCAAGCAAAUGCUUCAGUAUAAAUCUUGACUAUCCAAGAGAAUCUGGUUUUUUAUGGUCAAGUGCAAUGAAUUAUGCUGAAAAAAAAAUUUUACUAGAGAUGAUCUAAAACAUGUUGGUAAUAACAUUCGGCAAAUUAUUCGGUGGGAUGAUCCAGUAGAUAGAUUAUCAGUUCAUGUUCAUAUUGCAAGGAGUCAACAUGAAGCAUUAAUAGAAGAAAAAUGAAAGAGAGAUGAAAAUCAUGAAGGGCCAUCAAAAAGAAUCACAAGAGGAGAUAAAAUUCUACAACAAAAGAAUCCUAUGCAUGAAGAGAUAAUAGAGAAUAUUUCUACAAAGGAGAGGGAGAUUGUGAAAGAAAAAGUAAAGGUUCUUGCUUAUAAAUUAUAAUCAGGUAUUGAAGCUGCAACAGAUUUAAAGAAAGUAUUGUAGGAGUAGAUUUUAAAUAGAAAGGUUGAAUUUACAAUUGGUGAAAUUAUAGGAAUUGCAAAAAAAAAAUUCAUGAAGUUAUUAUUGAUACAAUAAAAAGAAAAUGGUAAUCUAUUGGUGAUACUAUGACAUCAAAUGCACAAGGUACAAAGACAAUAGGAAGCAAUGAAGAUGAAGAAAUAGAAAUGCAAAUUGUUGGAGUUGUUUCACGAGUCAAAUUUACAAGAAAAGAAGAUAUGAUUCAAGCUUCUAGUCAUUAUUCUCGGAGUCAUUGGACAAAGGCUACUACAGAAACUUUAGUAAAAUUGGGAGAUUUAGAGUAACCAAUUAUAGCAUUGAUUGAUCAUGGUUCUGAAAUAAAUUUAAUAUUAACAGAAUUAUAUAAAAAGAGAAAUUGGCCUAUUGAUAUUGAGCAUGGGUGGAUGAUAAGAGCAGCAAACAAUUCAAAGAGGGAUUUGUAUGGAGCUUGUCUAAAUAUCAAGGUGACAAUAAGAGAUGUUAUUCAUGAAUAAAAUUUCUUUGUGUAAGAUAUGUCUAUAUAUCCUAUUAUAUUAGGACAACCGUAUAUUAUUGCCACACAAAUGGAGACAAAGGUUAUGGAUGAUAGAUCAGCUUAUACAAGGAUAACAGGUCAAGACAAAAAGAGGGCAGUGUAAUUUUUAAUAGUUUGUACAAAUCAUGGAAGAAAUAGGGAUAGUUUGAGGGAAUAUCCUUUGUUAAAGAUACAUAAAGAAUUUGAAGAUCUUGAAGUCUCAAAGGAUUUUUACUAGAUGCUAUUGUAAAGCAGGAUUGCAAUGGUAAAAAGAGUGAAGGCUUCCGGCCUAAUAGAAAGGAUGAAGAUAUUAUAGGAUUAUCACAAGAUGGAUAUAUUUUAUUCAAAAACAUAAAUAAUUUCAGUAGGAUAGAUAAGAAAAAUGUUAAGAAUAUAGAACAGGGAUUAAAAAAAUAUAGAAUGAUUGAUGAAGAUGAAUACAUAUCAGGAAUGUUUGAAGAAUCUUGUUUUUGUGAUACUAUGAAUGAUUUACAAAUAUUAUUGAAUGGAAAUUUUGAAAGAAGUGAUAAAGUAAUAAAUGUCCAUUUUAAGCAAUUUUAUGAUAGAAUAAAAGAAUAUAUGGAUAGGUAUGAAGUGAAAGUAAACACAAAAUAUAAGACUGUUGCAAGGAAGAUUAAACCAGUGGCAUUGCCAUUACCAUUGGAUUUUGAAGAAAGGAUUAAAGAGGCUUCUAUGCAACCUAACUUAAAAGAUCCAAAGAAAAUAGGUCAUGAAUUCAAGGAUAAUUUGACGUUAGAUGGUUUAAAAAUUAGAUGUGAUAAAUUUUUGACAAGAGAUGAGGAGAGAUGUUUUAAAGAAAUGCUUUCAUGAAAUGGUAAAGCAUUUGGAUUUGAAUCAUAUGAAAUAGGGUGCAUUGAUCCGAGUAUUGUAGCACCUAUGGUUAUUUUUAUAAUUUCACAUGAACCAUAGAAUUUGAGGCCACUCUGAGUUUCAAAGGCCCAUUUAUCAAAACUAGUUGAAUUACUCAAUGAAAAAAUUAAGAUGGAAAUUUUAGAACCAUCUAUUGCACCAUAUUCCAAUCAGUGGUUCAUAGUAUCUAAGAAAAAUGAAACAUUGAGGUUUAUUUAAGAUAUACAAUCGGUAAAUAAAACAACUAUUAGAAAUAUGGGCUUGAGUUCAAUUGUAGAUGAGUUUGCAGAGGCAUUUGCAGGGAGAUCAAUUUAUUCUAUGAGAGAUCUUUACUCAAGAUAUAAUCAAUUUCAAUUGGCAAUGCAAAGUAGAGAUUUGACAACUAUGAAGAUACCAUUGGGAUUGAUCAGAAUGUGUACAUUACCAUAAGCAGCUACAAAUUCUAUGGCACACAUGAUGAAUGGAAUGCAUAAGGUACUAAGAGAUUUUAUUUCAAGAAUAAUAAUGCCUUUUUUAGAUGAUGUGUUAAUUAAGGAAUGUGAAGAAGAAAGAAAGGAUGAGACAUUGGAUUCAAAGGGAUGUAGGAAGUUUGUAGCAGAUCAUAUUGAUGAUUGUAAGAAGAUUUUGACAAGGCUAGAAGAAGUUCAUUUAACCUUAUUGGAGACAAAAUCAAUAUUUGGAGUAAAAGAAGUUUUGGUAGUAGGACACAUGUGUGGUUCAUAUGGAUGCAAACCAAGUAGGAAAAAAGUUGAUAUUAUAAAAAAAAUGAAAGAAUGUGCAAAUACGACAGAAAUCAGGAAGUUUUUAGGAGCAUGUAUUUUCUAUCAUAUAUGGAUACCUCAUUUUGUACAUAUAACAGAUCCAUUAUAUGAGUUGUUAUGAAAGAAUCAAAAAUUUCAAUAAAAAGAAGAACAAAAAAAAUCUAUGGCAAAGUUAAAAGAAUUUCUUUCUUCACCUCCAACUUUGAAGAAAAUAAAUUAUGAAUGUGAAAGGCUAGUAAUAUUAAUAGUUGAUACAAGUCCAAUUAGAAUAGGUUGGACAGUUGGACAAGAUGAUGAACAAGGGAAUAGAUAUGUAGUAAGGUUUGGAGCAAAGGUUUUGAAUGCUAGACAAAGGAUAUAUGUACAAAUCAAAAGAGAAUUAUGGGAUGUAGUAAUAGCUAUAAAAAAUGAAAGAGAAUAUUUGAUUGGUGCAUCAGUAGUUGUAGAAACAGAUUGUCUACCUUUAUUGGGUAUGAUUACAAGUUAUUCAACUCUCGAUAUUAUUAUAUUAAGGUGGAUGGCAUAUAUCAAAUCUAUAAAUCCAGAAUUUAAACAUAUUACAAGAAAAGAAAAUUCAGUCGCAGAUAUGUUAUCAAGAGUAAGGUAUUACGAUGAAGAAGAUAUGAUAGAUUUAGAAGAUGAUAUGGAUACAAAUUUUUAUACUAAUGCAUUAUCAAAGGAAGAAAGUAUAUGUUUGAAUACACCAUUAGAAACAUUUUCAAGAGAUCUAUAUGAAGAAGAAUGAAAAGACAUUGAGGAGUAUUUAAGCACAUUAAAGUGACAAGAUGGUUGGACAGAUAAAGAAUUUAAGAAAAUCCAAAAGAAAGUCUAUGGAUAUUUUUUACGCGAUGGAUAUUUAUGGAAGCAUCCAAAGAAGAGAGGAGAAGUACCACAACAAGUGAUAUGUGGUUUAGAAGCUCAACAAAAGAUUAUUAAAGAAUUUCAUGAAAGUUUAUGGGCAUGGCAUCGAGAUAUUUAGACAACAGUUAUUAAGUUGAAAGAAAAAUAUUGGUGGACGAGCAUGUAUAGGGAUGUGGCAAAUUUUUUAGGAUCUUGUGAAACUUGCCAAAUAUAUUCAAAUAUUCGUCAUCGAGAUGGUUUGCAUCCUACAUAUCCAUUAAUAAUUCAUUAUAAAUGGGUGGUAGAUUUAGUUGUAAUGCCAAUGGAAUUUGGUUAGAAGAAAUAUUUGAUACUUGCUCGGGAAGAUUUGACAAAUCAAGUAGAAGGAAGAGCACUUUCAACAAAGACUACGGAAGGAAUAUGUCGGUUUAUAUUAGAGGAAAUUCUUUGCCGACAUGGAUGUAUUGGAAAAAUCACUACAGAUAGAGGAGAAUUGGAUGCAAAUGAAGUACAAGAGUUCUUUGAAAGGAUGAGUAUUAAACUUGCAUUGACAAGAGCAUAUAAUUUAGAAGGAAAUGGCAAGAGUAAAUGUGGACAUUCUCUGAUUAUUAAAGCAUUGGUUAAAGCAUAAAAAGGCAAGAUAAGUAAUUGGCCUAAAUUAUUACCAUUUACAUUAUGGAUGGAUCACACAAUUCAUAGUAUAGUUAUAGGAUACAUGCCAGCAGAAUUGAUGUAUGGUCGAAAACCGGUAUUACCGAUAGAGGAGGUUGUAUCAACAUGGACUAUAUUACCUUGGAAAGAUGAUUUAACAAGAGAAGAGUUAUUGGCAUUACGAAUUUGACAACUUGAAAGAAGGCCCAAGGACAUUGAAGUAGCUGUGGAAAAGUUGAAAGAAGCGAGAGAAAAAAACAAGGAGAGGUUUGACAAAAAAUAUUGAUUGCAUCCAAAACCAAUUCAAAAUAGUGAUUGGGUGUUGAUUUAUAAUAGUAGUUUAGACAACCAACAUAGUAUGGCAAAGAAAUUUGUAAGGAGAUGGUUUGGACCUUAUGUUGUCAAACAAGUGCACAAGAAUGGAACAUGCUUGUUAUGAGAACUGGAUGGUACAGAUUUAAAGAUACCAAUAGCAAACAAACGAAUCAUAUUGUUUAAUCAAAGAGGUAAAGAAUUUUUUUUUGAUGAAAAAAAAAAUCUAAUAGGAGAUAUUAAGAUGGAAGAAAAAGAGCAAAAUGAAGAUCAAGAAUUUGACCAAGAUGAAGAACAUUCGAUAUCAAUAUAAUGAAAGAACUUGGUGCAUACCAGAGGAUGCACAAUUUUAGGGGAGAUGGAUGUCAUGAUAUAACAUGGCUAAUAAGUGAAAGAAUGAAGAAAAUAUCAUGAUUUGAGGAUCUCACUUCAAAAAUAUUGUAAAAAAUUAUCUUGGAAAAAUAGAUAUUAGUCAAAGGGUAGAAAAAUUAAAGGUGCUAAUGCUGCCUUUUUACAAAUUAACCUUCUAUUUACUUUGUAAGGCCAUAAAUAAGACAAAACAAGGUAGAUUAGAAAAAUAAAGGAUAUAUGAAUAUGUAGGGAGAAGUUAGGAGUGCAAAUUAGUAAAAAUUACCUCAAGAAGACGAAAUUUGAUACUCAAAGCGGACCGGUUAUGAACCGGGGUCGAAAUCAAACCCCAAGGUACAAAACCAUGCUCUGAUGGUGACUGAAGGGUUCUUUGGGAGGUCGAAGAGCUGAAAUAGGGGAAAGACUUGUGGAGGGAUUUUUGAGAGGUGAUUUUGUGUCGUUUGGAUCAGUAUUGGAUUUUUGAAGGAUUUUCAAAGCGAGUGAUGUUCUCUAUGAAUUCAGAUCUUUGAGAAAUAAAACCGGUUUACAAAUUUUUGGAUUUCGUGUCAUUUGUAGCAUUUUUAUAGGUAAAAAUUUAGAAACUUAUUGGCAUGCUUGUUGUGAAUGUGUGUAAGAGAUUUGAGAUCAAGAAAAUAGCUAGAUCAAUACAUAUGAAGGUUUUUGUGGACUAAGGUCUCAAGAUUUAGGCUUUUGAAGACCAAUAAGGUUUUCUUAGAUAUCUAGCAAUCUGCUAAUUGGAUUAGAGAGAUUUUAGGUUUUAUCAGUAGAAGACUUGAUUUUCUAUAUAUAAGUAAAAUUUGAAAGCAAUCAAAUAGUAGAAAAGGGAGAUAUCAGCGCUAGAAGUUGGCAUCAAGAUUGGAGAAGGAGAGACCAGCCGACAUCUAAGCGGAAUUUUGAGGUCAUCGACUAAUUGGUAAGUGCGAUUUUCUUCAAAAUUUGUGUACUAGUUUCUAACUUAAACUUUAAGAAGUGUACAAAUUUUGAAUUAGAAUCAAUGGUUCAAUCUUUAGUUAUUUAAUUUUCAAAUCUGUAAUUAGGGUUUAAUUUGGAUUAGGAUUUGAUUAGGGUUUAGAGUUAGGAUUUAGUUAGGAUUUGGUUUAGGAUUUAGGAUUUAUUAGGGUUAAAAUAUGAUUUAGGAUUUGGUUUAGAAUUUAGAAUUUAGGGUUUGGUUUAUGAUUUGAUUUAGGAUUUAGGAUUUGGAUUAGGAUUUGGAUUAGGAUUUGGAUUAGGAUUUGGAUUAGGGUUUAGAUUAGGGUUUAAGAUUUGGUUUAGGAUUUGAUUAGGAAUUGGUUUAAGGUUUAAGAUUUGAUUAAGGUUUGAUUAGGAUUUGAUUUAGGAUUUAGAAUUUGUCUAGGGUUUGAUUAAGAUUGGAUUAGGAUUAGGGGUUGGUUAGAAUUUAAGGUUUUAUUAGAUUUUUAUUAGGAUUUGACUAAGUUUUUUUUAAUAUUCUUUUAUAUUUCUUUAGGAUUUCUUUGUGUUUUUUUUAUAACUUCAAUAAAAUUUAAUUGAGCUUGCUUAAUAUUUGAUUAUGAUUGUUAACGUUUAAUUAUAAAUUCUCUAUAACCCUAUUGGAUAGUUAGGACCUUUUGUUGCAAUUUUCUUUUACCUUCCACAACCAAGUGUUUGGUGCAUUCUCAAGUAAGACUUCACGUAAUACGACAACACAAUGCAAGAUUGGUGCAGAAGUAAACUUCUUUUGUAAAGCAUUAAAUGAUGCUUUUGCUUCUUUAUUCUACUCAAGUUUGUCUUCACAAGUUAAACAUGUAAGUGGAAGUGAAACUUGAAAAAAGUUCUUGAUGAAGAUUUUAUAGUAAUUAAUAAAGCCUUAAAAGCAUUACACAUAUCAUAUCAUUUUUAGAAUCUUCCAAUCUAUGAUAAUUUGGAUCUUUUUGGGAUCCAUCAUAUGGCCUUUGUUGAAAAUGAUGUAUCCUAAAAAGUCAACUUGAGUAGUGUAGAAUACACACUUUUUUAUCUUGGCAUAUAAUCCUACAUCUCUAAGUUUCUAUAACACAUGACGAAUAUAAAGUUUAUGUUUUUUUGUGUUGUUAGAGUAAUUAGAAUGUUGUCUAAAUAGCAAAUGACAAAAUCAUCUAAAAACUCACAAAAAAUAUCAUUCAUAAGAUAUUGAAAAGUAAUCGAUGAAUUUGUGAGUCUAAAAGGCAUGAUAUUAUAUUCAAAAUAUCCAUAUCUAGUUUAAAAAGUAGUCUUCCAUUCAUUUCUUUCUUUGAUAUGAAUUAAGUUGUAUGCUCUUUGUAGAUCUAUUUUAGUAUAGAUCUUUGAUUAAUUAAGUUGUUCAAGAAGUCCUAAAAUCAAAGGUAAAAGAUACCUAUUUUUUAUGGUCAUCUUAUUGAGUCCUUGAUAAUCCACACACAUCCGUAGAAAUCCAUCUUUUACAAAUAAGAUAGGAGCCCCGAUUGGAGAUUUAGAAUAGAAUAUGAAGUUCUUUGCUAAGUUCUCAUCAAUAUACUUCUUUAAUGCAGCCAACUCAUUUUGCGAUAAGCUAUAGAUUGAUCCAAAUGGUGGUUGAGUACUUUGUUGUAAAUCAAUUGAACAAUCAUAAGAUCAAUGCUCUGGAAGAAUAUCUCCUUUCUUUUUUUCAAAAAUGUCUUAGCAUUCUUUAUGUUAGCUAGGAAUACUUCACGUUUUUUCACCAUUAGAAAUGGGCAUAGUGUGAUUGCUCGUUUUACUUAUUCUGGAAGAAACUUCCCAGAAUAAAUCCAUAUAGGGGAAUUCGAACACGGGGAGUGACUAGUUGCUUGAGCGUUCACGUUAGGGUCACACAAUUAAUUACCUCCAAUGUAUAGUCACUAUUUCCAUUAUCUAAGCACAUAGAAAAAUGAUAAUCUCUCCUUUCACCUUAUCACUCUCUUCUUUGCAACAAUUCAGUCAUACCAAUAACUGUUAUUUCCACCAAUAUAUCUUCACUCUUAUAAUCUUCAACUGUAAUACCUCAACAUCACAGCUUCAGCACACAAUUAUCCUCAUUCCAAUUACUGGAAUUCUUCACACAAAACUACCAUUCACAUUACAGUGUUUCACACAACCACAAAUUCACUCUUUCUGCUGAACUACAUUCAGAUUUCAGCAUUCAAUCUCUCUUCUUCUCAUUCAAUAACAUAUAAUUCCAUUCACACUUUCAUUCCAUGAUUCACUUCACAAUAUUCAGAAACUCUCAAUACUCUUAUUUCAAAGAACAUAACAACAAAAGAAAAGAGGUAGCACCAAGCUUAUCCUGGCUCACACUAUCACAGUAAUGGCGGUUUCUUCCUCUCUCUCAUCCUCCUUAUCCUACCACAAGAUACCAACUGCUACAUCUCUAAUGAAAACUAUUUUUCCUAACUAUUCAUCCAUUUUAACUACUGAACUACCUUUCUAAUAGUCAUCUAUCCCUGUUUACACUAUAAACUAAGUAUCUACAAAUCAGCAAAUAACUACUUAUUCUACACAUAGCAUAUAUGGCAAAAGUUGAUCCUUCUAUUUCAACAUGGAUGAAAGCUCUUGCACAUAUUGUCAAGGAUAUAAAUCUCAAAGAAAGAGAAUUCUCAAUAUACUCUUCUAUCACUAAAGAGAACUAAAAAGUCACUCAAAAGGUGAUGUAAUAUUAACUUGAAUGGCUAUUGCCAAAAAAAAAAAGACUAGAAAGACUUGAAACAAGACUAAGACUAGAAAGGCAUUGAUAAGAAUGAAGAAGGCUUCACUCUUGCCUCCAUUUAUACUAUCUAAUUAAGAGCUACGCGGCGAUGUCCUAUAGGACCUCCAACAUGUGUUGACUUUGUUAGCCACAUGUCUUAUCUUGCAAGGCAAGUUAUCUAUGUAUGGCCCAUGUAGUUGGCUUGUUCUACAAGCUACUAUACGGAGAUAACUUGUUCUACAAGCUACUAAUACAUGGUUAGCUUUUUGGCCAAGUUUCUAACCUACAGACACAUCUAAAAUCAAAACUGCAUCUAUGAAGCUUUUAGGAAGUUUUUCUAGAAGACUUUAUAAAUUAUUCUAUAUUUACUUACUUCUACUUAAUCAUGUAAGUAACUAUGGAAGUAAAUAUAUAUGUUUGUGAUAUUAUCCCCCCUUCUAGAGACGAGUUCUAUAAUGAGCGGUCUUCAUAUGUUGAGAAAGUCCAAGAUGCGGCAAAUUAUAUUUGCUACAUAUUCCAAUUUUUGCUCUCUUCAAAGAUGGUUGAUAGGUCUUCUCAACCAUCUAUAGUGUCCUAUACCAGGGCAAGAAGACUACCCUGUUAUUUGGUCAUUGUUGAAGCCUUCAUAACUUCUUUCAAAUAAAAUAUUUGGAACACCGUCAAGAGCUAUUCCUACCUCUAAUAAAAUCACUAAACAUCGAGAGUCUCUUCUAAAGUCAUGAUACCAAAUACAUUGUAUCUUGCCAUCUAUUUGAAGAAGGACAUGUUGUUCUUAAGGAUCUUCAUCUCGAUUCUGCCAUCUCAAGGUUGUGACAAUCACAAUGUCUUGUCUGGUAAGUUCGCAAAUGAAAGCUUUUGAGUUGAAUCUGCUAGUUGUUGAUACUCCAUCUCAUCACAAAUACACAGAAGCUACAAUAAAAGAUAGAAGGUAGAAUAUUAUUUUCUUUUGAUCUUGUUUCUUUUAUAACAAAGAUUUACUAUUCUUCAUCUUGGUUUUGAUGGAUGUCAUUGAUAAAAGACUUCAACUUUCUUUGCUACAUUUAUAAGAUUCUUUGAUUGCUCCCAUAUGCAUUCACUAAUAUCAUAUCUAUACCAAUGAACAAGAUAUUCUAACCUAUUUUGGCACCACCUUCAAUUUAAGACUUCUUCCACCUCAAACUCUUAGUUAUUAUCUACUUCUAUAGGAUGAGAUGGCAUUUGUCUUCUUCCCAAGAUAUUCACUAUCUUAUACGGCUCCAAAAGAGAUACGUGAAAUAUAGGGUGGAUCUUCAUAGACUCUGAUAGAUGUAAUCGAUAGGCAACAAGAUUGAUUUGUUUACAAAUAGGAAAAGGUCUUAGCCUACGAUAAUCUAAUUUAUCGCAAGGACAAAUAGUCUUGAUAUUACGACAAAGUAACCAUAAAUUGUCGUCCAUAUUAUAUUAUAGUUGCUCUUUGAGAUAGGCAUCCAUGUUGGUCUUUUUUCGUUCUUGAGCUUCCUUUAAUUGUAUCUUCAUUAUUGUAUGUGGCUCUAACAAGCGAUUUGCCAAAUCUUUUAUCACAGGAUUAUCAACUUUUGAAAAGUCAAAAAUAUCAAGACGUGGAUGAUAACCAUAAUUGGCAAAGAAAGAUGUUUGUUGAGUGGAAGAAUGUACUAAAUUAUUAUAUAGAAACUCUGUCAAUGGUAAAAGAGUUGUCUAAUCAUCUUGAUGAUAGUUGAUGGUAUAUCUCAAAUAUUACUCCAAAACUUGAUUAAUCCGUUCUAUUAGUGGAUCAGUUUGAGGAUGAAAAGCUGAAAAAAGUUUUAUAUCCAUCUUUAGAAACUUGAAUAGAGUUCUCCAAAAACUUAAUACAAAUUGAAAGCCCUUAUCCAAUAUAAUAUCCUUUGGCAAUCCAUGAUAGCAAUAGAUAUUGUCAAUAAAAAGCUUAGCUAUUUCUUUACCUGUGAUGGAUUUUGUACAUAGUACAAAAUGUGUCAUCUUAAUAAAACGAUCUACUAUCAUGAAUAUAGAGUCAUAAGAAUCUGAGAUUGGAACAUUCGUGAUGAAAUCCAUAGAAAUAAAAGACCAUGGUUGUUUUGGAAUCGAUAAUGGCUAAAGAAGUCUGUAAGAUCGAUGACGAGGAGUAUUUAAUCUUGAGGAAAUAUCACAAGAUUGUACAAAAUCUUUGACUACUUUCUACAUUUGUAGCCACUAAAAAUCCUUGAAUAUUAGUUCCAAAGUUUUAUUGUAUCCAAAAUGUCCUGCUGUUGGAAAGUCAUGACAGGCUUAGAACACAUAAUCAAGCUUUACCUUCUGGAACAUAUAGGCAUCCUUCAAAAUACAAUAGAUUAUUCUUGAAUUCAAACUUGGAAGUAUCAUGAGGCUUAGAGGAAGUAUCUUUGAUGUCUUGAAUAAGAGGAUCAGAGGACAUGCUUCAUUGAAUUUGCUUCACAAAUGUUGAAUCAACAGUCCAUAUUGAUUUUAUAGAUCGAAGAUAAAAAUACUUGGGCUUCAAAAAAAUUGAUCUUUGUUGAUCAAAUGAUGCAUUUCCUUCUUUUGGGAGAAGAUAAGAACAUCUAGAAAGAGCAUCCGAUAGACCUUGUUAUUUUUCGAGUCAAUAAGUGAUCUUGAAAUUGAAUCUAGAUAAAAACAUGCUCCAAUGGACUUGACGAUGAUUCAAGACACGUCCUAACAUAAAAUAUUCAAGGUUCUUAUGGUUUGUAUAUAUGAUAACUAGACUUGAGGUACCUUCUAGAUAAUGAUGCCAUUCUUAAAAUGAAUCUACGAUUGCAAGGAGCUCUUUAUGAUGGAUCUCAUAAUUAAUCUCGUCUGUUGAAAAUUUCUUUGAAUAGAAAGUUAUUACAUGGAGUUUGUCAUCUCUUUCCAUUUGUGACAACAUGAUACCUAUAGCAAAAUUUGAUGUGUCAAUUUUUGUAAAAAAUAUUCUUAAAAUAGUCAAUAUAAUAUAAGAUUGGUACAGAAAUAAAUUCCUUCUUUAUAGCAUCAAAUGACGCUUCUGCUUCUUUAUUCCACUCAAGUUUGUUUUUACAAGUCAAACAUGUAAGUGGAGCUGCAACUUGAGAAAAAUUCUUGAUGAAGAUUGGAUAGUAAUUAGCAAAGCUAAAAAAAUAUUGCACAUCUCAUACUUUUCUUAGAAUCUUCUAAUCUAUGAUAGUUUGAAUCUUCUCAAGAUCUAUCAUAAGGCCUUUGUUGGAAAUGAUGUAUCCUAAAAAAUCAACUUGAAUAGUGUGGAAUAUACACUUUUUCAACUUGACAUAUAAUCUUACAUCUCUAAGUUUCUAUAAUAUGUGACAAACAUGAAGUUCAUAUGCUUUUAUAUUAUUAGAGUAGAUUAGAAUGUCGUUUAAAUAGAAAAUAACAAAAUCAUCUAAAAGUUCACAAAAAACAUCAUUCAUAAGAUGUUGAAAAGCGGUCGGUGUAUUUGUGAGUCCAAAAGGCAUGACAUUAUAUUCAAAAUGUCCAUACCUAGUUUGAAAAGCAAUCUUCUAUUCAUCUCCUUCUUUCAUACGAACUAAGUUAUAUGUUCCUCGUAGAUCUAUUUUGGUAUAGAUCUUUGCUUGAUUGAGUUGGUCAAAAAUUCCUAAAAUCAAAGAUAAAGGAUACCUAUUUUUGAUGGUGAUCUUGUUGAGUCCUUGAUAAUCCACACAUUUGUAGAGAUCCAUCUUUCCUCUUCACAAAUAAGAUAGGAAUCUCGGCUAAAGAUUUAAAAUGGCGUAUGAAAUUUUUUGCCAAAUUUUCAUCAAUGUACUCCUUUAAUGCAGCCAACUCAUUGUGCGAUAAGCUAUAGAUUGAUCCAAAUGGUGGUUGAGCUUCUUCUUGUAGAUCAAUUGAGCAAUCAUAAGGUAGAUGUUUAAGGAAAAUAUCUACAUACUUCUCUUCAAAAACAUCUUAGAAUUCUUGAUAAUACUUAGGAAUACCACUUGACAUUAUUUUAUUAUUAGAAAUGGGUGUAGCAUAUAUAGCAAAAGAUGAUCCUUUUUUUGCAACAUGCAUGAAAGUUUUUGUACUUACUAGUAAAGGUUUGAACGUAUUGAACUUAUGUACUUCUACUUUGCUAACGCGAACUUGGAUUAUACUAUUAGAAAAGUUAAGAUUAUAAAAAAUCCAAUCUAUUUGAAGGUUAUAUUUUUCUAGCCAUAAUAAUCUUAAAAUAAUCGGAUUAGAGGAAAAUUUUAUUGCAUUAAAUACUACUACAUUGUUAUGAUCUUUAACUCCUAUAUCUAAAGGAAUAGUUUUAUGAAUAAUAUUUUCAGAAGAUAACAAACGACCAUCUAUGACUUCUACAUGUAUGGAUUUAACUUUCUUAACUAAAGAUAUUUUUUGAUUUUUGACAAAAUCUUUGUCUAUAAAACAUGCUGAGGCUCUUGAAUCUAACAAUGCAAAGACUUUGUAAUUAUUAGGUCUUAAAUAUACUUCUAUUAUAAAAGAAGGUGAGGGGUCUCAAGAGAGGAUAGGACCUUUACUAGGUGUUGCAUAUGAUUCCAGCUGCUUGAUCCCUAUUGUAGCUGGAGAAACUCAUUUUUUGACAUAUUAUCUUCUUUGGUAAUUAUACUCCUCAUUUUGUAAUUGUGUUACUUCUUUGGAUAAUAUUGAGUAGUAUGCUUAGCUUCUCCACAAUAUAAACACAACCUCUUUUGGCUAUGUCAAGUCUUUUUUUGCUUUGUAGAAGGUUUAAAAUGUAUCAUAUCAAUUUGCAUUGGUUUUGAUUUUGACGAAUAUGUUUCAGACAAUUCAUAUCAAAAUUAGUUGAUAAGUGCUUUGUCAUUCCAAUCCACCUUGCAAGUAAGAUUUUGGAAUUCGACAACAUAUGUAGUGGCUGAUUGUGAUUCUUGUUGUAAGGAUAAAAUUUUGGUCUCUGCUACUCAUUCUCGAUCACUUUCUCCGAAUAUGGCCAUAAAUAUUUUUAGGAAUGAAUUCAAAUCAUAAAGGAGUCGUGAAUCUUUUUCCAUUAAAAGUGCAAACCAAGAGAGAACACUUCCUGAUAGUAGCGUGCCUAUAAAUCCAACUUAGGUAAAUCGAUCAUGAUAUUAGAAAGGAUGCAACCUUAGAUAGAGCUUGACUUCUUACAAAAAUCCUCGAAAUUUUGAUCUUGUUCCAUCAAACUUCUCAGGCAUACUAAUCUUUGUCCCUGUCAUACUUGUAGAAGCAAAACUCUCUAGAUUCGGUUGUGAUGUUGAUCUACUUGCUUCUUUCAACUACACAAUUUCUUGCUCCAGACUUUGAACUUCUUCUAUAGGCAUAGGCAUAGUACUUCCAUGAUUCACAUUAAAAAUAUGUGAGAUUUCUACUCUUAGAGUGUUGACAAGUUCAUGAAGAUCUACCAUAGUUGCAAAUCUAUUCUCACUUCCAUUGAGAGUUGCCUCUAUAAUCUUUCCUUCCAUAGAUAACUCAAAUAAAUUCAAAAGUUAAAUUAGAAGAAGAUAAUCUACAACCUCUAAAAACUAAUCCACUUACUUCUAAAAUAAGAUAAUAAUAAUAUGUUAGCACUCUUGUCAAAUUGUCAAGGACAUGAAUAUCAGUACACUCUUCUAUCACUGAAGAGAACUAAAAAGUCACUCAAAAGGUGAUGUAAUAUUAACUAGAAUGGCUAUUGCCAAAAAUAAGAAGACUAGAAAGUCUUGAAAUAAGACUAAGUUUAGAAAGGCAUUGAUAAAAGUGAAGAAGGCUUCACUCUUGCCUCCAUAUAUACUAUCUAAUUAAGAGCUAUGUGGCAAUGUCCUAUAGGACCUCCAACAUGUGUUGACUUUGCUAGCCACAUGUCUUAUCUUGCAAGGCAAGUUAUCUUUGUAUAUACCAUGUAGUUGGCUUGUUCUACAAGCUACUACAUGGAGAUAACUUGUUCUACAAGCUACUACACGGAGAUAACUUGUUCUACAAGCUAUCAAUACAUGGUUAGCUUUUUGGCCAAGUUUCUAACCUACAAACACAUCUAAAGUCAAAACCACAUCUAUAAAGCUUCUAGAAAGCUUCUCUAGAAGACUUUAUGAAAUUAUUCUAUAUUUACCUAUUUCUACUUAAUCAUAUAAGUAACUAUAGAGAUAAGUAUAUAUGUCUGUGACACCUAUCAAUAAAAGUUUGGUUGUACUAGACUUUUAUACUUCUACUUCACUAACUUGAUCUUGGAUUAUACUAUCAAAAAAGUUAAGAUUAUAAGAAAUCCAAUCUAUUUGAGGAUUACAUUUUUUUAGCCACAAUAAUCCUAAAAUAAUUGAAUUGGAGGGAGAUCUUAUUAUAUUAAAUACUACUACUUUGUUAUGAUCUUUAAUUGUUACAUUUAAAGAAGCAAUCUCAUAGGUAAUAUUUCUAAAAGACAACAAACGACCAUCUAUGACUUCUACAUGUACGGAUUUAGUUUUCUUAACUAAAGAUAUUUUUUUAUUUUUGACAAAAUCUUCAUCUAAAAAAUAAGCUGAGGCUCUUGAAUCUAAUAAGGCAAAGACUUUGUGAUUUUUAGGUCCUAAAUAUACAUAUAUUAUAAAAUAAGGUAAAGGAUUUGAGGAGAGAAUAGGACCUUUACUAGAUAUUGCACAUGAUUCUAGCCGCACGAUCCCUAUUGUAGUUACAGAAACUUGUUUUCUGACACAUUAUCUUCUUUAGUAAUUGUACUCUUCAUUUUGUAAUUGUAUUACUUCUUUGGACAAUAUUGAGAAGUGUGUUUAGCUUCUUUACAAUAUAAACACAAACUCUCUUGGCAACGUUAAACUUUUUCUUGCUUUGUGAGAGGUUUAAAACAUAUCAUAUCAAUUUGCAUUGGUUUUGACCUUAAUAAAUAUAUUUUAGGAAACUUGGAAGCUGCUUCCAUUUCUUGACUUAUUCUUUUUGAGCUAAGUCUUUCUUCUUCACACCUUUCAAAUAAUCAAUUUUCGUAUGUAAUGAUUUGAAUAAUAAAUUAUUUCAAAGAUUCUACUUUUGGUAUUAUUAAUAACAAAUCUUUGAUACUAUCCUUCCAUCUAUAUCAAAAUUGAUUGAUAAGUGCUUUAUCAUUCCAUUCCACAUUGCAAGCAAGGUUGUGGAUUACCUUCCUCUAACUGAACUUUUUGAAUUUCUUUAAGUUGCCUAUGGAAGAAAAGAUUAAGGAUGCUACUCCUAACAGAAGAGAGAAUAGAUUUAUAACUAUUGCUAAUCUUCAUGAGCUUCUCAAAAUUCUUAGAGUAGAAAUUUGACUUAUUUCUAACUUGAAUCAUAGAGGUACUAUGCCUAUGUCUAUGGUAGAAGUUCAGAGUCUCCAGCAAGAAGUUGUGCAAUUGAAAGAAGCAAGUAGAUCAACCUCACAACUAAAUUCAUGGAGUUUUUUUUCUAUAAGUAUGAUGGAGAUAAGAAUUAGUAUAUUUAAGAAGUUUGAUGGAAUAAGAUCAAAAUUUCAAAGAUUUUUGCAAUAAGUCAAAUUCUAUCUAAAGUUGCAUUCUUUCUAAUACCUUGAUGGAUUUACUAAAGUUGGAUUUAUAAGUGCACUUCUAUGAAGAAGUGCUCUCUCUUAGUUUGCACCUUUAUUAAAAAAAGAUUUUCGACUCCUUUAUGAUUUGAAUUCAUUUUUAGAAGUGAUUAUCGCCACAUUCAAAGAAAGUGAUCGAGAAUGAGUAGCAGAGAACAAAUCCUUAUUUUUACAAUAAAAAUCACGAUCAGCUACUACAUAUGAUAUUGAAGCAAGAGAACUAGAAAGUCAUUCAAAAGUUAACAUAAUAUUAAUUAGAAUAGCUAUUGCCACAAAUAAGAAGACCAAAAAGUCUUGAAACAAGACUAAUGACUAGAACGGCAUUGAUAAGAGUAAAGAAGGCUUCAUUCUUGCAUCCAUAUAUAUUCUUAGCUAAAAGCAACGUGGUGAUGUUCCAUAAGACCUCCAAAACAUGUUGACUUUGCUAGCCACAUGUCUUAACUUAUAAGGUAAGUUAUCUAUGUAUGCACCACAUGGUUAGCUUGUUCCACAAGCUACCAACACGUGAUUAACUUGUUGGUCAAGUUUUUAACCUUUGAACACAUCUAAAGUCAAAACCACAUCUAUGAAGCUUUUAGAAAGCUUCAUUAAAAGACUUUAUGAAAAUAAUCUAUAUUUACCUACAUCUACCUAAUCAUAUAAGUAAUUAUUGAGUUAAAUGUAUAAGUCCAUGAUACUUAGUUAGUUUGUUAUUUUUUUUUAUUUAUUAUUAAAUAUUAAGGAAUAUUUACUAAGGUCAAUAUUUAUAUUGGCCUUCUAACUAUACAUAUAUUUAUAAGAAAAACCAUAAAUAUUAAUUAAUAUUUAGAAGAAGCAUGAAAAAGAACUUCAUAUCUUUUUAGUUUGUUAUAUAGAAAGUAGGAUUUAUAGUAGAUUUUAAUUAAUUUUAUUAUUAUAAAAAUCACCAAUGUAGGAAAUUAUAGCCUUCAAUUGAUAUUAGUAUUAUAGAACCAUUACAAGUAUUUUUAGAAUUUUUAAAAAAUAUAUUUAGAACUUUUUAAGAAUUUUUAGAGUAAUUUCUAAGACUUUGAUAAAAAUGAGUUUUAUCACUUUGGGAGCUAUUAUGAAGAAAUGGAGCAAGAUUUGAAGGCUGCAAAAUUGGGUGUUUUUUAAUACAAUGAUGAAGUCAAAAAUGUAAAAUUAUUGGUUUUACUAGUAGAAAAUAGGAGGACUAGUAGCUAGUGUAGUCCUUUUAAAAAAGGAGGUCCUCAAGUCCCAUAUGAUUAUAUGUCAUGGACAUACAUUGGAAGAUUCUUUGAAUAUUCUUCUAGAAUAUUCUUUUAGAAUAUUCUCUAAAGAUUCUCUAAAGAUUCUUUUAGAAGGUUCUAGAAGAUUCUUAGAAUAUUCCCUAAAGAUUCUCUUAGAAGGUUCUAGAAUAUUCUUAGAAGGUUCUAGAAUAUUUUGAUAGAUUCUAGGAAGUUGCUCGAGAAGUUUCCUAAUUAGUAGAAGUUGUUGGAGAAGCGUCCUAGUUAGCGGUGUCGUGUUGUAACACGAGUAUACAGUGAAAAUAAAAAGAAAGGGGAAUUUUAUUAAUAUUCAGUUACCUCGAAUAUUGGGAGCAUCGACCAACUCCAGUACAAAUACUGAGUGGUCAAGUUCAGUGACUCCGUUACAGUCAGCCGGGGCAUACUGGAAUGCCCCGUUCGAUUCCGAUAACGGGAGUCAGCAGGAAGAGAAGGACCAAUUCACACGACGGGUUCGAGGAGCCAAUUGGAUCCAAUUUCGAGAAUCCAAUCCGGGUCCUCUUACCCAAUAUGAGACCUGUAUUGGUGGGACAAUCCAAUGCAGUCUAGUUACGGGAAAUCCAGGUCUUACUACGGGUCUUAGCCAAUCUGACGCGAGGACCAAUUUGACCCAAUUACGGGAACAUCCAGGUUACUACGGGCAUCUUUCCCAAUAUAGGACCUGAAUUGGUCUGGCGACUCAAUGUGGUCCCGAUUACGGGGUUCAAUUCUGUUUCAGGCUGUCCUGUUCUCUGUGCCGUCUCAGGGAACGUUGUUUUCGGUAAAUGGAUUUCUUAAAGGUAAAAACGGAGGAGAAAGCUUGAGGUGGGAGCCAAUUCCGGAUCUAAGACGGAAGAUUGAAGAAAUUCAGAGGAUAAGGUUAGGGGGAAUAUAGUUUUGGAGUGGUGUGGGUUUUUAUUUGGGGGGAUGAGAGAUUUUUGAAGAUCAAGGGAAUUAGAGAGAGGAGCUUCAUGCUUCGGGUCGGGAAAGGAAAGACAUAGGAUUUGGAUUUUUCUUCUUCGUAGAGUUUUGGGGAAGACUGAGGCAAUCGCUGCUGAAGUCAGUGUUGUAAUGGUGAAUCGGGAUUUUUAAAUGAAGUGGGUUUGAAUACUCUUGACUGUUUUGUGAAAUCGAGUUACGUCUGUGAUUGAAGGAUUAAAAGGGUGUCUAUAGGAUUGAGUAUGCGGAGUGAAUGAAAUUUAUUGGAUUAAUCUAACAAGACAGUCAGUGGAUACAAGAUCGUAAGUACAAAGCAGUAUUGAAGGUUAACAGUUUGGGUUGUACGGGGUUCUCUGUAACGUCUAGAGACCUACCGGCUGGGGCAAAAAGGACUUCGACAAGCAGUCGAAGAGCACCCGUAUAGAUUUACGGUACAUUGUUGCAGUUGUUUAUAUUCCAGCAGUCAAAAACUGAUAGACUGCUUGACUAUCGGCGAAUCUCCAUACUACCUUCUACAGCCAGACGCCCGGCGCGUUCUCGAGCAGGAAAGCACGUAAUACGACAUAAGUGGUGAACCCGACGUGAAAGCUUGAGCAACAGCAAAGCAAUGAUCGAAAGGAAGCUUUGGCAACCAAAGCAUUACAAGCAGUGGUCAAUAAAAUUGAUCAAUUUGAUGGAAGGAAUAUUUCAAGGUAUUUAAGAUGUUAUGUUCGUGAAAUGGAAUUAAAUCGGGUUUCUGAGAAGAAAAUGGUUGCACUAUUUGGACUUGCCACGAUACCGGAGAUAAGGGACCACAUUACAUCGAUUACGGAUCGUUGUGGGAAUUCAUGGGAGGAUUUUUCACAUGCAUUGAAAGACGAAUAUUUCUUGGAAGAUGCUGAUCGCGUUACUAAGAAGCUGUUUUUGGGAUGGAUUGGGCGGCCCAAUAAGAAUUUGCAAGCAACAGAGCUACUAAGGGAAUUUGAGAGGCAGUACUCUCAAUUAUCGAAGGUAGAAAAAUUGACAUUGGAGCCGAACAAAGUUGAUUUAUUUCUUCAAGCUGCUGAUGGAGAAUUGCAAGAGAAAUUAGAACCCCUUCUUGAAGACAAAGAAGAAGAUGAAGGAUUGACAACGAAGUGGAAGAACGUUGAAGAUGCGGUAGGGUUGCUUACAAAAAAAGAAAGGAGGAAGGAUAGGAGUAAUAUUCCGAAACAAGUACAAGCAUCCAAAGCUCCAGUACGUACUACACCACCGACAAUGCCUACAGUUCAACCUUCGACAUCCUUGUCAAAGAAAACAGAUAUGGGUAUGGAAGAAAUUAUACGAGGAAUGCGAGAUCUUCAAAUCAAAUUGGCAAGACUUGAAGAGAAUACUUCUAUAAACAAUUCGAAGAAUGUUUCAAAACAAGGAUAUGUACAAAGAUGCAUUUGGUGUGAUGAUGCUUCACACACUAGAAAAGAUUGCAAUGAAUUUAAUAAUAUGAUACGGCAGGGAAUUAUUUGCUGGAAAGAUGGGAAGAUAGCAUUGAAAGACAGGGAGGAUCUUCUUCAAACCAAUUUUGGCAAGGGAGGAAUGAGAGCAUUGGUUCAAGAUUACUUAAAAGGGCAUGAAACAGUAGCACGAGAAAGUGCAAGUUAUGGUGCUAGAGUAGAUGAUGAAAUUGGUGGAAGUACGGAAACUAGUGAGUUUUGGGCUUCUGCCGUUUCUACAAUGCAAGAAGGGAAAUUACCUCGAGAAGCGUUAUUGAGAACUGCAGCUACAAUACGUGGAAGAAUAGGUUGGGAGGAUCCCGUUGAGUCUCUUUCAGUUCAUGCAUAUAUUGCUAAGAGCCAACAUGAAGCUUUGAUGGAAGAGAAAAGACGAAGAAAUUUUGAUGAUACUAGAGAAGGAAAUUCUUUUAAGAGGCAAACUCGAGGAGACAAGGCUCGGGAGGCAGCUUCACAAGAAUUGCCUGUAAAAGAUACCUCAGCAUCAUUGGGAGAAAAAACAACGGAGACAAAAGAUAAGGGCAAAUCAAUUGCUUAUAAGCUACUUUCUGACAUUGAAGCAGCAACAAAUUUGAAAGGGGUGUUGGAAGAACGUAUAUUAAACGCUAAGGUGGAAUUCACAUUGAAAGAAGUCUUAGAAAUUGCAAAGAAGGAGUUUCAUGAUGUUAUCAUUGACAGCAUUAAGCGAAAGAGGCAAUUAAUGAGCGAAACUGGAAUGAGUCAUGCUAUUGACGCAAGAAUAUGUAGAGAUGAAGAAGAGGUUGAUAUUGGUUACAAGCAACCAAUAAAUGAAAAGAAUGGGUAUAAUCAGCGAGUACGUUUUGAAGAUUCUAGUGACAAGGAAAUGGAAACUUUGAGCCAUUAUACUCGAAAGCAUUGGGCAAGGGCAACUACUGAGGUAUUGGUGAAGGUAGGAGAUAUAGAAGAACCAAUAGUUGCUUUCGUGGACCAUGGUUCUGAAAUAAAUCUCAUGUCUAAAGAUCUUUAUAAGAAGCAAAAAUGGCCAAUUGAUAUGGAACAUGGAUGGGCAAUACGAGCAGCUAAUAACACACGAGGCGAAUUAUAUGGAGCUUGUCCAGAUGUCAAAAUUCGGAUUGGGGAUGUUGCUACGGAGCAAUAUUUCUUCGUUCAAGAUACAACGUCUUAUCUGUUGAUUUUAGGACAACCUUAUAUCACGGCAACACGGAUGGAAACAAAGGUACUUGACGAUGGUUCUGCUUAUGCAAGGGUACGGAGCGAAGAUGGGAGGAAAGCUGUACAAUUUCUAACAGUACCUCCUAACCAUGAACGGAAUCGAGAUAGGUUGAGGGAGAAACCAUUGCCAAAGAUUGUUGAAGGAUUUAAGGAUUUUGGAGAGGUACCACUGUAAAACGAGAUUAUGGAGGUACAAAAGAGGAGGUACUCUCGCGAGAUGAAGGUGCCUUUGAUGCGAGUUUUAUUGGUAUAUUGGAGAAUGGAAAUAUUAUGUAUAAGAAAGUUGAAGAUUUUAAAAGAAAAGAAAGAAAAAGAUUAUAUGAUAUUGAAGGACAGUUACGCAAGAUAGGUACAUUGCAAGAUGAUGAGAGGAUUUUGGGUGUUUAUGAAGAAAAUGGGCUGGAAGAUUCAUUGGAAUUGAUUACAUCUAUUGGGUUAGGAGAUAAUGAUAAGAUUGUUGAGAUUCAUUCGAGAGAGGUUUAUACCAUGCUUGAAUCUUUUCAAGCACGAGAAGUCACAGUAGAGAUGAGAUAUAAAACGGCAGAUAAGAAGGUAAAGCCUGUUGCCGGACCAUUACCAGAGGAUUCUAAAGAACAAAUGGGAGAAGCAUCAAAAGAAGCAAGUUUAAGAGAUCCAAUGAGUAUUGGACAUCAGUUUACUGAAGAGACUUUUGAAGAAUUGAAGAUUGGUUCUGAUGGUUCUUUAUUGCCGGAGGAAAUUACUUGCUUCAAAAAGAUGUUGGCUAAACAAGGUAGAUCGUUUGCCUUCGAAUCUCAUGAAAUUAGGUGUGUAGAUCCAAAUAUUAUAACACCUAUGGUUAUCUUCACUGUACCGCAUGUACCUUGGAAUCUAAGACCGAUUCCAGUACCGAGGGCACAUUUACCUAAAUUGGUCGAACUAUUGAAAGAAAAGAUAAAGAUGAAAAUAUUAGAACCUUCAUUUGCACCGUAUUCUAGUCAAUGGUUUACGGUACCUAAGAAGAAUGGGUCACUUCGGUUUAUUCAAGAUAUGCAGCCGGUGAAUGCUGUAACUGUCAGGAAUGCAGGAAUUGGACCUAUUGUGGAUGAAUUUGCUGAGGCGUUUGCUGGAAGGGCGAUCUAUUCAAUGGGUGAUUUGUAUUCAGGUUAUGAUCAAUUUCAACUUGCCGAAGGAAGUAGAGAUAUGACAACGAUGAGGACACCGCUUGGAUUGGUUAGAAUGUGCACUCUUCCUCAAGGCGCGACCAACUCAGUUGCGCAUAUGAUGAAUGGGAUGAAUAAGGUAUUGAGAGAUUUAAUCCCGGAAAAGACUAUGCCUUUUCUGGAUGAUGUUCCUAUAAAAGGGUGCAAAGAAGGAGACAAGGAUGAAACUUUAGAUACGAGGGGGUGUCGCAGAUAUGUUGUUGAUCAUAUACAAGAUUGUGAAAAGAUUUUAACUCGGCUUGGAGAAGUUCAUCUUACAUUAUCGGGUAUGAAGUCCGUAUUUGGAGUGCGAGAGGUUGUAAUUGUUGGACAUUUAUGCGGAUCUUACGGAAGAAAACCAGAUCCGACUAAAGUUGAUGCAAUUGGAAGGAUGAAAGAGGAUUGUGGUUCUUUAACAGAGGUUCGCAGGUUUUUGGGUGCAUGUGUAUUUUAUCAAAUCUGGAUCCCUCAUUUUGCUCACAUAGCGGAUCCAUUAUAUGAACUGUUAUGCAAGGGUUACCGAUUUGAAUGGGAAGAAAGGCAUAUUCAGGCAAUGCAAAGAUUGAAGAAAUUUUUGAUGUCACCUCCAAUAUUGAGGAAGGUUGAUUAUAAGUGCAAUAAACCAGUGAUUCUUACUGUAGACGCUAGUCCAAUUGCCGUUGGAUGGGCUGUGGAUCAAGAUGAUUCGAAUGGGAGUAGAUUUGUAGUUCAAUUUGGGGCUAAAGUUUUAAGUAUUCGUCAGCGUGCAUUUUCGCAAGUCAAAAGAGAACUUUGGGGAGUCGUUUCGGCUAUGAAAGCUGAAAAGGACUAUUUGAUUGGGGCAAAAAGGACUUCGACAAGUAGUCGAAGAGCACCCGUAUAGAUUUACGGUACAUUGUUGCAGUCGUUUAUAUUCCAGCAGUCAAAAACUGAUAGACUGCUUGACUAUCGGCGAAUCUCCAUACUACCUUCUACAGCCAGACGCCCGGCGCAUUCUCGAGCAGGAAAGCACGUAAUACGACAGCGGAAGUAGCUCGAGAAGCUUCCUAUUUAGUAGUAUAUAUAGGAGUCGAGGCUGAAGGGUUCUUCAGUCUCGACAACACAUCUCUUGGAGUUCUAGCUCACCUUUCUGGUGUUGUUCUUGUACUCAUCUGUUUAAUCUAGUUCUGCCACUUCUUCUUGAACUUCUUGUUAGAUUUCAAGUCUGUAUUUUGUGUCCGUGACAGUUUGUCGAGACUGCAUUUUUACUGGUAUCAGAGCUAGUUCCUUCUUGUUAGAGAUUGGAUUACCCCUCUUCUUGAAGGUGUGCUAGUAUUUUAGAGGUUGCGGAUUACCCUCCUCUAAACUGAUAUCUCUUCUUUCUCAAUAUUGGAGCCUUAUUCUUCUUGGAGAGAGUGGAUUACUCCUCAUCUUGGAGUCUUAAGGCAUUUUAGAGGUUGCGGAGUACUCUCCUCUGAACCAAUAUUGUCCUCUUGUCAAAACUCUUUUUUCUUCUUUCUAAAGGUUAGCCAAAGGUUAAGACGUUAAAAUGGCUGAAAUUUUGGAAUCCAAACUAGACGCCAUCAUAAAUGCUCUUGCCUCGUUGUCACAUAGGACAACAGAGAUUGAAGGAGUCAUGGUAGGACUCCAUAACAAUGGAGCAUCUGGGAUAGCGCCAUCUAAAGCAUAUCAGCCUCAAACUUCUGCGCCAGAAGAAGCAGUUCUACCUCCAUUUCAACAAGAUCGAGUAGUCCUACAACGAAAGGAGCCUCGAGUUAGUCUUCCGGGUAAGUUUGAUGGAACUCGUUCCAAGUUUCGAGGUUUUGUCAACCAAAUCAGGUUGAUAACAAUUUUACAGCCCGAACGUUAUCCGACGGAGGAAGCGCGUGUUGGACUUGUUGGAACCUUGCUUACAGCACAAGCUCUGUCUUGGUUUACUCCCUUGUUCGAGAAGCGAUCGCCAAUCCUGAGCAACUUUGAAACGUUCUUGGAGGCAUUUGCAGGAGCAUUUGGCGAGCAUGAUAAAGUUCGAUGGGCUACAACAAAGAUCCGAUCGCUACGACAAGGAACACGCUCUGCAUCAGUCUAUGCCUCGGAUUUCAGACAAUUGGCAAGUGACAUUAAUUGGGAUGAAGAAGCGUUGGUGAGUCAGUUUUAUUGGGGCUUGAAGGAUGAUGUGAAGGACUUGCUGUUAUCUCUUCCUGAUCCUCAAACGCUCAACGAAGCUAUUAGCCAAGCUCUAAAGUGUGACAACCGCCUAUUCCAGCGUCGUCAAGACCAACGUCCAAGACACCAAAUGACUCGUUACAAUGUGACUAUGUCUGCAAAUAGCUUAAACUCACAUUCGGAGGCAACAGACAUGCAAAUCGACACGGCGCGUGUCCGAUCUCUUACUCCAACAGAGAAGAAACGGCGUAUGGAGGAAGGGUUAUGUUUGUACUGUGGAGAAGAAGGUCACAAGGUUGGAAAUUGCCCAAAGAAGCAAAAUUGGCACCCUGUCAAGACUAGAAGUACGAUGAUUCCGGAAAACGACGACGCCCAGCCACAGUAGGAACCGUACGGCUGGACAAUCUAAUAUCACGACAACAAUCAGGUUCCUCCUUCUUUGUCCAACCUGCCCGUUGUUUUACAAUUCCUUUGUUUUUAGGCCCUCAAAAACAAAAAACUUUAGCUUUAUUGGAUUCGGGGGCAUCUACUUGUUUUUUAGAUGAAGAGUUUGCUAAAUGCCACAAGAUCCAUUUAGUACAGAAGUCCAAACCUGUUCACGUAGAGGUGAUAGAUGGACGACCCUUAUUGUCAGGCAACGUUACCCACAAAUCAGAACCUAUAGAAGUGGUGUUUAAGGACCAUAGUAGUCACGUUAUUUUUAAUAUUAUUAGAAUCCCAUCAAGCCCUGUUAUCCUUGGUCUUUCUUGGUUAGAAGAUCAUAAUCCGUCCAUUGAUUGGAGGCUACGAAGGAUAACAUUUCCUGAAAAAAAUAAUAAUAAACCUGUUGGUAGAACCUACAUGAAGAAAUCCAUGUUUAUUGGAGCGAGAGCGUUCCUAAGAUCGUCCAAGGAAGGCGCACCAUUUGUCAUUUAUGCAGCUCCAACUAGCGGCGAGAAUAUCUCAACAUCGAAUAUACCAGAGCAAUAUAGGGAUUUUGAAGACGUAUUUCAGAAGAAGAACGCUGAUAUACUGCCGAAACAUCGACCAUAUGAUUGCGCCAUAGACUUAGAGGAAGGAGCGCAACCACCUUUUGGUCCAAUAUACAACCUAUCGCAGACGGAGUUGGCAGAAUUACGGAAGUACAUCGAUGAGAAUUUAGCCAAGAAUUUUAUUCGACAUUCAAAGUCGCCAGCCGGAGCACCAAUCCUAUUUGUGAAGAAAAAGGAUGGCUCACUGCGGAUGUGCGUGGACUACCGAGGACUCAACAAGGUGACCAAGAAAAAUCGCUAUCCCUUACCUUUGAUCUCCGGCCUCUUAGAUCAACUUGGACGUGCAAGGAUUUUUACAAAGAUUGAUUUAAGAGGAGCCUACAACCUUGUGCGAAUCAAAGAAGGAGAUGAAUGGAAGACAGCCUUUCGUACAAGGUAUGGCCAUUUUGAGUACAAUGUCAUGCCUUUUGGUCUUACCAAUGCUCCAGCGGUCUUUCAGCAUAUGAUGAACGACAUCUUUCGGGAGUACCUCGAUGACUUUGUUGUCAUUUAUCUGGAUGAUAUUUUGAUAUUUUCCAAGAAUGAAGAAGAACAUGAGAAGCACUUUUGUUUGGUUCUUGAAAAACUACGCGAACGAGGACUCUACGUCAAGUUGGAAAAGUGUCAAUUUCACCAGAAUGAGAUGGAAUUUUUGGGCUUCAUUGCGACUACAGAGGGCUUGAAGAUGGAUCCAAAAAAGAUAGAAGCAAUUAUAUCUUGGGAAGUUCCGAAGACGGUUAGAGAUGUUCAGUGUUUUCUUGGAUUUGCUAACUUCUAUCGGAUCUUCAUCAAGAAUUAUUCUCAAGUUGCUGCACCACUCACGCAUCUAACAAGUAAAGACAAGCUCGAAUGGAGAUCACAAGCAGCAAAAGCAUUUCAAGAUCUCAAGACGGCAUUCACUACGGCUCCAAUCUUGGUACACCCUGACUUUGCAAAGGCUUUCUAUUUAGAGACCGAUGCUUCAGAUUUUGCUUUGGGAGCUGUGCUUUCACAGAUGGGCAUAGACAAGAAGCUUCACCCAGUUGCGUUCUAUUCACGGAAGUUCUCUGCUGUUGAGAUCAACUACGAGAUCCACGACAAAGAGCUGCUUGUUAUAGUGGAUGCCUUCCAAGAGUGGCGUCACUUCCUCGAAGGAGCUGCACAUCCAGUGACUGUUUAUACGGACCACAAGAAUUUGGAGUACUUCAUGACAGCUCGAAUUUUGAAUCGUCGUCAAGCUCGAUGGAAUAUGUCUCUAUCACGAUUUGACUUUAUUAUCACCUAUCGCCUUGGAAAAUAGCAAGGAUUAUCUGACGCAUUAUCGAGGAGAUCGUAUCUUGCGCCAAAGGCUGGAGAAGCAGCGUUUGAUCAACAAUGUACAACAUUGUUGAAACCAGAAAAAUUCAGGAUUUUUGCUACUGUUGCAACUAUCGAUGACGGCUUCCUCAGCGAGGUACGUACUGCGACCAUUGAGGAUUCUAUAGCUCUUGACAUCAAACAACGUGUCGAUAAUGACAAGUUUAAGGUGGAGGGAGAUCUUCUGUAUUUUGAGGAGCGGUUGUAUAUCCCGAAAGGACCAACUCGACUCCGAGUACUUCAAUCUCGCCACGACUUUCCAGCUGCGGGACAUUUUGGAUUCAACAAGACUUUAGAGCUCAUUUCACGAGAUUUUUGGUGGCCCCAAAUGUGGAAGGAUGUGAAGGAAUUUGUCCUUUCUUGUGAUGUUUGUUCAAGAUCCAAGAUUCCUCGACAUCGUCCGUAUGGACUUCUCCAGCCAUUGCCUAUUCCGCACCGACCAUGGUCUUCAGUUUCUAUGGACUUCAUUACGGACCUACCGCCAUCGAAUUCAUUUGACAGCAUCUUUGUUGUGGUGGAUCGAUUUACAAAGAUGGCGCAUUUCGUGCCUUGCAAGAAAACAUCGUCAAGUGAAGACACCGCAAGACUCUUUCUUGAUAACAUAUAUCGUUAUCAUGGCCUACCAGAUGAUAUCGUGUCGGAUCGAGGUACUCAGUUUGUAUCCAAGUUUUGGAGGUCCCUCUUUGAGAUAUUGAAGGUGGAUAUUAAGCUCUCUUCGGCUUUUCAUCCUCAAACUGACGGUCAAACGGAGCGGGUGAAUCAAGUUUUGGAGCAAUAUUUACAAUGCACCAUCAACUAUCAACAAGAUGAUUGGACUGCAUAUCUACCGCUUGCUGAGUUCGCAUACAACAACACACUUCAUGCGUCAACUCAACAAACACCAUUCUUCUCCAACUACGGAUACCACCCCAAGCUCGAUUUAUUGAGUUCUUCAGCAAAUAACAACCCAGCAGCUGAAGGAUUUCUGAAGCAACUAUUGGAGCUUCAAGCGACGUUGAAGCUUCAAUUGCAAUCUGCCCAAGAGAGUUACAAGGCAUCUGUAGAUAAAUAUCGAAAUGAGGCGCCUACUUUUAAAGUUGGAAGUAAAGUAUGGCUUCUUCGACAGAAUAUCAAGACCAAGCGGCUAUGUGACAAAUUGGACUAUCGGAGAUUAGGGCCAUUUGUUAUCGGGAAGCAGAUCAAUCCGGUGGCAUAUCGUCUGGAGUUACCAGCUACUAUGAAGGUACAUCCAGUCUUUCAUGUGUCUUUGUUGGAACCUUAUCGAGAGUCAGUUUUUCCCCAAAGAGUACAAAGUCCGCCACCAAGUAUCGAAAUUGAAAACCAUGAGGAAUAUGAGGUGGAAAAGGUACUAGAUUCACGGCGUAAUAGGAGAAAAUUGGAGUAUUUAGUGCAUUGGAGUGGAUACGACAUCGAUGAACGAACGUGGGAGCGUGCCGAAAAUCUUGCCAAUGCACCAAAAAAGGUACAAGAAUUUCAUCAACGAUAUCCUCAUAAACCUAAGCCGAUUCAACGAUAGCUUCUUGCUGAAGCUUGCUCAUCAAGUAGCAUAAAAAGGGGGGAGGGCACCUCCAAAACCCAUAAUUCGAUAGUGUAGAACUUUGUUAGCAACUAUAGUUUGCUCUCAUCAUUUUAGCCUUUGGACAUGGAUAGUCAAGAUACUACACUUGUUAUGUCAUCUCAAGCGACUAGCUCAUGAAGACGACCGCGAGAUGAAGAACCGCCUGUACCACGACGACGUCGGAGGAUACCGAGCAACAGAUCGCUAGUAAUUGUAUUUGAGGUCGAGCCUGCCUACAACGGUCAGCCAGAAGGUGUGUUUGGAGGACAGUUUCACAAUGAAGACACAGAAGUCCACGCUUGGUCAGAGGUUGAAGGUGUUGGUCACUACCGUUGGCUCCAAGGGCCGAUGAAUCAUUUGCCUCGCGAACAACAAUUGGAAUUCAUAGCGGAUGUGAUGCGACAGAUUUUCAUUUUCUUGCGUUGAUAUUGACUGAUAACAACAUUGCUUCUCGGAGACCUCGAAGUUAGAAGAGGAGGUGAUGUCAUGGACAUACAUUGGAAGAUUCUUCAAAUAUUCUUCUAGAAUAUUCUUCUAGAAUAUUCUCUAAAGAUUCUCUAAAGAUUCUUUUAGAAGGUUCUAGAAGAUUCUUAGAAUAUUCCCUAAAGAUUCUCUUAGAAGGUUCUAGAAUAUUCUUAGAAGGUUCUAGAAUAUUCUUAGAAGGUUCUAGAAUAUUCUGAUAGAUUCUAGGAAGUUGCUCGAGAAGUUUCCUAAUUAGUAGAAGUUGUUGGAGAAGCGUCCUAGUUAGCGGAAGUAGCUCGAGAAGCUUCCUAUUCAGUAGUAUAUAUAGGAGUCGAGGCUGAAGGGUUCUUCAGUCUCGACAACACAUCUCUUGGAGUUCUAGUUCACCUUUCUGGUGUUGUUCUUGUACUCAUCUGUUUAACCUAGUUCUGCCACUUCUUCUUGAACUUCUUGUUAGAUUUCAAGUCUGUAUUUUGUGUCCGUGACAUUAUAGCACCUUGAAGGUAGUUAGAAAGAUAAGACUAAGGCCUUGUAGCCUCUUUUAAAAAAUUGAUAUACAUUAUUUGUGAGCCUUGGUAAGGCUUGAAUUUUUUAUCUCUUAAGUAAGUUAUUCUUGAGAUAAAAAUUAUUUAUUAAAUUUUUCAUUUAUUUGCUUGUUGUUUUAAAUCUUCAUAACUUACUUAUAAUAACUCGGAUGUUUCUUAUAUUAUUAGAAAGAUAAAAAAAAAUUACCUUUCUAAAUUUUUCUUUUUUUUCUUUUAUUUUUUCUUAUUAUUGGAUAAAAAUGCAAUGAACAAUUUGUGACUAGUUUUGUAGUAUAUAAUUGCUUGAUUGUACUUAUUUCACUUGUUUUUGUAUUUUUCUUCUUUUAUUCUUGUUCUUGCUACUUCCACUUCAUACCACCAAUUACAAACAACUCUUCAUUGAUGGCAUCUUGUAAUUUGGGUUAAGUAUUGAAUUUUACACUCACAUUUUGGUGCGUUUGCGGGGAGGUGGUGCUUCUAAUCGUGUAUGUGAAUAUGAAGUUUCUUGUUGUAAUUGAUCUUGCUUGAUUUUUAUGAAUAAGCAAUUCAAAUAGGUCUAUAUCAAAAGUGUUUUACUUUUCUUCCUUAUUAGUGAAAACAAAGCAUUUCAAAUUUUUACUUUAUAAAAUAGUUAAGGAUUUCAAUGUUGAAAUGAAUGUAGAUUUCACUCGGGUUUUUAUCAAUCAGUUUUUAUGUGUUAAAUCUUUUGUGUUUAAACUUUAUGAAGUUGUGAAUCGUGACCUCAGCUUUUCAAAAAGCUAUUACAAGCUCAAAUUGGAGUUGAUUUGGAUUUUAUGUGAAUUUUAGAUUAGGAAGAGGUUCACUGCCUUGGCAAUUUCAUGUACCUCUUGUUUGGAAAGGCAUUUCUUAGUGCUUGGUAAUAUAUUAUUGUAAAACUUUUCGAAGACAAGCACCUUCAAAGUUUAGUUUGUAGUGGUAAAAAAUUCAAUGCUAUUGAAUCAAAAUUGAAUCUGUGGCGAUUUUUGGAGUAGAGAGAGGUUGCUGUCAUGAGCGGAAUACAAUUGAGGUUAGUAAUUUCUAUCUCUUCUAUCAUUUGCAAUCUGGAUUUAUGUUAUAUUUUAAAAUUUUGUAUUAAAAAAAUUCUUCUUAACUAUAUCAAAUAAAAAUAAAAAAUAAAUUAAAAUAAAAAAUAUAUAUAUAUAAAUGAAGAAAGAUACAAAAUAAAAUAAAAACAAAAGAGAAUCAAUAUUAAAUUAAUAAAAAUAAUAGAUUAAAGGUAAAAUAGAAAUGAUAAUAAUAUUAUUAAAUUAAAAGAAAAAAUAUAUAUAAAAAUGAAGAAAGAUAUAUAAUAAAAUAAAACAAAAGAAAAUAAAUAUUAAAUUAAUAGAAAUAAAAGAUUAAAGAUAAAAUAGAAAUGAUAAUAAUAUUAUUAAAUUAGAAUAAAUAUUUAAUUAAUUAAUUAAAAUUAUAAAAUUAAUUAACAGUUUUAAUUUGCUUUUAAUUUUUAUUUAAUUAUUAUAUUCACUUUUAAUUUUUUUUUUACUUGUAUUUUAUUUUUUAUUUUAAAUAUUUACUCUUAAUUUUAUUUAUUGAUAUUUUUUUAUGUGCAUGAUAAGUUUUAUGUAUUGGAAUAAAUUUAAUAUAUUUUUCAGUUCUUCAUUAAUUGAUUUUCUAUACAAUAAUAUUAUUUCUAACCUUAAGUAAUAUUUGAUUAGUUUAUUAUUAGUGUUAGUAUUAUUUGGUGGUUUUCUUAAGUUACUUUUUAGUUCCAAAAGCAUACAAGAUGGAGUUUGACUUCAAAGUCUCAUCACUCCCUUUUUUUUUAAUUUUCCAGUUGAUGGACAUUCUCUAGUCGUAGGGAGAUUUAAUCACUCUCUCCACCCCUCGUAUCAAUUCUUUUUAUCUUUGUAAAUAUCUAAUUGAAGGCUUUUCUCUGGUGGUAGGGAGAUUUCAUCACUUCUUCUACCUCUUAUAUCCCUUCUAUUCAUAGAAAUAGUAUAGAAGGAGAUUAAGAAGAAUUCAAGUGAAUUCUUCAUCAAUAAAAGAAGAAAAAAUUUAAGAAGAAGGAAUAAGUAGAAAAAUUAGAUAGAAGAAAUUUGAAAAAAAAAAAAAAAAAAAAGAAGAAGAAAAGAAGAAAAAUGAAGACCAACAAGCUCAAAUUAUAAUCCAAGAUGAAUAUCUUUUCAAUAAAGUUUAUUUAGUUUUAAAUUUAUUUUACUAACACAACUUAUAGUUUGAAAUAAAGGAGCAUAAGAAAAAAGAAUAAAAGCAUUAAAAGCUUACAAAUAAGUAAGUCGAACCUUAUCAAUUUUUACUUUCUUUAAAAUUUUAGAAAAUUACUUGAAUAUGAGUAGGAGCUAAGAGUUGGAUGAUAGAAUCUAAGAAGAAAAUAUGAGAAGAGGUAACCUUUUAAACCUUCUUAAAGAUUUUAUUUUCUUUCGGAUCAACAGAGCCUUAAAGUUCUUUUCUAUUUUAAUUCAAAAAUAGAUUUAAUAUAUAUAUAUAUAUAUAUAUAUAUAUAUAUAUAUAUAUAUAUAUUAAUUUAAAUCGAAUAUGAAGGAAGUCAUAUGAGAUAUUCUUUGACACGCGCCAAAUUGGCUAGCAAUACAAUCUAGUGAAUUUUCCUACAAAUAGGAUUGAUGCAUAUAAAGAACCUUUUUUAUCUAGUAUAUUUGUUGCAAAUUAAGUAGUAAGGAAUUCCUUAACUGCAAUGGUAUAAAGGUGUCAAGGAUAUGAACUAAAAGAUGAUGCAAAAACCAAUGAAAUCCAUGUCAAAAAAAGUAUAACAAAAUAGAAACAAGGAAGCUUGUAUAUUAAAAAGAAAUUAGAAUGGCUUAUUGCCAAAAGACAAGAAAACUUGAGACUCUUGAAACUAUACUAGAAGCAAGAAAAGAGUUGACAAGAGUGAAGAAGGCUUCAUUCUUGUCACUAUAUAUACUAUCUAACUAGGAGCUACGUGGCAAUGUUCUAUAAGACCUCUAAUAUGUGUUGACUUUGUAGGACACAUGCCUUGACUUACAAGGUAAGUUUUUCAAUGUGUGGACCACAUAAUUAGCUUGGUUUUCAAGCUAACAACAUGUAUGGCACAUGGCCAACUUGUUGAUUACUUUUUUAAUCCAAAAAGUCAAUUAUAGAUACUUAUAAAGUCAAAGUAAUAUCUAUGAAGCUUUUAGAAAGCUUUUAUAGAGGAUAUUAUAGAAUUAAUUUACUUUUACUUACUUCUAGUUACUUCUUUAUGUCUAUGAUAUUAUCCCCUCUUCUAGGAACGAGUUCCACAAAGAGCAGUCAUCAUAUGUUGAAAAAAUCUAUGAUGCAAUGAAUUAUAUUUGCUACAUACUCAGAUAUUUUUUCUCUUUGAAGAUGGUUGAUAGUGCCUAUCAACCAUCAAUAGAAUCUCAUACCAAGGUGGGAAGACCAUCUUAUUAUUUGAUUAUUUUUGAGGCCUUUAUAACUUCCUUCAAAUAAAAUAUUUAGAACACCAUCUAUAGUUGUUCCCACCUCUAAUAAAAUUACCAAACAUCAAGAGUCUCUUCCAAGGUUGUAAUACCAAAUGCAUUGUAUCUCACCAUCUAUUCAAAGAAAAACAUGUCGUUCUUGAGGAUCUUCACCUCGAUUGCAUUAUCUUGAAGAUUGUCACAAUUACAAUGACUCAUCUAGUAGGUCAGUAAACGAAGGCUCUUCAAUCAAAUCCACUGGUUGUUGGUUCUCCAUCUCUUUAGUAUUACAACUACAAAGAAGCUACAAAUAAGGAUAGAAAGUAGAAUGUUAUCUUACCUAGUUCUUGUUUUUUUUAUACAAAAGGUCUACAUUUUCAUUUUGAUGGAUGUCAUUGAUGAAAAGUCUCUGCCACCUUUGCUGUAUUUGCAUGAUUUUUUACUCGCUCCCAUGUAUAUUCAUUAAUAUCAUAUCCGUGCCAAUAAACAAGAUCUUUCAACUUAUUUUGGCACCGCCUUGAAUCUAAGACUUCUUCUACUUCAAACUCUUUAUUAUUGUCUACUUCUAUAAGAUGAAGUAGAGUUUGUCUUCAUCUUAAUAUGUCCACUAUCUUAUAUGGUGCAAGAAGAGAUAUAUCGAAUACUAGAUGGAUUUUUAUUGACUCUAGUAGGUGUAAACAAUAUGCAACUAGAUUGAUUUGUACAAAAAUAGAAAAUGGUCUAAUCUUAUAAUAGUCCAACUUGUUACAAGGACAUAUGAUCUUAAUAUUGUGACGAAGUAACCAUAUUUUAUCACCUAUAUAGAAUGGUGGUUGCUUCUUUCGAUAGACAUCCGCAUUGAACUUUUAUUGUUCUUAAGCUUGUUUUAAUUGUGCCUUUAUUAUUGCAUAUAGCUCUAAUAAAUGAUUUGCCAAAACUUCUGCCAUAAGAUUAUUACCUUUCAAAAACUCAAAAGUAUCAAGUCAUGGAUGAUAAUCAUAAUUAGCAAAGAAAGGUGUUUGUUAUAUAGAAGAAUGUACCGUGUUAAUAUAAAUAAAUUUUGCCAAUAUUAAAGAUAAGAACUUGAUAAAAAUAAAUAAAAAAGUAAGACUUCUCUCAAAGAAAAAUGAUAAAAUAGAAAUAACUCAAAAUGUAUAUUAAGAAAGAAACUGAAAUAGCUAUUGCCAAAAGAUAAGAAAACUAGAGACCCUUGAAGCUAGUCUAGAAGCAAGAAAGGAAUAGACAAGAGUGAAGAAGGCUUCACUCUUGUCUCUAUAUAUAUUAUCUACCUAGGGGCUAUGUGGCAAUAUUCUAUAGGACCUCUAAUAUGUGUUGACUUUGUAAGACACAUGCUUUAACUUACAAGGCAAAUUUUUUUAUGUGUGGGCCACAUAAUUAGCUUGGUCUUCAAGUUAACAAUAUGUGUGGCACAUGGCCAACUUGUUGACCAUGUUUCUAAUCCAAAAAGUCAAUUAAAGACACUUAUAAAAUCAAAGUAGUGUCUAUGAAGCUUCUAAAAAGCUUCUAUAGCAAAUAUUAUAGAAUUAACUUAUUUUUAUCUACUUUUACUUAGUUCUACCUAUUUAUACAUAUAAUUACAUGCAUAUGUCCGUGACAUUACCUCCCUUUCUAAGGACGAGUUUCACGAAGAGUGGUGUUGUCAUGUAAUACAACUAUAUAGUAAAAUUAUAAUUAAAAUUGAAUUUCUAAUUAAUAUCUAAUUAUCUUAGUUCAAUUAUAAUUUGAAGUAUCUAAACAUGGCUUUUAUAAAAGCCUCUUAGGUUAUUUUCUUAUCUUAAUAGUUAGCUGGUUGAAGAUUAGUUAGUAAUUUUACUUCUAGGUUGUAGAGACUCUUCUACUACCUUAAAAAGACCAUAAAUUGAUAAAAUCAGGAUAGAAGAGGUAAAUGAUUGGUAUGAUUGAUACUAAGGUCAAGUUAAGGAUAGAAUCAGGCUAAAAAAUCCUUAAGAUAAGUUAGAUUAAUACCUAAGGGUCGACCAUUUGUGAGACAGGGUGGAAAUCAGUUCUCUAGUCACUAAAAUGACUGUCGAGGGCAAGUUAGGAGAUCAUUCGAAGAUCAAAGAUUAAGAUUUGAGAGCUAGCUUGAAGUUCUUUUCAAAGACAUAAGAAAUAUUUUGAGAGGUUUUUAGAGGACUUAGCAAUUGUUGUUCAAAUUUAAGAAUUGUAUCAGUAAUUUGGAUUUUAUAUAUUAUAAUUAGGGCUAGCAAUUUUGGCUAAUUCUUGCAAUUGGUGUAACAUCUAUAGUUAAAAAUUUGAUAUUAUUUAGAUUAUUAAGUGUGAUAAGUGUGUAUAAAAUUUUGUAAUAAUCUAAUAGUGUGGUUAAGAGAUAUCUAGUUUUUAGUACAAGAGGGUUUUGGAAGGUAGCAGUUUGAGGUUGGGUAGGAUUUCUAUGAUAUCUAAAGAUCUAUUAGUUAGAUUAAGGUGAAAAUUGGCAUGGUAUUGAAGGAUUUAAAGAUCAAACUACACAUCAAUUUUGAGUCAAAAUUAAUGAUUGAAAAGGGAGAAAUCAUUGUUGGGAUUUCUUCUUUGUUUUUCAAGUUGGCGGCCAAGUGACAUUAGUGCAAUUUUUGGAGGUUUUCUCACAAUCUGUACGUUGGAUUGGGCUAAAAGUUCUUGAGCAUAUAGAAGACUUACAUUGACAAUUACAUGCAAAAUUCAAAAUCAAGUCGACAAUCGAAUUAGAUGUUAUAACUUAUUAAAGCUCACUGAUUAGGAUUGGAGCUUAUAAGAAAAAUCUAAAUUUCUUAAAUAUGAAAGUAAUAAGGUAAUUGGAAUUUAUGUAUGAUUAAGACUACUAAGAAGACUGUUUUAAGUACUUUUGAAUUGAAAUUUAGAUUAUAUUCUUCUUGUAUAGAUGAGACCUAUUAGGAUUCUUGGCUACUUAUGAAACACAAUUUCAUCUUUCACAACUAAGUGCCCGACGCAUUCCUGAGCAAAUAACAUGUAAUAUGAUAGUAGUCAUCAUAUAUUGAGGAAAUCUAUGAUACAACAAAUUAUAUUUUCCAUAUACUCUGAUCUUUGUUCUCUUCAAAGAUGACUGAUAGAGCCUCUCAACUAUCGAUAGUGUCCUAUAUCAGGGCGAGAAGACCACCCAGUUUUUUUAUUGUUGUUGAGGCCUUCAUAACUUCCUUCAAAUAAAACAUUUGGAACACCGUCAUGAGUUCUUCUUACUUCUAGUAAAAUCACCAAACAUUGGAAGUCUCUUCUAAGGUCAUGAUAUCAAACGCAUUAUAUCUCGCCAUCUAUUCAAGGAAGAACAGGUCGUUCUUGAGGAUCUUCAUCUUGAUUACAUUGUCUUGAAGGUUGUAACAAUCGUAAUGUCUCGUCUGGUAGGUCAUCAAAUAAAGGUUGUUAAGCCAAAUUCGUUGGUUGUUGGUUUUCCAUCUCCUCAAUGUCACAACUACAAAGAAGCUACAAACAAGGAUUGAAAGUAGAAUGUUAUCUUACCUAGAACUUGUUUCUUUUAUAUGAAAGGCUUUCAUCAUGUUUUGAUGGAUAUCAUUAAUGAAAAGCCUCCACCACCUUUGUUGCAUUUGCAAGAUUCUUUACUAGCUCCCAUGUGCAUUCACUUAUAUCAUAUCCGUGCCAAUGGAUAAGAUAUUCUAAUUUAUUUUGGCACUGCCUUGAAUCUAAGACUUCUUCCACUUUGAAUUCUUCAUUAUUGUCUACUUCUAUAGGACGAGGUAGAGCUUGUCUUCUUCUUGGUAUGUCCACUGUCUUGUAUGGUUCAAGAAGAGAUACGUGGAAUAUUGGAUGAAUUUUUAUUGUCUUCGAUAGGUGUAAAUAGUAUGCAACUAGAUUGAUUUGUAUAAAAAUAAAAAAUGGUCUAAGUCUUCGAUAGUCCAACUUGUUACAAAGAUGAGUAGUCUUGAUAUUGGGACGAAUUAACCAUACCUUGUCACCCAUGUGGAAUGGUGGUUGUUCCUUUUGAUAGACAUCCGCAUUGAUCUUUUGUUGUUCUUGAGUUUCUUUUAACUGUGCCUUCAUUAUUGCAUGUAGCUCUGAUAAAUGAAUUACCAAAUCUUUUGCAAAAGAUCAAAAGUAUUAAGUCAAAAGUAUUAAGUCAUGGAUAAUAACCAUAAUUGGCAAAAAAAGGUGUUCAUUUUGUAGAAGAAUGUACCAUAUUAUUGUAAGCAAACUCUACCAAUGGCAAAAGAGUUGUUCAAUCAUCUUAUUGGUAGUUGAUGGUAUAUCGUAAAUAUUGCUCCAAAAUUUGAUUAACACACUCCAUUUGUCCAUCAAUUUGAGGAUGGAAUGUCGAAGAUAGUUUUAUAUCUACUUUUAGAAUCUUGAAAAGAGUCCGCCAAAAUCUUGAUACAAACUGAGUUCCCCUAUCUGAUAUAAUAUCCUUGGAUAAUCCAUGAUAGGGAUAGAUAUAUUCAAAAAAGAGCUUAGGUGUUUCUUCACCUGUGAUGGAUUUUGUAUAUGGUACAAAAUAUGUCAUCUUAGUAAAACGAUCUAUUAUCACAAAUAUAGAGGAUAAGAAUCUGAGAUUGGAAGAUCCAUGAUGAAAUCCAUACAAACAGAAGACCAUGGUUAUUUUCGAAUGAGUAAUGGCUGAAGAAGUCUGUAAGGUUGAUGAUGAGGAGUUUUUGAUCUUAAGCAAACAUCACAAGAUUGUACAAAAUAUUUGAUUGCUUUCCAAAUUUGGGGCCACCAAAUGUCCUUGAAUAUUAGUUCCAAAGUUUUAUUAUACCCAAAAUGUCCUACUGCUAGAAAGCUAUGACGAGCUUAAAGAACACAUAAUCGAACUUCACCUUUUGGAAUAUAUAGGCAUUCCACAAAAUAUAAUAGAUUAUUCUUGAAUUCAAAUUUAGAAGUAUUACGAGACUUUGAAGGAUAUUCCUUAAUAUCACAAAUAAGAAUAUCAAAAGAUAUACUUGACUGAACUUGCUUAAUGAAAGUUGAAUCAAUAAUUAGUAUUGAUUUCAUUGCUCAAAGAUGAAGAUACUCUGGCUUCAAGAAAAUUAUGUGUUGUUGAUCAAAAGUAGUAUCUCUUUCCUUUAGUACAAGAUAAGAUCGUCUAAAGAGUGCAUCUGACAAAUCUUAUUUUACUAGUCGAUAAGUGAUCUUGAAUUUGAAUCUUGACAAAGACAUACUCCAAUGGGCUUGGCAAUGAUUCAAAAUACGUGUUGACAUAAAAUAUUGAAGAUUCUUGUGAUUCAUAUAUACGGUGACUGGGUUAGAAGCAGCUUCUAAAUAAUAGCACCAUUCUUGAAACAAAUCUAUAAUUACAAGAAUUUCUCUGUUGUGGAACUUAUAGUUCAUCUUAGUUGCUGAAAAUUUUCUGGAAUGAAAAGCUAUUCGAUGAAGUUUAUCAUCUAUUCCCAUUUGUGACAAUACGACACCUAAAGCAAAGUUUGAUGCAUCUGUUUCCAUAAAAAAUGGCUUAAAAAAAUCAAUGCAAUAUAAUAUUGGUGCAAAAACAAAGGCUGUCUUCAAAGCUUCAAAUGCUAUUUCUGCUUCUUGAUUCCAUUGAAGUUUGUCUUUACAAGUCAAACAUGUAAGUGGAGCUACAACUUGAGAAAAGUCUUUAAUGAAGAUCCGAUAAUAGUUGGCAAAUUCCAAAAAGCAUUAGACAUCUCUUACCAUUUUUGGAAUCUUUCAAUCCAUAAUAGCUUGAACUUUCUUAAGAUCUAUCAUAAGUCCAUCAUUUGAAAUGUUGUAUCUUAAGAAGUUGACUUCAAUAGUGUGAAAUAUAUACUUUUCUAUCUUGGCAUAAAGUCCUGAAUCUCUUAAUUUUUGUAAGACACAACGAACAUGAAGUUCAUGUUCUUCUAUAUUCUAAGAAUAGAUUAAGAUAUCAUUUAGGUAACAGACAACAAAAUCAUCUAAAAACUCUCAAAAGACAUCAUUCAUUACUUGUUGGAAUGUUGUUGAUGCAUUUGUAAGUCCAAAAGGUAUGACAUUAUAUUCAAAAUGUCCAUACCUUAUUUGAAAUGCAGUCUUCCAUUCAUCUCCUUCUAUGAUGCAUACCAGAUUGUAUGCUCCUUGUAGAUCUAUUUUUGUAUCAAUCUUAGCUUGAUUCAACUGAUCAAGGAGUCUAAAUAUCAAAGGUAGUGGGUACCUGUUUUUAAUGAUGAUUUUGUUGAGUCUUCAAUAAUCGACACUCAUCUACAAUAAUCCAUCUUUUUUCUUCACAAACAAAAUUGAAGCUCUCGUUGGAGAUUUGGAAUAACAUAUGAAGUUUUUGACCAGAUUUUCUUCAAUAAACUCCUUGAAUUUAGCCAAUUCAUUUUGUGAUAAAUUAUAAAUUAAUCCAAAUGGCAGUUGUGCUCCUUCUUGAAGAUCAAUUGAGUAGUUAUAGGAACAAUGUUCCAGAAGAGUAUCCACAUUGUUCUUCUCAAAUACAUCUUAAAAAACUUGAUAUUGGCUUGAAAUGCCACUUGAAGACUUUCCACCAGUAGAAACAAGUGUCACAUAAUUGACACAAGGUGAUCCUUCUUUUGCAGCAUGCAAAAAAGCUCUUGUACCUACAAAUAUAGGUUUAAUUGUAUUAGACUUAUGACUUUCGACUUGAUUAAUUAUGCUCUUAGUUAUACAUUCAAAAAAGUCAAGACUACGAGAAGUCCAAUCUAUUUUAGAAUUAUAUUUUUUUAGCCAUGAUAAACCUAAAAUGACUGGAUUAAAAAGAGAUCUAAUGAUAUUAAAUAUUAAAAAGCUACUAUGAUCAUUAGUUGCUACUUCUAUAGGAAGGAUUUCAUGAAUAACAUCUCCUGAAGAUAACGGACCACUAUCUAUGUCUUCUACAUGAACAAGUUUAGUUUUCUUCACUAAAAGUAUACUAUAUCUUUUAGCAAAUUCUUCAUCUAAAAAAUAUAUUGAAGCUCCUGAAUCUAACAAGACAGAGGUUUUGUGAUGUUUAGGUCUUAGAAUAACAUUUAUCAUAAAACAUAGAGAGAAUUAUGAGGAGAGAAUAGGACCUUCAUUAGGCGUUGUACAAGGUUCCAGCCGCACAGUCCGUAUUGUAGCUGGACAAAUUCAUUUUCCAACAUGCUAUCUUCUUUGAUUGCCAUACUCCUCAUUUUAUAGUUACGUUGCUUCUUUGGGCAAUGUUGAGCAAUGUGCUUAGGUUCUCCAUAAUAUAAGCACAAUCCUUCCUAAUGACGACAAGUCUUUUCUUGCUCAAUAAGAAGUUUGAGACGUAUCACAUCUAUUUACAUAUCUUCUACUUCCGAAUGUAUGUAUUAAACAAAUGUUGGUAUUGCUAUUGAAUUAUAAUAAUGCUAAGGUCUACUUGUACAAUUCUUAGAUUGAAAUUCAAAAAAACAAUUGUCGUACUUUACAGCAAAGUCAAUUGCUUGGCUCAAUGUUUGAGCAUUAGGUAAGUUGAGCAUUUUUUAUCUCAUAUUAUAAUCCGUAGAGAAAUUGGCUAACAAGUGUAACAUCAUUCUACUUGAUAUCAAUUGCAAGUUGUCAAAAUUAUGAAGCAUACAACAUUACUAAUUGAUUGUCUAGUUACAAAAUAUGGAUCUUGUUGGUUCCAAUACAAAUUGCAUCAUGUUUUCCAUACAUGGAUCAAAACUCUACCAAAAAAGCCUCCAAAUUAUCCAAUAUUGGAUCUCGUCAUUCAAAAAAAGAUGAAAACUAUGAUGAUGUUGAACUUGAAAGAAGCACACCAAUGAAUCUAACUUGCGAUCUUGGAGUUGGAUAGUUUUGGGAUUGAAAUUCAAUCACAAGUUGUACUUGAUUGAUAAACCUUCUAAACUUUGAUUUGGUGCCAUCAAACUUCUCUGGCAAAGUAAUUCUAGGUUCUCUAAAACUGGAAGGAUAUUCAACCAUAGAAGAAGGAACAUGAUUUGGUAUAAAUGUUGAAGCAACUUUAAUCAUUUCUAUGUCUUCACUUCUUGCCAAUCUUGUUGCUCCUUGUAGUGGUAAAUUGAAUUGAUGCCUUGCAAGCAUUAACUCCCUCAAUUGCUCUUGCAUUUGUGCCAUUGCACUCUUUAUUUUAGCAAGUCCUUCCAUGAUAAUACUUAAAAAAAAUAUAUUUAAUAUCGCUUAAGAUAAAUAGAAGAGAAGACUUGAGAAUAAAGAAAAUACUAAAGACAAUAUCAGUUUAAAAGAGGGUAAUUUGCAACUUCUAAUAGGCUUAUGUCUUAUCAAGAGAAAGGAAUAAUCCACUCUUAAUCAAGAUUAUACAAGGCUCUGAUAUUAUAAAUAUACUCUUAUCAAUCUGUUAAGGACAAGAACUUAAUAAAAAAAAUAAAUAAGUGAGACUUCUCUCAAAGAAAGAUGACAAAAUAGAAAUAACUCAAUAUGUAUAUUAAAAAAGAAAUUCGAAUGGCUAUUGCCAAAAGAGAAGAAAACUAGAGACCCUUGAAACAAGACUAGAAGUAAGAAAGGAGUUGAUAAGAGUAAAGAAGGCUUCACUCUUGUUUCUAUAUAUACUAUCUAACUAGGAAUUAUGUGGCAAUAUUCUAUAGGACCUCUAAUAUGUGUUGACUUUGUAGGACACAUGCCUUAACUUACAAGGUAAGUUUUUCUACAUGUGGAUGAUAUAGUUAGCUUGGUCUUCAAGUUAGCAACAUGUGUGGCACAUGGCCAACUUUUUGACCAUGUUUCUAAUCCAAAAAAUUAAUUAUAGAUACCUAUAAAGUCAAAGUAGCAUCUAUGAAGCUUCUAAAAAACUUCUAUAGAAGAUAUUAUAGAAUUAACUUAUUUUUAUCUACUUCUACUUAAUUCUACAUAUUUAUAUAGGUAAUUGUUGGCUGAGAGUUUGGGCUCCUUGCCAAUAACAUAAUGUCUUUGCAUUGAAUGUUGUUUAAGGUUACCACCACACAAGGUCGUUUAGUAUAAUAAUCUGAGAGAAGAAAAGUCUUGCUUGGAAUGAUAUUCAAGUAAGUAUUCUUCUUUUAGGUUAUUUUUGUAAUAUGACUCUUUCAAAUCUAAAAGAUUAGUCAAGUGGAUUGUAGGUUGAUAAACAUAAGAUAAUAAAAUCUAAAUUUCAUAAGAUACUAUGUCUGGCUUGUUUAUUUGUUUUAGUUUUUAAUUUUUAGAGAUGAUGUUGUGAUCGUAGUAGUUUAAUGUACCUCUCCACUAGGUCCUAUAAAUCCAUUGUCAUGUUGUAACACAACUAUAUGGUGAAAGAUGAUAAUAUGGAUGUUAUUAUAUAAGAACCAAGUUAAAAGAUAAAGUAGAAAAAUAUGGAUAAAAGAUAGGAAAGUCAUAAAACUUUUAAUAUUACUGCUACUUUUAUAAAAAAGUGACUUCUAUUUAUUUUGUAGGACCAUAAAUAAAGCAAAUCAAAGUAGAUUGGUAAAUAAAUGAUAAAAACAUCUUUGAAUGGAAGCUAAGAGUGAAUUUUAGUAGAAAUUAUCUAGAGAAAUUAGAUAUUAAUACUCAAAGAGGGCCGGUUGUGAACUAGGGUUGAAAUCAGACCUCAAGACAUAAAACCAAGCUUUUGUAAUAAUUUCGAAGUUCUUUGGCAGAUCAAAGAGUGGAAUUAGAAAGCAAACUUGAUAGAAUUUUGAUGAAUGUCAGAUUUGGAUGAUUUGGAUUUGUAUUGACUUUGUAAGAGCUUUGUAAAGUUAGGAUUUUUUUUGGAUGACUCCGGAUUUGUGAAAUAAAGUGGAUGAUAUUUUAUGGAAAAUUUUGUAAGUUUCGCAAUAAAUCUAUAGAUGAAAUUUUGAGGAUUUAAAGUUUUAUAUGUAUUCAAUUUAUUCUAUGAAUUUGAACUAGAUCAAAGGGUUGGAUCGAAGAUUAUUGAGGUUUAAGUGAGUUGAAAUCUUGAAAAGUAGAGUUUUAGAUCUAGUGAAGGUUUUUAAGAUUUUUUGUAAUUUAUUGAUUGAAUUAGAGUAAAAAUUAUGUAUAUAAAUAGUAGACUAAUUUUUCUAUGCAUAUAAAAAAAAUUGAGAUCAAUUGAAUGGUUUGAUAAGGGAAUAUUGGCACUGAAAGUUUAACAUUUAGAUUGAAGAAGGAGGUUAACCAAUAUCUAUGAAAAUAUUAGGAUUUAUCUUCUUUUUGGUCAGUUUGAUCUUCUUAAAAAAAAUUGUACUUGUUAUCAACUUAAUUAAGAAGAAAUUUUUAAAAUUUGAGUGAAAAUUAAUGAUUCAUUCAUUGGUUAUUGAGAUUUAAAUCUGCUAUAGGAAUUACUUGGAAUUAUUUAGAAUUUGGUUAGAGUAUGUUUAGGAUUUGAUUAGAAUUUGAUUAAGGUUUUUUUAGGUUUAUUUAAGGUUUAGUUAGGAUUUGAUUAAGAUUUGAUUAGUAAUUGAUUAGGUUUUAUUUAGGAUUUGAUUAAGAUUUUUUUAGGAUUUGACUAGGAUUUGUUUAGAAUUUGAUAAGGAUUUAGUUAAAAUUUGUUAGGAUUUGACUAGGAUUUGGUUAGGUUUUAUUUAGGAUUUGAUUGGGAUUUGGUUAAGAUUUAUUUAAAAUUUGAUUAGAAUUUGAUUAGGAUUUAUUUAGGAUUUGACUAGGAUUUGAUUAAAAAUUAUUUAGGAUUUGAUUAGGAUUUGUUAGGAUUUGAUUAGGAUUUAUUUAGGAUUUGGUUAGGAUUUGACUAUGAUUUAAUUAAAGUUUUUAUUUUAAUAUUUUAUUAAGAUUUUUAAUUUAGUAUAUUUUUGAAUUUCUGUGUUAUUUCUUUCUGAUUUCUUUAAAGGAUCUUUAGGAAUACUUUGUAUUUCUUAUAUGAUUCCUUUGUAAUUUUGCUUGAAUUUUAUUGAUAUUUGACUAUACUUUCUAAUCUUUAAUUAUAAUUUUUUUAAAAAUCUAUUAGAGUUGUUAAGACUUGUUGUUGUAAUUUUCUUUUUAUCUUCUAUAGCCAAGUGUCCGGUGUAUUCUUAAGCCAAAUGCCACAUAUCACGACAUUGAAUGAGUACAAUCCUUAGAAAAUCUAUAGUUUAUAAGAACUAUUAGACCUCUCUUGCCAAACAUUAAGGCUUUGACUCCUAGAUUUGAUUUAAAUAUGCCUAAAAAUCUCUUUAAAAAGUUUGAAGAUCUUUUUUUAGAAGAUCUUGAAGAAAACUCAAAAAAAAUAUUUUCAAAUCUUUUGGUAUAUAAUAUAAGUAAUUUGAAUCAAGAGGAUGUUCAAUUGCUUCAAUUCUAAGUACCAAUGGAUCCAAAUAGAGCAGAAAGACAAGAACUACCACCCACAUCAAUUAAACCCUUGGUUCAACUAAAAAAUUUAUCUAUUUGAGAUUUUAAGGAAUUUAAUACUAUAUCUAUGUCCCUUAAUCUUCCUAUCUUUAAAAGUAAAAGAAAUGAAGAUCCCUCAGGCCACAUACAAUAUUUCAUAGAAACACUUACUAUGUAUUUGAUAAUAAAUGGUCGUUAUUAUUUAGUGUGGUUUUCAACCACAUUAAAAGAAAGAGCAUAUGAGUAGUAUUGCAACCAUUCUUCUAACAUCUUUUUAAAUUAAGAUAUCAUCCAACGAGCCUUUUUAGAAUAAUUUUGAUCUAAAAUAAGACAAAGCAUGGUCCUAACUACUUUAUACUAUCUUAGACAAGAGAAGGAUGAAGAUAUUAUGUCAUACAUUUAAUAUUUUGAAUUAGUGGUGACAAGGCUCUUAGAAACUUUGCUCACUAAUGACACUUUGAAACAUUUCUUUAUUCAAGAAUUUAUCAAAGAAGAAACCAUUAAAGAAAUCCUUCAUGCAUGCCCUAAAGACCUUAUAGUGGCCAAACAUGCAACAAAGAAAGUAGAACAAAUCAAUAAAGAGCAUGAAAGGCUAUGGCAUAAAGAAGACCACAAUAUCCCUAACUUCAUAUCCAUCCAUGCUAGGAAUCAUUAUGCAUCAAGUUUUCAAUUGUAUGAUCAACUACCACUUAUUUCCACAACCAUAAGAGCUUAUAUUUUUACCAUUAAACACUAGACCUCCAUUUCUUUCAUUGACUUUAACCUAUCCUAUUGAAGAUAAUAGAUAAAAAAAAUACUUACAAAAAGAGAUGAGAGCAUCUUAAUUAGAAUUUCAAAUCAAAAACUCUCAUCAAAUAAAAUUGAUGAUUAAACAACUAGCUCGACUAGUUAGAAAUUUUAAUUCCAAUCCUCUCCUACCUUCCAUUGAGUUACAAAGACAUACAAUGGGAUUAUGAUGUACUCAAUGUGGAAAAUUAAGGCAUUUGAUCCACUUUUGUAAUUCUAUUCUUCUACAAGACCAACAUUUCCAAUCAUAUGUCCCAUGACACAAAAAUCAAACCUUUCAAGGGCAUAACUUAGAACAAUAAGGCUUUAAUACUAAGAACCAAGGUCCUAUGAAUGAAACAAGAAAAUAAGUAGAAUUCUACGUAUUUUGUAGAAAAAAACAUAUAGUUGGUCAGUAUUGGAUUGAAAACCAAGUAGAAUGUAGAAAUUGUGGUUGUAACCAUUUUACAAAGUUUUGUAGAAAAUCAGAUAGAGUGGUUUCUUUACAACCUCUACCUAAAAAUUAUCUUCAAUAAUCAUUUGAUAAUCAAAGAAAAGCAAGACAACCUCCAAAAAAUAACAAUCUAAGGCCCUCAAAUUUAUAUUAUGACUAUGAGAAAAAUUGAGAGAAUUGAAAUGUAUCUAGUGGACUUCAAACUAGUUCUUGACAUAUUCUAUUAAAUCUUUACAAAAGUCAAAAUCCUUCUAAUCAACCUAAACAUAGUCAAGGAUUUCAAGAUGUGAGAUUUGUGCCUCAAUCCAUAAGGAAGUUGGAACCUAUUUAAAAUUUUAUCCAAUCUAAUAUCAAUUAAUUUCUUUCUCCCAAAUUAAAUUUAAUAACCUUUGAAAAAAAUCAAUUAAAGAAAAAGAACCUACUUGUAGUACUAGUCCUAGCAAUAAUGACUAAAUAUAGGACCACAUCUUUACUUGUCCAUCAAGAAGAGGAGAGUAGUACCUCAAAAAAUCUACCUUGCUUCUUGGAUUUAUGACAAGUCACAAGGUACACAAUCAAGGCAACUCAAACCAACACAACUAAAUUUGUGAGAUUUGAUACCUUGAUAGAAGAAUUACCUUUUUAAAAUCUUAAAAUUGAACAUGAGCUAAGUAUUAAUUGGAACAAGCAUAAUUGAGAGGGUCCCAAAAUUCUAAUGUUUGAAGUUUUCUAACAUAACAAUGAGGAAGAACCCAAUGUAUAAGAAUAUAAUUUAUAAGAUAAUUUUAGCAAAUUAAAGGCUAAUAUUAUAUUUUCUCAAUUAUUGGAUAUUUUUCCAAUAUUUAUGAGGGCAUUAUAGACCUAUAUUCUCAUGAAAAAUCAAAGAAGGCCUAAGUUUAGGAUGAUGGCAAAAAUAGAUGCCUAUGCUAAACAAAGUGAAAUGAAGGUAAUAGAAAUUGAAGUUUCUAUUAUUGAUAAAAAAAUUCCUUAUAGCAUUGUAAAUGGUGGUAGUGGUUUGAAUAUCAUGCCCUUCUAAUCUAGGAAAAAACUAGGACCAAAUAUCAUUAAUCUAUCUCCAUUUGUUAUUAAGAUAGAAAAUCAAAGUCCAUCUAUUUUAGUAGGCCAAAUUAAAAAUUAUAAAACUUGGAUAAGAUUAAAAAAAUAUGCCUUGAUAUAUCAUGUCAUUCAAACACAUAUGUCAAAGGAUUCUUUUUUUUAUUGCUUCGUAGGCCAUGAUUGAGGCAUUCAGAAGCCAUAGUCAAUUAAGAGGGAGACAAACUCCACAUUACCUUUGAUCCAUGGAAGAAUAGAACCAAAAUCUCUACACGACUUAUCCUUGAUCAUGAAAAAAUUAAUUCCAUUGAUUCAUUAAAAGAUAUCCAACAAUCCAAAAGAUAAGACAAAUUCACAAAGGUGGCUAAUUUAAUUGACUAUGAUUCAAAGAAAAUCAAAUACCUAGGUCUCAACCUGUAUUAUUGAAAAGAUGAUUGAGAAUUUAAACAAUCGCUAAAUAAUCAUUCAGAUUCCAAUUUUGAUUUUUAUGAAUCAGUUAAUUUUUUGGAAGAUAUGUUGGAGAUUGCAAAAGUCAAGGAAAUCCAUGUCUUUAGUAUUAAUAUAGAUGAAAUACUAAAAGAAGAAAUUGAGGUCUUUAAAAGAAAUGACAAUUUAGUACCACCUCUUAGAUUUCAAAAUACUUCAUUGAAAAUUUUGGUUGGUAAUGGAGUUAUCUACUAUCUCCCUAUACUUAGUGAUUGAUAUAGAAAUUCUUUAAAAUAAGCCUUAAUACAAAAAUCUGAAUAAAAAAAUUUAAAUGUUUCUCAUGAAGAAAAAGAAGCUCAACAAAUUGAAGCAAUUCAAAGAAAGAGGAAAAUUUCUUCUUGAUAAGAAAUAUAAAAAGUAGAUUUUAUAACCAAGAAUUCUAGUAAUGUUAUAAGAUACCAAAAAAAUGGAUUUUACUAGCAAAUUUGAUGUUUUGUGGUUAGAGCCUUAUCAUAUCAAAGAAGUAUUUGAAAAUAAUUCUUUAUAAUUAGAAACACUAAAUGAUAAAUUAUUUACAACAAAAAUAUUUGAAAAUAGUUGUAAAGAAUAUAAAGUGUGAAUAAUUCACUUUAUAGAAGGAAAAACACUAUACUCUUUGUUUACAUAAAGGAAUAAAGAUCUAACUAAAUAACUUAGUCAAACUUAAUUGUUAUCAAGAAAAUAGGAAUCUUAAUUCAUCAAGAAGAUAAAAACUAUUCUUUAUAAGGUUCUUGAUUCUACUAGAAUAUUAUUUCUUUUUUUAUAAAAAAUAAUGAAAAAAAAAAAAAAAAAAAAAAAAAAAAAAAAAAACUUUGUUUUAUAGGAUUUAGAAAUGACUUGGAAUUGAUUAGCAUUCUUGGAUUGUUGUGCAGUUGGCCACAAAAGUGGUUAUGAAAGAAGUGGCUUAGAUUCAAAUUUGGUUCACAAAGACAGGUAUCUAUAUGAGCUAGUGUUACAGCAAGAAAGUAGCCAAUGUGUGCAACUUAGAAGAUAUGUAGGUCUCAUAUCUACUUAAAUUCUUCUCUUUGAAUAAGAAUUAUAUAGUACCAACUUUUAGCUUUUUACAUAGAAGAAUUUUAUUUUAUUUUCUUUUUAUUAUUUCUUUUUUUAUUUCAUAGAUUUAUCUUAUCUUAUUUUAUUAAGCAGACUGAUUUCUUUAAUAUUUUUAUAACUAAAGAGAAAUAAUACUAAAAGAUAGAAGUUUACUAAUAUUGAACACAAUCUUUCAUAUGAAUAUUUUUUUGAGGAUCUAUAACACUAUUAGUAUAGUCUUGAUAGAAUAUUAAAUCUAGUAUGCCUAACCUUAGAUAAGAUCUUACUUUUGAAGCAAGAAUUUUGGAUCAUUUGCAUCUUUGAGUUAUCUUAAAUGGUUGCCAUAUGUGAGUCAUCAAAUUGAUUUACUAGUUAUUUUAGGAUAAAAAGAUAUAUUUAGAGUACUUAGAAUCAAAAUAUAUGGUGAAUAGUAUAGAAAUAUUUAAACAAAUAGAAAACUAGAGUGUUGGUUGUAGAAUUGGAAUCUUAGUAAGUCUUGGAGGCAAUUAUCUUAGUUGGUUUAGUAUUUUUUUAAUUAUUAUUAAAUAUUAAGAAAUAUUUAUUAAGGUCAAUAUUUAUAUUAGCCUUCUAUCUAUACAUAUUAUUUAUAAGAAAAACCAUAAAUAUUAAUUAAUAUUUAGAAGAAACAUGAAAAAGAACCUCAUGUAUUUUUAGUUAGUUAUAUAGAAAGUAGGAUUUAUAGUAGAUUUUAAUUAAUUUUAUUACUAUAAAAAUCAUCAAUGUAAGAAAUUAUAGCCUUCAAUUUAUAUUAGUAUUAUAGAACCAUUACAAGAAUUUUUAGAAUUUUUUAAAAAAUUAUUUAGAACUUUUUAGGAAUUUUUAGAGUAAUUUCUAAGAUUUUGAUAAAAAUGAGUUUUACCACUUCGGGAGCCAUUAUGAAGGAAUAGAGCAAGAUUUGAAGGCGAAAAAAAGUACCUAAAUAAAUGGGUGUUUUUAAAUACAAUGGUGAAGUCAAAAAUGUAAAAUUAUUGAUUUUACUAGUAGAAAAUAGAAGGUUCAACAGCUAGUGUAGUCCUUGUAAAAAAAAAUGUGCACAAGUCUCAUAUGGAUUAUAGCACCUUGAAGGUAGUUAGGAAGAUAAGACUAAGGCCUUGUGAGCACUCUUAAAAAAUUGAUAUACAUUACUUGUGAGUCUUGGUAAGGCUUGAACUCUUGAUCUCUUAAGCAAGUUACUCUUGAAGUAAAAAUUAUUUAUUUAAUUUUUUAUUUAUUUGCUUAUUAUUUUUAAAUCUCCAUAACUUAUUUCCAAUAACUCGGAUUUAUAUAUUUCUUAUACCAUUGAAAAGAUUAAAAAAUUUCAUUUUUAAAAUUAUAUAUUUUUUUCUUUUAUUUUUUACUUUUUAUUGAAUAAAAAUUUAAUGAACAGAUUGUGACUGAUUUUGUAGUAUACAAUUGUUUGAUUGCACUUGUUUCACUUUUUUUUGUAUUUUUUUUCUUUUAUUCUUUUUCUUGCUACUAUAAAUUCUUAUAGUAGAUAAGGUUACAAGAUGAUGUUCCUCCCAUCAAACCUUGUAACCUUAUCUACUACUACUUAUAAAGCUUCAAUGGUGUUUCUAUCCUCCUAUAUAUUUAUUGUCUCUCUUCUAUAAAUUGAGCAAAUGCUUUAAAUAAAUCAUGGGUACUUAUUCCACUUGAUAAUACAAACUCUAAGAUUUGAUCUUCUAUCUUGACUUAUUGAAAAAUUUAGUGCCUUUCGGCUCUAUCAAUUGAAAUACCAAUAUGUUGAGGUAGAGAGAAUUUGCCUUAAGAAAGUGCUAAGUUUUUGGCUGUCACUAAUUACUCAAUGAAAUCACAAAAUAAAAAAGUACCAAUUUUAUAUAUAAAAUUAUUCCUAUAAGAGCAAUCACAUCAAUAUAUAAGUCCUAAGUACCAAAGAUCAUCUAAAAUAAAAAUAAAAAUAUUCUAAAACCUUAUAUAUCUUUAAGGUGAAAUCUUUUCAAACUCCAACAACUUAUAUCUCAUAAUUGGACCAUCCAAAAAAACCAAAUUUUUAUAUGAAAUAUUGAUAUACUUUCAACAACUACCAUAAUAAAAAAAAUUAACUCUAAAUUCAUUAUAGAUCUUGAAAUAUUGCCAAAAUUCUAAUAGUAGCUUCAAAUCCUUGCUUAUAUACACUUGUGUACAAUUUUCUUUAUAUUUUACAAAUGAAGUACUCAAAUACCAUAUAACUUUGAUAUAUAGCUUUUUAGUCUAAUAAUAUUUAUUUUUAGAAAUUUUGAGCCAAAAAUCUGUUCAAAAUUCUAAAAUAUGGCUCUAAUUAUUACUAUCAUCAAAAUGACUUACUUAUUGCCUUAGAAUUACAUGUGCUAUCUUCAAUGUUCUAUAACUCCAUAAAAAAUUUAAAUAUAAAAAUUCUUUUACAAAAGAUAUAGGAUUUAAAAUUAUCCCUGUGGUUAUAUCUUUUGAUUUCCAAAAGCUAUCAUAAAACUCCUUGUAUCUUCAAAAGAGCAAUAGUAUAUCUUUAAAAGAUACCUUAACUUCAAAUGGCUAUAAUUUUAUCACCCUAAGUCCAAAUCUUCUAUAAUUUUUGUACAAAUUAUAAUCCAAAGCCUAAACCAUAUUACUCUUACUUCUAAUUCUUACAUACUCCUUUUGAAGUUGCCAAAAUCCUUGUAAUGGUCGUAGAUAGCUUCUUAAGAGCCUAUUAGGUAUGAUUUUUGAUUGAUAGGAAUGAAGAACUUCAUUCCUUGCCUUCAUCUAUCCAUACCUUGCUUUCAUCCUACCAAAUAAGUUUUUUUUAGAGGUUUGAAUCUUUAUCUUUGAAAUCCAAUCAUUUCUUUAAAUUUUAUAUUAAAUAUCUAGAUCCUAUAUAAUUUAAAUACUAUAAUCAAAUAGGUAAAUUUAAAAUAAAUUUUCUUAUAUCAACUUUCUUUAAAUUAACUAUUAAUCAUUCUAAUGUGUAUUAAUAUUUAUAAAUAUAUAAUAUAUUUAAGUUAAUUUUUACAUAUUAUAAAUAAUUACAGUAUGAUAAUGCAAUGACAAAAUGAGAAGCAUGAUUGCUAAAGAAGAUGAUAUGUUAAAAAAUGAGUUUUUUUAGGUACAAUAGAGAUUAUGUGGCUUAAAUCAUGUACAGCAUCUAAUAAAGGUCAUAUUCUUUCUUUAGAUUUCUUACCUUGUUUCACAAUAGUAUUUCAUUUAGGACCAAAAAAUUACAAAAUCUUAGCCUUGUUAGAUUCAAAUGCCUCAAACUAUUUAUUAAAAAAAGACUUUAUCAAAAAAAAAGAAAUAUUUUUAGUCAAGAAAAUUAAAUCCAUAUAUAUAAAAGUCAUUGAUGGUCAUUUGAUGUCUUUUAGAAAUAUUAUUCAUAAAAUUAUUCUUUUAGAUAUAUCAAUUAAAAAUCAUAAUAGCAUAAUAAUAUUUAAUGUAAUAAGAUCUCCCUCUAAUUAAGUUAUUUUAGGAUUAUCAUGUUUAAAAAAGUAUAAUAUUUAAAUAGUUUGUAUUUCUUAUAACCUUAUUUUUUCUUAUAGUUUGAUCCAAAAUUUUGUUAGUUAACUAGAAAUAUAUAAGUCUAAUAUAAUUAAAUCAUUAGUAGUAAGUACAAAAACUUUCAUUAUUAUAGCAAAAGAAAGGUCAUCUUUUGUUAUAUAUGUCACUCUCAUUUCUCAUUGUGGAAAGAUGUUCAAUGGUAUUUCUAGCUAGUAUUAAAUUUUUAAGGAUUUUUUUGAUAAGAAGAAUGCAAAUAUUCUUUGAAAAUAUCUAUCUUAUAAUUUUUUAAUUAAUUUAUAAGGAAUUCAACCACCAUUUGGACUAAUCUACAGCUUAUUGCAAAAUAAAUUGGCUACAUUAAAAGAUUAUUUUGAUGAGAAUUCAACUAAAAAAAAUAUAUAAUAUAUAAAUUCUUCAAUAAGAAAUCUUAUCUUAUUUAUGAAGAAAAAAGAUAGAGCUUUGUGGAUGUGUGUAGACUAUUGAGGAAUUAAUAAGAAUAUCAUCAAGAAUUCAAAAGGCAUGAAAUUAUAUUUAAUACAUCAAUUAUUUUUUAGCAUCUCAUGAAUUAUAUUUUUUGUGAAUUUUUUAAUGAUUUUAUUGUUUGUUAUUUAGACAACAUUCUAAUCUACUCUAAAACAUAGAAGAACAUAAACUUCAUAUUUUUUGUGUAUUAAAAAAAUUUAAAGAUAUAAGAUUAUAUGCUAAGAUCAAAAAGUGUAUAUUUUAUAUUAUUCAAGUUGACUUCCUAAAAUACAUCAUUUCCAACAAAAGAAUAAUAAUAGAUCCAAAAAAGGUCCAAACUAUUAUAGAUUGGAAGAUCUCAAAAACAACCAAAGAUGAGUAAUAUUUUUUAAAAUUUGCUAAUUAUUAUACAAUCUUUAUCAAAAAAAAAUUAAUUAUGGAUCUUUUUAUAUGUUUGAUAUGUAAAAACAAACUUGAAUGGAGUAAUGAAAUUAAAGAAUUUUUUAAAGCCUUGAAAUCAAUAUUUAUUUUAAUAUAAAUUUUAUAUUGCAUUGAUUUUUUGAAGGCAUUGUUCAUGAAAAUAGAUGCAUUAGAAUUUGCUAUAGGUGUCAUUUUGUCACAAAUAGGAGUAAAUAACAAGCUCUAUUUGAUAGCUUUUUAUUCCAAGAAAUUUUCAACAAUCGAGAUUAAUUAUGAGAUCCUUGACAAAGAACUUCUUGGAAUCAUGGAUUCAUUUUACAAAUGGCAUCAUUAUCUAGAAGAUACCUCAAGUCUAAAUACCAUGUAUAAAAAUCAUAAGAACUUUGAAUAUUUCAUGUUGGUAUAUGUUUUGAAUCAUUGCGAAGCUUGUUGCAACAUAUCUUUAUCAAGAUUUGAGUUUAAGAUUAUUUAUUGACUCAAAAAAUAAGAAGGUUUGUUACAAGCCCUUUUUAGAUGUUCUUAUCUUGCAUUAAAAGAAAAAAAUACAAAUUUUGAUUAACAAAAAUUAAUUCUUUUGAAGCCAAAAUAUUUUCAUCUUUGAAAAAUAAAAUCAACAUUAACUAUUGAUUCAACCAUUUUCAAGUAAGUUCAAUUAAAUAUGUCUUCUAAUCCUCUUAUUUAUGAUAUGAAGAAUAAUUCUUUCAAGUCUCAUGAUACCUCUAAGUUUGAGUUAAAAAAUAAUCUAUUCAAUUUUGAGAGACAAUUAUACAUUGUAGAAGGCAAAGCACAAUUAUAUGUUUUUUAAGCUUGUCAUAACUUUCUAACAGUUGCAUAUUUUGGAUAUAAUAAGACUUUAGAGCUAAUAUCUAUAAAAAAAAUUAUCACUUCAAAUGCAAAAGAUAGUCAAAAACUUUAUACAAUCAUGUGAUGUUUAUUUAUGAUUCAAAAUUCUUUGUCAUUGAGCUUAACUUCUUCAACUAUUAUCUAUUUUGGAACAAUAAUGGUCUUUAGUUUCUAUGGAUCUUAUCAUAAAUUUUUUAGUCUCAAGUUUUUAUAAUUUUAUAUUUGAGAUAAUAGAUUGUUUUAUCAAGAUAGCAUAUUUUGUACUAUGUAUAAAAUCUAUCACAAGUAAAGAAAAGACUAAGCUUUUCUUAAUAAUAUUUAUUAUUAUUAUUGAUUAUUCAAGGAUAUUAUAUUAGAUAAGAAAAUUUAAUUUAUAUGAAGAUUUUAAAAUUUUCUUUUUGAGAUUUUAAAAGUGAAUAUAAAGCUCUUUUCAACUUUUUAUCUCCAAAUUGGUGGGCAAAUAGAAUAGGUGAAUCAAGUUCUAAAGUAGUAUUUAAGGUAUACCAUCAAUUAUCAUUAAGAUGAUUGGACAAUUCUUUUGCCAUUAGCAAAAUUUGCAUAGAAUAAUUUGAUAUAUUCUUCUACUCAACAAACACUUUUUUUUAUCAAUUAUGAUUAUUAUCUAUAAUUUGAUAUUUUUGACUUUUCAAAAGUUGAUAAGUUUAUAAGUCUAUCGUAGGUAAAGUUGAUUUUAAAAAUCUUCUUUGGCAAAUCAUUUGUCAAAGCUAUAUGUAACAAUAAAGGCAUAGUUAAAAAAAGCUUAAGAAUAAUAAAAGAUCAAUAUGGAUGCUUAUUGCAAGAAACAACCAUAAUUCAAUGUAAACAAUAAGAUGUGAUUAUUUCAUUAUAAUAUCAAGACCACUCAUCUUUAUAACAAGUAGGAAUAUUAUAAGCUUGAUAUUUUUUUAUUUAUAAAUAAAUCAAUCUUGUUGCUUAUCAAUUAUAUUUAUUAGAAUCUAUAAAGAUUUAUCUUAUAUUUUUAUAUAUCUCUUUUUGAGCCAUAUAAGACAAUGAAUAUCUUGGAAAGAAGACAAAUGCUAUAUCCUCUUGUAAAAUUAGAUAAUAAUCAAGAAUUUGAGAUAGAAGUUUUAGAUUCAAGGUGGCAUUGAAAUAGGUUGGAACAUCUUGUUUAUUAGUAAAAAUAUGAUAUUAAUGAAUGUACAUAGAAGCCAAUAAAUAAUCUUAUAAAUGCAAUAAAAAAGGUUGAUGCUUUUCAUCAAUAACAUCUAUCAAAAAAAAUGAAUAAUAGCAAGAUCCAGAAAAGAUAAUGAUUGCUUUUCAUAGAAUUUAUUUCUAAAAAAGAAGAUAAUGUCAUGAAUAUAUACAUAUAUAUUCCAAUAAUUAUCUAUAUAAUUAGAUAAAAAUACAUGAAUAUAAAUUAAUUUCAUAAUAUCUUUUAAGAAAGCUUCUUAGAAGCUUUAGAGAUGUGGUUUUGACUUUAUAUAUAUUUAUAGUUGACUGAUACAUUAAAAACUUGAUCAACAAGUUAAUCACAUGUAAUACAUAUUGAUAGCUUGUAAAACAAGCUAACUAUGUAGUACAUAUAUAGAAACUUAUCUUGUAAGUUAAAACAUAUGUCUAAAAAAUUCAAUAUGUAUUGGAGGUCCUAUAAAACAUUGCCACAUAGCUCUUAGUUAGAUACUAUAUGAGGAAGUAAGAAAGAAGCCUUCUUUAUUCUUGUCAAUUCCUUUCUAAUCUUUAGUCUUAUUUUAAAACUUUCUAGUCUUUUUGUCUUUCACAAUAGCCAUUCCAUUUCAAUAUAUUACCAUCUUAGAGUGAUUUUCUAGUAUUUUCAAGUGACAUAAGAGUAUAUUAAGGACUUUUUUGUGAAAUUCAUGUCUUUGAUAACUUGAUGGAAUAAAAGCACAUAAAGUUGUUGUAAGAGCCUUCACAACUAUUAUUAAUAUUAUUUCUAUUUUUAUUUCUAAACUUCUAGCCUUCAUAACUAUUAUUGAUGUUAUUUCCAUUUUUAUCUCUAAACUUUUAGCCUUCAUAAGUUGUUGCUUGGAAAUGACACUAACUACUUAUUUUAAUUUUCUUCAAUUGGUAAUAAUUCUAUUUUUUUGUAUCUCUUCUUGAAGAUAGAGAAGCAAUCUAUUUUCUUAUGUCUCAUAUAUAGCUUGUAAAAAAUACUCUAAUUUUUUCACCUCCAAAAGGUACUUUUUAGAUAAUGGAAUUUGUCAAAAUAUCUUUUUAAAUUCUAUUAGUAAUUUGUUUGGUUUCAUGUAUUUACUUAGUUGUUGCUCUAUUCAAUCAAAAAAUAAUCUUUUAGAUAUCUUUUUAUUAUCAUCAUUAAAGUAUUUACAUCUGAAUCUUUCUUCAAAUCAAGUCCUUGUAUUUACCUCUCAAUCUUUCUUCAAAUCUAGUUCUUAUAUUCACAUAAAUGCUUUCAUAUUGCUUUCUCAUACUUUCUUUGAUUUAUAGAAUAGCAUCUAAAUCAAAGGUCUUAAUCAUCUUGUAUUUUGAAACUUGAUAGAUUUCUAUUUCACAAGUAUAGAUCCUCAAAAAUCUAGUAAUUUUCUUUCCAUCAAAUCUUUUUAUAUUAUCAAUGACGUCCUUCAAUGCUUUAGUUAUUCCUUGUCUAUUUGUAUUGGUAAUUUAUUAAUCCAUAAUCAUUUACAUAGCCCUUAAAAAUUCUUCUAUAAGAUUUUGACCACCUCUUCUAUUUAAAUCUUGUUGCUUCAUAUAUUCCAUCUUAUCUUGAUCAAUUUUGUAGUCCUAAAGAUUCUCUCAAUCAAAGCACCUAAUAUCAAGAUAAAAGUAUUUGCUUUAAGAAAACAUAUGGUUUGUGGCUACAAUUAGAUAUAGUCAAAUAGUAUAUUUUAUUCAAAUGAACUUGACUACUUCAUACUUUCAAUAAUAUGUAGAAAUUGUCAUCCAUUCUUCAUUCAACUAGGUACUAUAGCUCCAUACUUCAUUAGAUUUGAAUAUAUUAUGAUUCUUUGAAGAGCUAAUUAAUCUACAUGUAAAUCAUUAAAUCAACUCACUGAUUGUUUUGGAACAAAAGGAUGCAUUUAAAAUAUCAAAUUAAAAUUAUUAGGUGAAGUUUAAUUUAAUAGCUUUUAGAUGAUGAAAAAUUAAUAUGAGUAUGAAAAAUUGGUGAUUAUAUUAACUUAAAAGAUAUAUAAGCUCUAAAUGCUUAAAAUUAAAUUCUUUCUUAUGUAAAAAUGACUAUAUUGGUAUUAAUUUUUAAUUCUUAUUUAUUUAAUUUAUUUCUAUUAAUUGUUUUUUUCUAUUUUCUUCUUUUAAACUUCUUCUAUUGAAUAGAUUCAAUCUUUUAUUUUCAAAAGAAAAUACUAUCUUUUAGUACUUUUUUAAUUUUUUAAAAUUACUAGAAUUUCUAAAGAUUAUAUCAUAGAGAUAUAUAUAUUUACUUCAAUAAUUACUUAUAUGAUUAGGUAAAAGUAGUUAAAUAUAGAUUAAUUUCAUAAAGUCUUUUAGUUAAGCUUCUUAAAAGCUUCAUAGACGUGGUUUUGACUUUAGAUGUGUUUGUAGGUCAGAAACUUAGCCAACAAGUUAAUCACAUGUUGGUAGCUUAUGGAACAAGUUAACUCCACAUAAUAGCUUAUGGAACAAGCUAAUCAUGUCGCGCAUAUAUAGAUAACUUGCCUUGCAAGUUAAGACAUGUGGCUAGCAAAGUUAACAUGUUUUGGAGGUCCUAUAAGACAUCGCCAUGUAGCUCCUAGUUAAGAGUAUAUAUAGAAGCAAAAGUGAAGCCUUCUUCACUCUUAUCAAUGUUAUUUUAGUCUUUAGUCUUGUUUCAAGACUUUUUAGUCUUUUUGUUUUUGGCAAUAGCCAUUCUAGUUAAUAUUGCAUUAACUUUUGAGUGACUUUCUAGUUCUUUUCAAUGACACAAGAGUGUAUCAAUGAUUCUCUUUCUUUAAGAUUCAUAUCCCUGACAAAUUAAUAGAAUCAUAAUUUAUCAAAGUCCAUGAUUCUUUAAAAUAAAAUUAAUUUAAUUUCGUGUUAAAAAUUCCAUAAGUUCUUUGAUAAAAUUAUAAUAUGAUUUGAUGACUAAUUUUUGGCAUUGAAAUAGCCAAUUAACUUUAGAUCAUAUUUUUAAAAAAUUAUAUAAGUAUUAUAUUUUGGCAUGAAUUUGGACAAGUAAAGAAGCAAAAUUGGGAUAAAAAUAUAUUUUGAAUACAAUAGUUGCAUUGGUUUUAUUAAAAAAUAUAUUUAUUAGAUAGUUAUAAGGACUUCUAGCCCUAGAAUUAGAUUUAAAUUUAGGAGGCAUUGUAAACCAUAGAUCUUGAUUAGAAUUAUGGAAUUUUAAUAAAAGAGAUUUGGCUUCUAUUAUUAAAGCCUCAAAAACUUAUAAAAAAGGAUUGAAUAGCUAUGUACUUUUCUUUCUUUUUUUUAUAGAUGAACAAAGCCAUGCCAAUUUUUCCUUAAAUUAUGUAGAUAGCUUGGUUGUUUUUAUUUUUUAAUUUAAUUUUUAAAAUUAAUUUUUAAAAUUUUAAUUUGAUAAAAUCUUAUUUUAGAUAAAAAAUCAAAGAAUUUCAAAGAACUUAUUUUUUUUAAUUCUUUAGAUAUAAAAAUCUUAGAAUUUAGACUUUUUAUAGAGAAAAAACCUUUAAUUUAGUAAAAGGUGGUAUUCUGCCUUUAUUAUUUGGUAGUACCAUUUUAGGAGGCUCUUCUUCAUUACUUAUAAGCUAUAAAGAAACAAAAAUUAUGUUUCUAGAGAGUUGAAAAAGUUUAGUUUCUAAAAAGCUAAGAAUUAACUAUAUUAAAGUUGGGACAUGAUAGGAGUGUUGAUUCUUUUGAAGAAGAUUUGCUGCCUCUAAAUUCAAGUAGCUAAAUGAAGGCACAACUUUAGAUGACAAAAUAAAAGAAAUUGGCAUAGCCUAAGGAUUCAAAUUUCUAUAGAAGGUGUCAUUUAGAGUUAGAAUUCUAAUGAGUUUAAAUUUACUAAAGGAUAAUCAAGGACUAAGGUGUCGCACUGAAUUUGAUAGAAGUGAAUCUGUUGCCUUACCAAAUUGAAGUAUCAACUUUGAGAGGCGAUAUUAGAUUUACACAAAUAAAUUUUAAGGUGAAAUUUAAAAUAUGGAUGAGCUUUUAAGUCUUCUUUUUAACAAUACUAUUUUUAUUCAAUUUGAAGCUUGCAAUCAAUCGUAGUACAUUAAAUUAUGAAGAUGGGUGCAACAAUGGAUUUAGGAAUGCCAACUACCUUUGAUCCUUAUUUGGAUAAUAUUUCAAGUCGAUUAAUUAACUAUUAUGGAUGAAUCAUGUGGAUUGAAAUUGACAAUAAAAUUAAAUCUCAUUAGAUAAAAAUUAUUGUAUAGAUGAAACUAGGUCAAAUUGGAUGAAUUUUGAUGAAUAAAAUUUUUUUUUAAGUAGAUAAAUUUUUAUUUGUAGAUGAAUAAUUAUUCUUAGAUAAAAAUAGUUAUUAGAAGUCUUGGAUAUAAAUCAAAUGCUAAGAAGAUUUUUAUUCUAAAACUUAGAAAAUUAAAAUUAUUAUGAAUUAGAUUGAAUUUCUAAUUUAUAGGAAUUUAUUUUAAUUCAUACUAUAUAUAUAUAUAUAUAUAUAUCAAAUUUUACUUCUUAAAUUUUUCUAUUACCUAUUUUAUGAACAAAAAAAACUAAUAAUCAUAUUAACUCAAGGUAGUUGAUUCUUUUUAAUCCAAAAACUUAUUCUAUCUUCAUAUUAAUUCUCCUUAGACCAAGUGAGAGAUUUUUAAAAAUCUAAGAAAGAAAGAAAAAAAAAAAAAAAAAAAAAAAAAAAAAAAAAAAAAAACUUUUUCAAAAUCGUGGGAAUAAAAUACUAAAAACACUAAAAAAUCUCCAAAAAAAAAUCCUAAAGAAGCCUUUGAAUAGCAAUUAUCUCUUUUUUUAUUCAUAAAUAAAUUCCAUCUUCAUAACAACUCUUCUUGGAGUAAGUGAAAGCUUUUUGAAAAGCUAACAAAGAGAGAAACUACUCUUUAAAAGAUUUGAAUAGAAUAUCAAAAAUAUUUUGAAAAAAUCUCUAAAGAAUAGCUGGCUAUAUAUAAAGCAAGAGAACCUAAGCAAAGGAGAAUAAGUGAAGGAUCUAAAAGUUGAUACAAGUCUAUGUCACUCUACCUCAACCUAUAUCUCUUUACCUUAGUAUUUUAUCAUUCCAUUUCAAAUUCAUACUAAUCUAUCUUGAUUUAUCUUUAGAGAUAAACUAUGAAUAUCUAUAAUUAUUUUUUUUCUAUUUUUUUAUUAAAAAUAAAAAUCUUAUAAUAUUUUAUGUUAUUUUUACAUAUUAUACCACUUCCAAGCAUGAUACUAUUUGAUUGACUUCAAAUUUAUAAAACAUAAUAAAAAUAAGUGCAAUAAUAAACUCACGAAAUUAUACUAGUAAAUUUGCUAUAAUAUCCACAAAUUCCUUAAUUAUAUAAGCUUCUUAUUAUUUCUCAAAAUCCAAAAUCUUUAAAUACAUUUCUUAUUUUGAAAAACUCUCAAAAAAUUACAUGCAUCUAAAUUACUAAUAAAAUAACUUUUUUAAAGUUUAUUCUCAAAUCUUGCUCUUUAAUUGGCUAAAGAAUCCUAGAAUUGCUAUAGAUAUGUAUUUUUAUGCCUCAAUAUUUGAUUUUGAUAUUGAUUCACAAUCCAUUCUCUUUAAAUAUCAAUUCUUUAUUUCUUAAGAUAACUUCUCUUACAAAAUAUUUUAAACUCCCUUUUAAAGAUAAAUAAGUAAAAUAAGUAAAAUAAGUAAAAACCUUUUUUACAAAGAAAUAGCAUCAAUACUAAAAAAAAUUAUUACCUUCCUAUCUUUUAUCUAAGUUUUACUAUUAUAUCUUUCAACUAUGCUCUUUUAUAAUAGAAUCCAUAUUUUUAUCUUUUAUCAUAUACUUGAGUUAUAAUAAGAUAUUUAGAGGCCUUAUUAUCAUAUAUGAUCUAUAAUCAAAUAAUCCUAUUAUUAUAAAGUACCAUAAGUUGUCAUUAUAUGCUACAAAAAGCCAUAAAGAAAUAUCAUUGCAACUAGUAUUUAUCACUAUAUGUUGCAAUGAGCCACUACCUUUGCCAUUGCAAGCCGUGGCUAAUACCAAGUUAUUUUUUCACACCAAUGUGUAUACAAUAUUGCCAUAAUAGUGUUGCUUCUUGUCUCUAAUUUGUGAUUCUUAUUAUAUCAAAUGAGCAUUGCACUAGAAUCCUAUUUUAACAAUAAUAACAUCACAAAUACAUAUAUAUAUAUAUAUAUAUAUAUAUAUAUAUAUUCAAACAAAAUAUUCCACUUUUAUUAUAUCCUUAAUAAGAAAAAAUAUUGGAACUUGUGCCAAAAUUUUAACAAGCACAAAAAGUAUUCAUCUAAAAGAAUGCUUCACAUUGCUCUAUUAAUUGGCCUCUAUAUUUAUCCUAUUGUACACCUACAAGACCCUUGCAACCUUUUCUCAACAAACUAUUAUAAUUUUAUAUUUUUUGUUCUAACUUUUUACACUACAACCUCCAUCUCUCUUUUCUUCUCUUUCUUCUUAUAAUGCACUCUUGCUUAGCCUUUUACUUCUACACAAGAUAAUAAUCCAUAUAUACACUACAAGCUUAACAUGUUAUGAUGUUGUAUUAUCACACAAUUAAUUGAAGGAAGAUAUAAUCAUAAAUAUUAUUAUUGAAUAGCCUAAGUAAAAAAUAUAGUAAAAAAAGAUACAUAAACAUAAGGACGUAGUAAAAAUAUUUAGUGUUAAUAUUUUUUUUUUGUAGAUUGAAGCAUGAGUUUAAAAAAAAUUAAAAAUUAAAAAUUAAAAAAUUAAAAUUAAAAGGGUUUUUUAAAAAUUGGUUAUAGGAGAUUUGGAUACAAAUUGAAUUUUUGAGAGCUUUGUAAAAUUGAAGAUGUAUGCAAUGAUAUUGGAUUUUGAGAAAUAAUAAGAAUCAUACAUAUUUGAGAAAUUUGUAAGUAUUAUAGCAAAUGUACAAGUGAUGUUUUGUAGAUUUGUUAAUAUAUUUGUUUUGAAUGCAUUUUGUAAAUUUGAAGUCAAUCAAACAAUAAGAUUGAAGGUUAUGGGAGUUUAAUUGGAAUAGGAACUUAGAUAUUUGAAUUUUAAGAUCCAUUAGAUUUUAUAUGAUUCUAAAAAAUUUCUUGAUUCAAUUGAAGGAAAAUUUUAUUAGAACAUAAUAGACUUCAGUUUUCAUACUUUUAUUAAUUCAAACAGGAAUUAUAUGAUCCAACAAGGAGCAAUUGUUCCUAAAAUAUCAACCUCUAAAUUGAAGAAAGAGGAUGGCCACACCUAAGAGUAUUAGAAGUUCUUUCUUUCAAUUGGUAAAUUUAAUUUAUUUUUUUUCAAAUUUUAAGUGUUCUUUUUUUUUUUUUGCUUAAAGAUUGAAAUUUAAAAAACAAAAAUAGUAAAAAUAAAUAUUUAAAUUAAUAUUCAUUGGAAUUUUAAAAAAAUUAUAAAAAAAAAUUAUUAGAAAUUACUUACAAAUUUAUUUAGAAUUUUUUAGGAUUUUUCUUUUUAGUAUUUAUUUAAAUUUUUUAAUUUAAUUUUUUUAAUUCUUUAUUAUUUCUAUAAGAUUUUUAUUUUUAGUAUUUUUUAAAUAUUUACUUAUGAUAUUUUUAGGAUUUUUAUUUUAUAAAAUUCUUCAUGAUUUUUAUAGAAAUUCUUUAGGAUUUCUUAAUGUUUCUUUUAUAUUUUCUUUAAGACUUAUUUUGGAAUUGAUUAAGAUUUAAUUAAGAAUUUCAAGAUUUAAUUGGAAUUUAUUUAAGAAUCUAUUAAAAUUAUUAGAAUCUUAUUGUUGCAAUUUCCAAUUUAUCUUCUAUAUCUAAGUAUCUGGUGCAUUUUUAAGCAAGGCUUCAUAUAAUACAACACUACAAGUAGUAUUUUGGCACUCCAAUGCUCUAGUAUUGCAACAUCGUCAGUAAUGAUUUAAACCAAAAUAAUAUAAUAUCCAAAAAAAUCCAAAAUUUUUAUUUUUAUUUUUAUUGUUGAACAACUCCUUUUUAACUUGUUAGAGAAAUAAACUUUUACUUGAUCUUAUCAGAAAAAUACACUUUUACUUAUUUCUCCUCAUUUAAUCAAAAAUUAAAUUAGAAGAAACAUUCUUAUCAAGUAAAAGAUGAUGAAUUUGCAUACAAUUAAGUCAAGCUAUUUUUUAUAUUACAAAAGGAAAAUAUAAGAAUAUAAGUUUGAGUAGAAAAUGUCUUAAAGCUCUAUUAAAUGGUUAAAUCACUAUAGCCAAUAAAAUCCUUAUAAUACAAGCUUUUUCUUUCAAAAAUCACUUAUAAUACUUGAUUUAAUAAGAAUAUCAAGUUGAUACUAACAAAGUCAAUUAAUAGAAAAAACUAAGUCGAUAAGAAACUACUAAACAAAAUUAAAUUAUGUACAUGAGACAAGAUCUUACAUCCAAUAUUAUAACAUGUGAUAUAAGUGAAAAUCUAAUUAAACAAAGUACGGUUAAUUUUGUAGUAUGUAAUAAAAUAGCUAUAUCAUCUAAGUGAGAAUAAAAAAGAUAUGAUACUUUAAUACCUAUUAUUGCAUCCAUCUUCUCAAAUUGAUGCACCAUAAUUGAUUUCAAGCUCUAAAUUAAACUUAAUUGGUCUUGUUGGAAAGGAAACUUAAAGAUGUAUCUAUUUUCUAUAUUUUAUCUUCAAAUUUGGUUGUAUGCAUCUAACAUUGUCUACCAUAGUUGAUGCUUUAAUUUAAUAAAUAAAAAAAAAAAAAAAAAAAAACUCUUCUUAUAAAAAUGAGUGUCAUUUCUUGGUUCUUAAUUGUCCUAUGGUAUAAUUAAGUUUAUUGAAAUCUCAACUUCAAAUGACAUCUUCUCGUAUAAGCUGAAUCUUUGAAUUACUUUAAUUGAUCUAAUCUUGUCUUCUAAAGUUGUGUCUUAUUUUGGCUCUUUAAAUUUGGAAGUAGCAAAUCUUUUUCCACAAGAAUCAAUGUUCAUAGAACUUUUUGAAUCCAACGUAAUUAAAUAUUAGUUUUUUCAAAGCUAAACUUUAUUAGAUUUUUUAUUGCUUUCUAGCUUAUGAGUAAUAAGAGGGAGUCUUCUAAAAUUUAGGUACUAAAAAAAAUAGAAAUAUACCAUAUUUUACUAAAUUAGAUAUUUCUUCUUUUUUAAAACUUUAAAUUCUUAAAUUUUUAUGUCUAAAAAAUUAUAACAAAGAUUCCGACCUUUAGUUAAGUUUUGACAAUUUGAUUCCAAAAGAUGAGAGAGAAAAUUGAAAAAAAGACUAAAGCUCCUUGCAAAACCUUGUAAAGAAUUGGCAUAGCUUUACUUGUCAUAAAAAAAAAAUACAAAAAAAAUAAUAAAAUAAAAUAAAAUAAAACAAAACAAAACAAAAAACAACUAAACAAACAAACUCAUAAAGUCUCUUGUAUUCUUGCUCUCAAAAUUAAGGAUGACGGCUACAUCUUCACUCUUGAAUUACAAAGAGCUAAAAUUAAGAUCCAUGGCCCUCAUUGAUCCAAAUAUCAAAACUUGAUAUUAAGGCUAAUAACCAUCAAAUGUGCCUUAUAAAUGAUUGCAUAAAAAAAACAAAUUAUAUACCUUGGUCUAAAAACACCAUGUGUGACUUUAAAAUUAAAGUUAAAAAAAAAAACUAUGCUUGAGUAGAUAUUGAAAUUGAUAAAAUGCUUGCAACUAUACCUAAAAGCUCUACAAAUCAAUGUUUGAAGUUUGAUGAAUAUUUGUAUUUUGAUGGAUAUAUACACACCAUUAAAAUGUAAAAAUAAAUAUAAAUAUAAAUGAAGUCUAUAAAUGUGUGUAGAGAAAGAAAAAUAAGAUCUAAUAGGUAUCAAAGAAAAAAAAUCAUAUAAUAAAUGGAAGAAAUCCUAGGAUUUAAUAUAAAUGUAAUCUUUCUUACAAGAAGUUUUUUUAUCAAAGAUUUUUUAAUACAAUUUUAUUAAUUUAAGAUAUUUUUUGUUUCCAAUUAUUUCAAAAAAAACAAGAAAAUUGCAACCAUUAACUUAGCAUGAUUUAAAGAAACACUCUUUCACAACAGUAUAUCUACAUAUUCAAUCCCUACAACAUGCUAUUCUCUACACAAUAAGAUUUUUUUGUCACAGCUAUUGAAAAUCCUACCAACAGCAAGCAUUAAAGAAAUAAAUUCCAACUACCUAAAGCAUCACCUAGACAACAUCACUACCAAAACACUCAUUACUAAUUUCAAUUUUUUAACCAUUCUCAGUACUUAAUUCCAGUUGGAUAAGGAAACAAAUACUUACAUCUCUUAAUGUCAGAUAUAAAACUUACACGCAAUCACAUUUUGCAAACUCUAAGGCGCUAUUUCCAAAACAAUUUACAAUUUUCAUUGAAGAUUCCAAAAUGACAGUGGUAAGUUGUUUAUAUAUAUAUAUAUAUAUAUAUAUAUAUAUCUAUAUAUAGUGAAAUGAGUUGCAAAGAAGGAGUCAAUACCAUAUAUUACUACCGAAUCAUAAGCAAACGAAGAAAGGAAUAUAGAAAGAAGAGAAACGAGACUUUAUUGAGAAAGUUGGACUUCAAGUGCUGAGCGAUUAAGGACGAGGGAAUCCUGACGAAAGCAACAGUGGCUCGCCCUACUCCGUCGACUUGGUCGCCUGAGGGCCCUCAGGCGAUGGUUGAUACUGCGAACUUGAUUGAGUUCGGCGUUACAUGCCUCGACCACUUGUGUUUUGCACCAGUGUGCUUGUUCUUCCUUGUUCCGAGCCAGACAAUCUUCCUAGUCGGAAUGUUGACGUUUCUAUCACAUGCUGGAUUCUGUGGUAGUAGCGUGCUGAAUGAAGUGGACUUGUAACAACAGCUGAUAUAUUCGUUGUAAAAUCUGCACCCGAUUCUUCUCGGCUAUUUGGAUGAAACGAGGGUGACCUAGACUCUGAAUGUGCAGGAGUCUUGUUCAUGUGAUAACUGCAGUUUUGGGUUGUUUCUCGUGCUACAAAUGAUCUGUUACUGAAGCAAGCCAGCUGUUUCAGUUCGGAGUAAUUGGUGAUCAAGGUGAUGAGGCGGAAUUCUAACGCCUUGUAUGGCUGCAGAUCCAGGUGUAGCACCAAGUAUCUCACAGUAGAGACGAUGUGAUGGAAGCAACCAGGGGUUGGUGUUUUCGGGUCGACAGAGUUGUAAGUGGAGAAUCACAGAGAUAUUUAGCGUCCUCAGAGAAGAGAACGAAGACGCGGUGCUGACCACGCCAAAUCAGACAUUCAGAGCAGCUCUGGUGCUCCACGGAAAGGACAUAUCAGGGAAAAUGGGCUAUGACAGAUGUAUACAGAUUCUAUCGGUUCUUCUUUUGUGCGGGGCGAGUUGGGCGCAGGGUCCUGUAGCGGCGCCAGCCCCGUCUUUUACACCUGCUGAUGCAAUUCGUAUCGCGUGUGGCUCAGCUUCCGAUGUCAAAAUUGGUACCCGGGUUUUUUUAGCUGACGUUCAAGGUACUGGACAAGGGGUUGCAGGAAGAACAAAUCAGAAUAACGGUGCUUUGUCGGCGUACGCUCCACUUCUCACCUCUGCGAGGUUCUUCACUUCUGCAUUUAACUACAAUUUCACGGUUAGUCCAGGGAGACAUUGGGUUCGCCUGUUCUUCUAUCCAUUUGCGUUCUCAUCUUUUCAGCCGAGUAAUUCAUUCUUUGACAUAAGUACCAAGGAGGUCGGUCUUCUCUCCAACUUCAGCGCAGUGACCUUCGUCACCGCAGACAGCCCUUAUUUUGUUCGAGAGUACUUCCUGAACAUCACUUCAAAGGACCUCGUUCUUACUUUCAUUCCACGGUCAAAUUCGUAUGCUUUCAUAAACGCCAUAGAGAUUGUGUCUGCGCCAGAUGGAAUGGUACAGGGUGGCGCGCCUACACUGGGUGGAGGCAGUCUUACUUACCCUGGCCUGAGCCAGUCGGCCCUGCAGACUAUGUACCGUCUCAAUGUUGGAGGAGGCACCGUUGCACCGGAUGAUGAUUCAGCGAACCUGAGCAGGACGUGGAUUCCAGACACACCCUAUAAACUUCUCAACACUCCAGGAGUGUCGGUAGAGGCAAACGCUACAAAGAUUACGUACACCGAUGUUGCAGAGUAAGUUGCAGCUUGCCCUUGCAUGAACAUGUAACAGGUCUUAUCACUACAUGUGGGUUUACAGUAUCUACGAUUUGCAUCAUUAUGGUGCAGUUGCCAGAAGUUUGUACAGUUGGAGACAUGAGCCAUUAACUCUGACGGGUGCGCUUUUCUUUUGGUCUGAGAAAGAUAUAUUGCUCCUGCUACCGUUUAUGCGAGCGGGCAAGCGUUGGAAGAUAAUGAUGUGGCGAACGCAAAUGCUGCACUCAACUGGAAUUUCACAGUCGACAACAACUUCACUUACUUGGUGCGUUUGCACUUCUGCGAGCUUCAGUACCAGCGGCUCUAUGAGCGGGUUUUCAUUAUUGAGAUAAACCGUGUAGCCAUUUACCAAUUUUUCGACAUCAUAGAAGAAGCCGGAGCUGCCUACACUCCCUUGUACAGAGACUUCAUGGUGCCCAUGAUCAAUACCUAUCCGAAAAUAAAUGUUAGGAUCGCCCCUGACCGUAGUAAUCCAAAUGCCAAGAAUGUUCUGUUGAAUGGUCUGGAGAUUUUCAAGGUUAACAACGCGAACUCCAGUCUUGCAGGUCCCAACCGUAUUAUAGAGCCAAACACUACCUCUGGUGGUACACAAACUACAAAUUCAAGCUCGAGCUCCAACUUAGGUGCCAUCAUCGGUGCGUCCAUCGGAGGCGUAGCCGCUGUUCUUGCGGCGGCUGCGUUGGUCAUCUUUUGUUGCUACAAGAAGAAGACCAAGUCUGACAAGCCUGGCGCACCAAGUCAUUGGCUCCCGCUGCCUCUGCACGGCAGCAGUACUGACCACAGCAAAGUGUCGACUAGUUCGGCGAAGAGUGGGAAGAGUGGUGCAGGAAGUUAUGUUUCUUCAGUUCCAUCCAACCUGGGCAGGUACUUCAGCUUCGCGGAGCUCCAAGAAGCCACGAACAACUUCGACGAGUCUUUGGUUUUGGGAGUGGGUGGAUUCGGCAAGGUGUACAAGGGUGAGACUGAUGAUGGGUCGAAAGUGGCGGUGAAGCGGGGAAACCCCAGGUCAGAGCAGGGUCUAAACGAGUUCCAAACCGAGAUAGAGCUUCUGUCGAAACUCCGACAUCGGCACCUGGUGUCACUGAUAGGGUACUGCGAGGAACACGGUGAGAUGAUUCUUGUAUAUGAUUACAUGGCCAACGGUCCGCUCAGGGGUCACCUGUAUGGAACAGACGAGGCUCCUCUGUCGUGGAAGCAGAGGCUGGAGAUUUGUAUCGGUGCAGCACGAGGAUUGCAUUACCUACACACCGGCGCGGCGCAAGGGAUCAUUCACAGGGAUGUGAAAACCACGAACAUCCUUCUGGACGAGAACUUCGUUGCCAAGGUGGCUGACUUCGGGUUGUCGAAAAUCGGGCCCGCGAAUGAAGUCACGCACGUGAGCACAGCCGUGAAGGGCAGCUUCGGGUACCUGGAUCCCGAGUAUUUCCGCAGACAGCAGCUGACGGAGAAGUCAGACGUGUACUCCUUCGGUGUCGUUCUCAUGGAGGUGCUGUGUGCACGACCGGCAAUCAAUCCGGCCCUUCCUCGAGAGGAGGUGAACUUGGCCGACUGGGCAAUCAAGUACCACAAAGCUGGCAUGCUGGAUAAGAUCGUGGAUGAGAAGCUGCGGGAUACAAUCAACCCCGACUCGUUGAAAACAUUCGGCGACACCGUCGAGAAAUGUCUGCAGGAGCGAGGUAUCGAUCGACCUUCCAUGGGUGACGUCCUGUGGAAUUUGGAGUACGCCUUGCAACUACAUGAAGCAUCUGUGAAGGGCGCCAUGUCCAGCCUUGAUCAAGGGAACUUUAGCACCGACUCUGAUAACAGCCACAUGAUCUCCGUGCCGUUGGUUGCACCCAACCUUUUCGAUGACUCGUUGACGAUGGACAUAGAACGAAGAAUGCUGGAGGAGACCGCGUCCGAGGACCAAUCGGCGAGCGCCAUAUUCUCUCAGUUGAUCAACGCUCAAGGAAGGUAAAGCACAGACGAUAGGGAGUUGAUAAACCACAAGAUGAAGGAGGCGGCGAGUAUCCAGGAAGGGAUUGUCUGACUGCUGUAGACCGAACAAAUGUAGUUGUAGUUGAUGUGGUUUUUUACAUAAAAAAAUAAUAUUUAUGUAUCGCUUCAUUUGGCUAACUUCGAGUUUGAUUGGCAUUGCGCGAGGUCAUCUGGAGUUUGGGUAGUUCUGGGUUUAUCAACAAAACUCUGUUGGCUUUGUUUGUGUUGUGGACACGUUGUAAUCCGCUUCGUUUGUAAUAUGUGUGUGAGGUGUACAUUACGAAGUUUGUCAUGAAAGUUAAGGUGGUUUCACUGAUUCGAUUCAACGUAGGCGAAGUAGUCAAGAAUCUGUUGGCACAGCAGGGUCCAAUGACUGAGCGUUGGAUGGCUAUCAAUCUCGUGCACCAUCUUGUGAAGUAAAAUGCAGGUUCGAAUAAAAGUCACUGCUGGGGUUGUUUCUGUGUUUAUGUUCCAAUGAGAUAUUAAUAUGCGAGUGCCUGUUGUGGCUCGAUCAUAAGCAUCUUUCAGCAAUGUACCUCACUCAUUGUGGUUUACAUAUUACAGAUCUUCCAACUUUUUUAUCCACAUUUUAAGCAUCUCUUUUUAACACCACCCUCCGCCAAUUUGAGCCUCACAAACUGUUUGGUGCCUAUGCAUCUCGUGUGCUGCAUGUAGGUGUGUGUGAUAUUUUCCGGUGUGCUCUGUGGCAUGGAAAUGGCUGUACUUGAGACUGUAGCAGGUUGUGUUGAUUGUUCUCUUUGGGAGCUGCCCGUCGGCCGAAGACAGAAUACGGGGCAUUUUGAUCGCUCCAAAAGGAAGCAUCGAAGGGAAGGGCAUUGCUCCAACGACGCAAGUCUCUGGAUUAUCAGAUUCCACAAACACACCUGAUGAAGUCACAGACGAGGCUGGCACUCUUGUUGGACACGGAUUUUGUGUCCUGAAACUAAAGGUAGGCAUGGCAGACUUUGAUGAACUUCGGUUGAAGUAAUGAUCUACGAACAGGAUCUGUACGAGGCAGAGUCCUGUCCACACUAUUCACAUUUGGAACAGGUAUGGGGCUCACAACCCAAUGACAUCAGCAGACCAACGGCAUGAUGUUUUGUUGAAUGUAGAUGCUCAGCCGACGCAUUUUGUCAGCUGCGGCUUUGGGUGAUUUAAUGCGUUUCUGAUAGGGUAUGGCUACUUGAAUGUCUAUCCAGAUUGGUCGGCGCGCUACUCCACAAUAGGAUGCACCAGUCACACAAUCAGUUAGAGAGGGUGUAGGAGCUGAUGGAAAGGUCUGAGCAGACGCAAUUCGGAAGGGGUCUCACUAACAGGCCACUGAGUUUGCAAAUCUUGUUAAGGAGUGCGACAUAGAAUAUUUAGAGGUACGGAAUCGAACACUUGAUCAUAAGAUGGUCGUUCACUGCAGCAGCACACAUGUUAAGAAGACUCCACCGCAAAGAAAGUACAAUUGUUGUCGGUAGUUAAUGUCAGAGUCGUUUGCAUUAACAAUUAUUUCCCGAGACUCCAGCAAACGUAUAUAAAUCUACUCUUUGACAUCCUUUAUUCGAGUUACUUCGUGCGAAUCAGCGAUGCGUAAUUUAUGUUACUAUCUCCUCUGCACAAGAGCAAUAGUUUCAUUGUUUUAUACUGGAGUGUUAGCAAUGUUCGCUUUUUAAACUUAUUGGAAAGCCUGGAAAUUUCAUGAUACUCGCAAUGUGUACGGGCAUGGAUUUCAGGUGGAUAGCACUUAUCACCAUGUGUAAUCUGAAGCAGUUAUGUCAGUUUUGAGAGAGCAUAUUCGUUUCAGAGGACUUCCUCAAAUUUUUCUCAGGGUGUGGCAUUGUGCAGGAAUAUGUUAAGAUCUCAAAAGAUAUACCGAGAUUUUGUAAGGAGAGUGGGAUACCUAUUGCUUUAGAUGAAAGCGUUGACGAGGAUACAUCGUUCUGGAGUGAAAUGCUUGAAAGAAUUGCAUCAGAGGGCGUAAUGGCUGUUGUAAUUUUUCCUGGUCGCGUGGGAUCGUUUGAACAAGCUGUGUCAUUGCGGAGUGGGCACAUAGCCGAGGCAUAGUAGCUGUUAUCAGCUCAGAUAUGAAAACAAAUAUUGGUUUAACUGCUUAUGCCCAUCUAGUUACUUCUGGUGAUGGAAGGUGUCUAUGGACGCACACAUCGAAUCAACAGAAAACCUCACGGGAUGGUGCUAUUACGCAUGGGCUGGGUACUUACAAGUGGUCUGUUGGAGACCAGUGAGAGGAAGGGGAUCGUAAAAGUUUUACACUCAUGCACAGUGGACAAUGAAGAGGGCCGCGAAUUGACCGAAGGCUGCUGGGAGUGUGUAACAACCACAACGGCGGGCACUAUUUUGAAUGAAUGGAACUCACUUGCUCCAGAUGUUCACCAGCACUGCUUCCACCACGCUGAUGAAUGGUAUUGGUGCCCUUCUCUGUGAGUAAUGUUUACUUUGGUAAUGUUAGGAUUUUGGUAUUGAAGCACUUUGUGGUCUUUCAGUGAUCUUUCAGCUCCUCCACGUCGUUAAUCCAACUCCACCAUCUUUCGGUUUUGACAGAUGUAUGCUCGCCUGGAUCUCCAGCGAUUCGAUCAAUGCGCGUGUCUGCAUAUCCGACGCCCGAGAAGUACCAUUCUGGGCACGGUAUGAUUGUUUUGGUCACAGUAGAUGCUAUUGAAAAUCCAGCCAUUUGCGAGGAUGAGAGAAAUGAACCGAACCCACCUUCAUGUAUCACCUGAGCAACAGCACUCCCAAGAUUCCCUUCACUAAUUUCUAUCGUUGAAACAGUGCCAAUACUUGCUUCCAAUAUGUAAACGAUAGAAGAAAAAAAAUCCACGUAUCUCAAUGCUGAAUAUAAGACUUCAGAACAAAAACGUGACUUUCACACAUAGGAAACUGAAUUGCAUUAUUCCCAUCGGCAAAUUUACAUUUUUCAUGGAAGAUUUUGAGAAAACUUUGAGAUAGUAGCAAAAUCUUUUUGCUCUAUAUUAUCUCCUACAUGGGUCACAAAAAAUUUGCUAAAUUCCAUGUCACAUUCAACCUGGAAGCAUUCGAAGGGAUGGGGGGGAGAUUCUGACGAAAGCAGCAGUGGCUCCGCCUACUCCGUCGACUCGGUCGCGGGAGGCGCACCCCAUGACCGCGAGCACAUGAGCCCCAUUAACUUUGCGCACAUUACGGCACGGUAACAGGAAUCCCACCUUAGAGGCAGACGCCGGUAACAGCGGUGAAGGGGGGGAGAGCGGGACUGGCGAGGAAUGGGGAUUCAUCCAGCUUCAUCGUCAUCGCCGAGCUGAAGCAACUGCACAACCAGCUGUGUUGCUGCUGUUCGAUGCUGGGCAGGACAACCACGCAGCUCACCUGCCUGCCUGUUGAUCUUUUGCUAGGCCCCUCCGAAACCCCGUCCGUCCGUAUCCCGUCAAUGGUCACUUGCACUUGUGUGAAGCCAUAGCCACUGACGCCGUCGCCGCUGCUGCUGCUGCUGCUGCUGCUGAUGGUGUGACCGAUCAAAUGGUUUCGUGACAGUGCCACAGCCCAGGUACUUCGGAUCUUUCCUUUCGACUUACAUUUGGGUUUCAAUCGGUGGAAGGACUGUAUGCGGAGAGCGCGUUUACCGUAUCGAGACUGUGGGGGGUUGUGUUUAGUAACCGGGUGGGUCUCAGAGUGAUCUAUGAGGACUGGGAUGGAGGUCGGAUAUGGCUCCGUGAGGUGAGAAUGCCGGUAUUGUAGCUUAUAUUUGUGCCUGUCAGGGUUGGAAACGAGGGUUAAGGGUUUCGUAUUUGUGUGUGUGUGUGUGUGUGUUUCGGAGAGCUGCCCGGAGGCGACGGGGUGUCGUGUUUCGCUUGAAGCCUUACAAUGUUCGCUUCAGCUCUUCGGUAGAGCAUAUGGGUCAUGAUGGAAGUGAGGAAGGGUUCCCAGAGUUCACCACGAUUGUUUCUUGACCAUAGUGAUACCCUCAAAUGCUUCGCCGCGACUGCGAGGGGCUGGUUGUGGAACAGUAGGUUAGAGAAUGUGUCUUGUAAUGCAUGCGAUAGGCCACAUUCAUUUGCCAUUCACGAUACGACAAUGGCUGGCAUCGUCUGGUGUCUCGGAGAGUGCUUUGUACUGUUCGUAAACGAUUUUGGCCCGUGCGUUAUCAUUGAAAUGCUCACUUGUACUCUGCUUUAGCGGUUCUUAUAGUCAUCUGCUCAGUGUCGUUUUCUUAAACCAGGGCAAAAAUGCCUGCAACCUAGAUGGUUGAUCCUGCGAACUUAACUAUGUCCAGCGUUGCAAGCCUCGGUUUUAUGUGUUUUGGACCAGUGUGCUUGUUCUUCCUUGUUCCGAGUCAGACAACCUUCCUAGUCGGAAUGUUAACAUUUCUAUCACACACUGAAUUCUGUGGUAGUAGCGUCCAUGCCGAAUGAAGUGGACUUGUAACAUCAGCUGAAAUAUUCGUUGUAAAAUCUGCACCCGAUUCUUCUCGGCUAUUUGGAUGAAACGAGGGUGACCUAGACUCUGAAUGUGCAGGAGUCUUGUUCAUGUGAUAACUGCAGUUUUGGGUUGUUUCUCGUGCUACAAAUGAUCUGUUACUGAAGCAAGCCAGCUGUUUCAGUUCGGAGUAAUUGGUGAUCAAGGUGAUGAGGCGGAAUUCUAACGCCUUGUAUGGCUGCAGAUCCAGGUGUAGUAACGAGUUCUGCACCGUAGAGACGGUGUGAUGUAAGCAACCAGGGGUUGGUAUUUUCCGGUCGACAGAGUUGUAAGAGGAGAAUUACAGAGAUACUCGGAUACAUUUGAGAAGCAAUCGGAGGCGUGGUUCUGACCACGCCAAAUCAGACAUUCAGAGCAGCUCUGGUGCUCCACGGAAAGGACAUAUCAGGGAAAAUGGGCUAUGACAGAUGUAUACAGAUUCUAUCGGUUCUUCUUUUGUGCGGGGCGAGUUGGGCGCAGGGUCCUGUAGCGGCGCCAGCCCCGUCUUUUACACCUGCUGAUGCAAUUCGUAUCGCGUGUGGCUCAGCCUCCGAUGUCAAAAUUGGCACACGGGUAUUUGCAGCUGACAAUGUUCCAGGAACAAUAAAAGGAAUUGCGGGAACGACUCUUCAGAAUAACGGUGCUUUGUCGGCGUACGCUCCACUUCUCACCUCUGCGAGGUUCUUCACUGCUGGAUCUAAUUACACUUUCACAGUGAGUCCAGGGAGACAUUGGGUUCGCCUGUUCUUCUAUCCAUUUGCGUUCUCAUCUUUCCAGCCAAGUAAUUCAUUCUUUGACUUGACUGCCAACGAGUUCGGUCUUCUCUCCAACUUCAGCGCAGUGACCUUCGUCACCGCAGACAGCCCUUAUUUUGUUCGAGAGUACAUCCUGAACAUUACUUCAAAGGAACUCGUUCUUACUUUCAUUCCACGGCCAAGUUCGUAUGCUUUCAUAAACGCCAUAGAGAUUGUGUCUGCGCCAGAUGGAAUGG
rnacentral:lncRNA from 1 species